rnacentral:lncRNA from 1 species
AAUUCAAUCCAUCAGAUUCCAUAAGGAUAUAACUGGAUGUCAUACCGCCACUCCAUAUCCUUGAAAGUCCGUAGUGUUUGUCUCAACUCUGUCUGAGGCCAAUGUAAAUUCAAUUUGCGCAAGCUCUUUAUGCACCACAGCUCUUCUGGAAGCUUUCUCAAGUAAGCACAUGGGUUGACAAUUAAGCUUUCAAGUUUCGGCAUUGCUCCAGCCCCCAUCGUCCACUCAUCUAGCCAAUACAUUGAUUUCAGGUGCAAAACCUUAAGUUCGGGAAAGCUACUCAAGCCAACACAAGCAAGCUUUCUUCCUAAAUACGAGUUCUGCUUCAGUUUCAGCAGUCGAAGGCGUGGAAGAUUUUCCAGAAUUGGCAUGGGAUCCUCCUUUAGCUCAGUAUUUGAUAAGCUCAGUUGGAUCAGACUUGGGGGAAAUUGGUAUUCAGAUAGGACCAUCCGUGAGGGCUUGCUCUCAUUCACCAGCUUCAAGCAUUCAAGUUUGUGGAGUUCGCAAAGGCUUUUGGAAACCCCAGACUGAUAGUAACUCAAAUCUCCAGAUAUCCGAAGAGUCUGAACACUAGGUAGUCUGCCCAAUAUAUCAGGAGUACAACUACUAGGGUUUAAAGCUGAUAUGAAAAUGAGAUUUUUCAGAGAGCUAGAAUAAUUUUUUGGAGGUGCGGGCAGAGUGAUAGAACCAAAGUUUAGAUGCAUGAGUUUUUGCAUCAUCCAAAUAUCCUCUGGUGAAUGAUCUAUGUCGCUAGAUGGCAUUUCUAGUGUUUGAAGGUUUAAAAGGGUGCAUAGCAUUGAAGGAAGGCAUUUGAGCGAAGGGAUAUUCAAUUUCAAAUACUUCAAAAGGAAUAAAUUUUCUAAUCCGGGUGGAUAUUGGUCCAGGACUGCAGAACCCAUGUUCAGUACCCGAAGGUAUUUGAACAUUUUACAAAAGUUCUCGCAAUCUAUCAGAGCGAGACGAUCGCUUUCUGAACUGUGAUUCAGAAAAGAUUGGAGAUACAUGUCAGAAUGUUCUAGAGAAAGGAACUCAAUCAGACGUUCCACAAUGAAGCACCGUUUAACAUUUGCCGUUGAUUCCUCUUCCAUGUCAGGCGUCCAGACAAAUCCCGCCUUCUUUGCCACAAAAUACAAUGAAGUAUAUACAAAACUUGGAACAUAACACGCUUUAAUUGUGCCGCCGGCGCUUCUCUUACUCACUUGAAUGAAGCCGCGAUGGAUUAGUUCUUUCAAGAAAUGGUCGGCAGUUUCUUCACCGUUGUAUGGUACGAAACCUUCAGCUACCCACAACUGAUGUAAUUGCCUCCUGGAUAUCUCAAUACUUGGAGGGAAGACACACAAAUAGAUGAAGCAGACUUUCAAAUGAAAAGGUAACUCCAUCACAGAAAAAAUUUGUCUCCAAACUGUCGGAAUCGCUUCGCCUUGAAGAUAAUUUUCUAAUGGCAUACUUCCAUAGUGUAGGAUGAAAAAUUGCCAGGCUUCAUGCUUUAAUCUGAUCAAUGGUCCUCCAAAGAGCACUGAAUCACGCCGAAUCUUCUCUCCGUUUUCCAUUUCCAACGACGCAAGGAGGUCUGGAUCAGUGACCAAUAUCAAUACUCUGCUUCCAUUCUGAUUACCAGGAAGAACUUCUUCAAGAUCAUCCCAUAUCUCACGUUCAUUGAAGACAUCAUCAAGCACAAUAAAGUACUUCUUGUUGGUUAGGUAAUCUCGAAGAACAGAUUUCUUCGAUUGAUAAUCUUCACCGAUAAUUACACUAACCCGAGAUGGAGGCAUCACAGACUUGAUUAUGUCAUCCAAUAUCUUGCCAAAAUCGUAGGCUAAGGAAACCCUGACCCAAGCAAGACAGUCAAAAUAGAACUUGACGUGAUCAUUAUUGUAAGUAUCUGCAGCAAAAACAGUCUUGUCGAAGCCACUGCUGUCGAGAAUUGCAACCGCUGCAAGCCCAGAUGGUCCCUCAAUCAAUAGAUCAAACAACUCCUCUCUGCCCCUUUCAAAUUCAUUGAUAUCAAGCCGAGGUUGUCCCUCACUCAAUAGGCGAAUGAUUUCGUUACUUUUUUCACUGAUAUCAAAACCAUUGUCGCCGGGUGGAAGUUGUUGCAUCCGAUUUCUAAUAUCAAUGAUUUGACUGUGGAGUCCAUCAAGAAGAGCCAUAUUAGUGCUGCUUUCACUUUCGUUUUCACUGUUUUGCUGCUGCAUGAUGUUGAUGAAGAAUGUGUCAAUGGCUUCCUCAGAGUCACGGACAAAGUUAUUGAUGUCCUCCAGAAUUUCAAAAAUAUCUGCUGUUUCAACGUCUUCUUCAUCGCUUUCCUCUAAGUCCAACAGUUGCAAAAAAGGCAAAGAUAUUUUGGAGUCAUCGAAUUCUUCUCUAAUGAGUUGAAACAAAUGCCGAGCCAUGCCAGCUUCAUAUUUUCCCAGCAGAGUAGUAGCAAUAAUUUCGGACUCCGUAAGAAGGUUUUGAAAAAGUGGAGUUAAAUUUGUUGAAUCUGGCAGCGGCAACGUGCCUUCUUCACCUGCUAACACCCUCUCCAACCUCUCACAAAACAGUCGGAGGUGGACGUCCAGCAUAUCUCCUCCUCUCUGUAGCACCCAGAGGUAUUGUUUUUUUGCUCCAAGAAAUAUUAAAAGGAUUGGUUCUAUCUCAAAGUGGUUACUGGUGUAAAAUUAAACGACAUGGGAGAAUUUGAAAGGAAGAUGCCAAGGAACUGGCGAAGUGGCUAAAUUCCACAAAUACGGCAUUAUUGCUCAAUUUUAAGUCAAAAAAUUGAUACGCGUUCAUUUAGAAGAGGUAUCCAACCUUUAUCUUAUUUUAAUUACUACCACGACAUGAUUGAUGGUGUUUAAAUCAAUUGUUUCUUUUUUAAUUUAAAGAAUUUUUCAUUAAAAAUAUUUUAAUAUCAAAUUGCCUUCAAUAGCGUAACUGCCGCAAGCCCAGUAACAGGAUUAAUUAAAAUUUUUUGAAUUUUCGGGCACGGAAAGAGUAGUAUUAGACUUCAGAAAGCUAAGGUUGUUAUGUUAAAGAAUUGAUAUUGACAUAAUUUUAUUUUGGCUUUCGGGUAAAAAAAUAUUUGUUGACAAGCAAGAAAAUAUUUUUGUAUUUUACAAUUUAUUAUACAUAUUUGAUCAUAUUAAAGUAAUUUUAAUAAUAAAUAGACACAUAAUAUUACAAUAAAUAAAGUAAAGUUUAAAUUAUUUUGAAUAUUAUAAAAAAAUAAUUUUAAUAUUAUUAAUAGGAAGACAUUUUGUUAAUUUUAAAAUCUUUUUAACCUAAAGGUUUAUUUAAAAUCUUUAGAAAUCUCCAUCCCACAUCUACCCUAUUAAACAAGUUGAUGGAAAUUGAACAGUUGCUUUUUGAAGUGGACCCAUUGAGUUAUGUUCAUUACUGGUCAUUGUCUAUUCUUUCUAAGAGCCACUUGUUUUGAGCAUUAGCAAUCCUAUCUGGACUACUCCAAUUAUUGAUGUAACUCCAAUGGUUGCAUCGACAGUUGAAUGUAAGAUAGUGUUAGUUCUUUUUUGAGAAUUUCUUUAUUUGUUUCUCCGUUGCAGCGUAUUAGUAUAAAUUUCUUUACCUUACAGUUCCUACAGUCUUCCUGUUAAUGAAUUCGCUGAGGCAUUAUUGAUCCAAUCUCAGUGAAGUAAUUGUGGGUGAAAAAAAAAAUAAAGGAUAAGAGAACGUAGCUGAAUUGACUAUUAAAGAAGAGCGUCACCUGAUCACAAUCACAUUGAUGCACAACUCACUCAGAUCAUUACAACGUCCUUUUCGCUAAUUAAUUAUGAUUAUAUACAUUUUCAUAUGGCAAGUGGCAUUGUAGAUCUAAACUACGUUGCUAUUUCAUUACGUUAAUUAAGUGAUUCUCCUGAUUGUCAUCAGCGCUAUACCCUCUAGGAAAAUAGCUCAAUUGUUUUCCUGCAUUGAUUUUCAUUGGUAUGUGAUUUCUUAUGAAAUUCUUUUGAGCUUUCCUUAAUUAGACUUUUGAAAAUAGAAUUAAACAUUAGAUUAAAAUAAAAUAGAAUUAAACAUUGGUAUGUGAUUUCUUAUGGAAAGAGUAGUAUUAAACAUUAGAAAGCUAAGGUUGUUCUGUCAAAGAAUUGAUAUUGGCAUAAUUUUAUUUUUGCUUUCGAGUAAAAAAAAAAAAAAUUGUUGACAAGCAAGAUACUGUUUUUAUAUUUUACAGUCAGUUAUACAUAUUUUAUCAUAUUAAAGUAAUUUUAAUAAUAAAUGGAAACAUAACAUUACAAUAAAUCAAUUAAAGUUUAAAUUAUUUUGAAUAUUAUAAAAAAUAAUUUUAAUAUUAUUAAUAGGAAGAUAUUUUGUUUAUUGUAAAAUCUUUUUAACCCAAAGGUUUAUUUAAAAUCGUUAUAAUAAAUAAAAAUAUAAAAACAAAAUAAAUAUCAUAAUUUAAAAUUUUAAUAUUAUUUUAAAUAUUAAAAAUACUUUAAUGCUAUUAGUCUACUACACAGGUUAUAUUACUUAUAUUAUAUUUGUAUAAAUUAAAACUUUUAAAGUUAAAUUUUUAAUUACUAUAUUGAAAAGGUAUUAUGGUUAAAAAAAGUUUUGGCAUUUCUUUUUGAAAAUUUGAGGGUCUGCAGGACAAUUUGUCCAAAUCCUAGAGGUAUAGGUGUCUUUUUUUUUUCGAUAAUUCAUUUUACUUUUGAGGGAAUCUGAUGAGAAAUAAGAUAAGAGAAACGUCAAUUUAACGUUCUCUACGGAAAACCAAGAACUAUUCAAUUUUGUAUUUUUUGUUUGUAAAACGAAAAACAGUUUGCCAAAAAAGGUACCAAACAUAUCCUUAAUGUCUCACAUGAUUUCUUAUUAAGUCCAUACUCGAUAUAUUUAUACAUUUUAGGUAUUUUAGUUAUAAAAGAAGUUGGUCCUCCCUCUGUUUAUAAAAGGUAACUUUAUUUCGAGAUUACCACUAAAGUCUUACAAUGAAUUAGUGUAAUGUUAAGAGAGAGUAACACAAUUUUUCAUUACCAUUUUGAAAAUAGAAAGAUAUGGAUGUGUGCAUUUAAUGGUGCGUUUACUUGUCGGAUUGGGGAAUCGGAAUGAUUGAUGGUGUUUACUUCGCAAAUAUGGAGCAGGAAUCGAAAUUGAAAUGGUGGGGCCCACUACUAUUUGGGAAUGGGAGAUUGAUUCCCAUGGGGGAAGGUGUGAAUAGGGAUGGCAAAUUUUUCCGGAUCUGGCUCGGACCCGGAUAAACCCGGAUGAUCCGGUCCGGGUUGAACCCGGACGGGAUGUAUAAAAAUGCGGAAUCCGGAACCCAUUUUACAAACCCGCACAUGUCCGGGUCCAGUUCCGGUUUUAGGCGAACCCGUAUGUCCGGAAUCCGGACCCGGAUAUUUAUUAAUUUUAAUAUUAAUUUUUAAAAAAAUAUUUUUAAUAUAAAUAGAAAAAAAAAAGAACCCAGAGGUGCCCUAGGGCUUCAUUCAUUCACAGCCGCAGCAACACAUUUCCUCUCCCUCUUCAACUUGUCUUCAUCAAAUCAAAUCGUCGUCACACUCACUUGCCCACCUUCGCAGCUCAUCAUCAUCCUCAUCAGCUUGUCUUGGCGUCUUGCCCACCUUUGCGUUGCAGCUGUUCAUUAUCAUCAUCAUCAGCUUGUCUUGGCGUCUGACUCUUGCCCACCUUCGCGUCGCGGCUGUUCAUCAUCAUCAUCAACUCGUCUUGCCAACUUUUGCGGUUGUUCAUCAUCAAAUCAUCGCCGUCGUCACUUGUAUCAGCCGCCGUCACGAACAAUAACUAGCUUCGAUACAAUCAGAAGUAGCGAGCUUGCCUUCACCGGAUGCCAAUCCUUAAAGUUCGUGAAUGCCAAAUCGGUUCGAACCAAGCUUAUUUGUAUUUGGUUAGUUUAGGCCAUGGAUUUGUAUUUAAUUUGCUGAAAUCCUAGAUUUGUAUUUCCAUUUGUCAGUUGAAUUUAGUUUUUUUUUUUAAAUUAGAUUCAUCAAUCCGGGUUGGAAACCCGCAAUCCGGAAACCCGGUUUUUCCGGGUUGAAUCCGGACCGGACCCGGAGUGAAAAAAUGCGGGUUAUGUCCGGGUCCGGUAUAGAAAAAUAAUCGUCCGGGUCCGGAUCCGGAAAGGCUGAACCUGGACCCGGACCCGGACCCGGAUUUUGCCAUCCCUAGGUGUGAAUGAGUCUCCCAUUCCUGGAUUGACCAUUUUGCCCUCCCUCAAAAUUAAAAAUGCCUACUUUGUCCUCUUUUAUAAUUAAUUAAUAUAAUAUUAUAAUUAAUUAAUAUAUAAAUAUUUUAUUAACUAUAAUUAUUAAAAAUUAUAGUUCUUGAAUAAAUAAUCACAAUAAUUAAUUUAUUAUUAUUAUUGUUAUUUUAAUUAAUUAAUUAAUAUACUAUUAUAAUAAUUAUUAAUAUAAUUAAUUUAUAUAUUAUUAUUAUUAAUGAAUUAAUAUAAUUAUUACUAUUAAUUAAUAUAUUAAUAUAUUAUUAACAAUAAUAUAUUAAUAAUUAUUGUUCGUGAAUAAAUAAUCACAAUAAUUAAUAUAUUAUUAUUGUAAUUAAUUAAUUAAUAUACUAUUAUAAUAAUUAUUAAUAUAAUUAUUAUAAUUAAUUCAUAUAUUAUAAUUAAUUAAUUAAUAAAAUUAAUAUUAUUAAUUAAAUAAAUAAUAUAAUUAUUACUACUAAUUAAUAUAUUAUUAAAAAUAAUUAUUAAUAAUUAUAAUUUUUGAAUAAAUAAUCACAAUAAUUAAUAUAUUAUUUUAAUGAAGUAAUUAAUAUUAAUAUUAUUAGUUAAUAUAUUUUGAUAAUAAUUUUUAAUAUAGUUAUUAUAAUUAAUUAAAUUUUUUUACAAUUAAUUAAUAUAUUAGUUAAUAAUAAUUAUGACAAUAAUCUAUUAAGUACUUUUUAGUAAUUUAUUACAAUAUAAUUCAUUCCGAUUCCGAUUUCAAGACAAAGUAUACACAUUAAUGGCAAUCUAGCUCAUUCCGAUUUUGAUUCCUACAGUUCAAGUAAACAACUUAUUUUAAUUCCCAUUACUUAUUUCCAUUCCAGCCCAUUCUCAUUUCUGUCCAUUCCGAUUCCAGCUAAUUCCGAUUCCAGUUUAGUAAACGCAGCAUAAGAGUUAUCAUGAAAAUCAUACAAUUCAAUUUCCUGAAAUAUAUAUUUUAUUCACAUGUGCCAAAAGAAUAAAUAGAUAGAAAGUAAAUUUACAAUCCUCACUCCCUCACAAUUGUUAAAGUGAAUAUGCAUUACAACUGUGAACUGUCACUACUUUAGCCCUUUUUAAAAAAAAAAAAAAAUUAUAGUGUGAUCGAGACAGUGAACAUCAAGGAUAAAGUGCUCUGCUGGAAGCCAAACUUCCUUUGGCUUUCGGGGAAAAAAAUAUUUGUUGACAAGCAAGAAAAUAUUUUUGUAUUUUACAAUUUAUUAUACAUAUUUGAUCAUAUUAAAGUAAUUUUAAUAAUAAAUAGACACAUAAUAUUACAAUAAAUAAAGUAAAGUUUAAAUUAUUUUGAAUAUUAUAAAAAAUAAUUUUAAUAUUAUUAAUAGGAAGACAUUUUGUUAAUUUUAAAAUCUUUUUAACCUAAAGGUUUAUUUAAAAUCUUUAGAAAUCUCCAUCCCACAUCUACCCUAUUAAACAAGUUGAUGGAAAUUGAACAAUUGCUUUUUGAAGUGGACCCAUUGAGUUAUGUUCAUUACUGGUCAUUGUCUAUUCUUUCUAAGAGCCACUUGUUUUGAGCAUUAGCAAUCCUAUCUGGACUACUCCAAUUAUUGAUGUAACUCUAAUGGCUGCAUCCACAGUUGAAUAUAUGAUAGUGUUAGCUCUUAUUUGAGAAUUCAGAGGGAUAUUUCUAUGUUUCUCAAUUGCAAUGUGCUAGUAUAAAUUUCUUUACCUUACAGUUUAUAUAGUCUUGCUGUUAAAGAACUCACUGAGGCAUUAUUGAUUCAAUUUCAGUGGAGCAAUCGCGGGUAGAGGAUAAAUAAAGGAUAACAGAACAGAGCUGAAGUGCUAAAUUGGCUAUUGAAGAAGGGUGUCACAUGAUCACAAUCACAUUGAUGCACAACUCUCUGGAGGCAAAUUUUGUCUAUAUGUACUCUAAAUUCAUCUAAACCAUACAUGCAUGAACAAAAAUUAAACCGUAGUUCUCAUCACAACAGUAAUUGAAGCUACAAAAGCCAGCAAAUCUGAACAAAAACUUAAAAGGAAGAUCUUAUUCAAAUUUGUCCCCAAAAGAGAGCUGAGAUGAAAAAUAUUGACUAAUGAAUGGGUCAAUGCUGGAUACAUUUCAAAUGGAAAGCUUGGCAGCAGUUACAAUGUUUCCCCCUCAGCUUUUCCUCCAAAACAAAUUCAGUUGUAAACAAUAACCGAAGUAGAGAUAAUUCAUUCAUCAAAGAAAAUACCCAAGUUUUCAACUAACAAAUCCUCUUGUCUAAACUAAAAAAACUCGUAUCUCUAAAAUUUAUUUGCAAAAUGUUGGAAAUGAGGAGUGAUCCGUUAACUCCAUAAAUAAACUCAUGCAUAAUGUUAACAAUAAUGAUAAAUUACAUAAUAAUUAUUGUAAAGAAUUAUAAAUUGGAAACGCUAAUCAUUCUACAAUCUAAUAAAUAAGUAAGAUAAAUCUUGUAAUAAGUUAAGUUAUAAUGUAUAAAUAUUUUCAAUAUAUAAUUAUUUAAGAAGUCAUUUAAUAAUAAAAUAUUUAUUCUAUUCAGUUGAUCAUAUAGCGUUAUCUAAACUCUUGACGAUAUUAUUAUUACACUUUUCUCAAAAAAACAUGAUUAACAUUUAGAGAAAAGUCAUGCCUUUUAGAUAGAAUAUGUACAUAAGCUAUCCAUACUUUAUCUUACCAUGAAAAAAUUGAUGGUGAUUAAAUCUACUUUUAAAAUAGAUUUAAUGCACAAAUAUGAUGAUUUUUGGCAAAAAUUAGUUUCGGAAGAUACAAUGGUAGAAAAUAGUGAUGAUUAUUGUUUAAAUGUGUAAAUAGCCUAGGCAUAGCCCGUAAUACCAAUAUCCAUUUACCUUCAUUUAGAUUAUCACAUCUCAUAAUAUUUUUUCAUUCACGACCAUUGUUCGAGAUUUGAACUUGAUCAUAAAUUAAGCUGCAACGGAGUCUACUUAUGUUUCUAAGCUUUUCAAUCGCGAUUCCUCCAUGCCUUUCUUGGAUACCAUUUUACUGACCUUGUAAUUGGUGUGUAUAAGGAAUCAUGCCCUUUCAGGAUUGUUUUCUUUUUCUUUUUUUUUUCCUUAUUGUAGUGUCAAAUAAAUAAAGAACGAACAAUUGAACUUAGUCUAUUUCGAGGAAAACCAAGGCCUGCAAUAUUAGAUGAACUUUGAACAAAAUUAAUCUACUGCUUUUAGGCAAUGAUAACGUAGUUAUUUAUAUACAGUAUAAAUGAUAUUUUUUUGUCGAACGAGACUGUCAUUCAACAUUUAAAAUAUAAAACAUGUGGAAGAUGUUGUAAAUUGAUUGAAUGAAAAUAUCCCAAUGAAGUUUAGAAAAUUUGGUACUUGUUAUCUUAUCGAAAGUUUUCUAAAUUAUACGACUGUUUAAACUUAGCCCCUCCAGGUACUGCCACUUCUUCUACAUGAAAGUCAUAUAAGUUUGUGUUAGCUGCCUAUAGAUUGCAUAACAAUUUUCCUCAGGAAUUGUUGUCCAUUAUGGCAAUUUGAUUGAAAGUGCGGCUGCACUAAUUUUCUAGAUGAACUUCCCUGCAUGUUUGUUCUCAUAUGACCCAGAAUACUGCUAUAACAAUUGUGUUGGAAAUUAUUCAACUGGGUUACUAACUUACUAUUCUACAUCCCCACCAAAAUUUAAACAGUCGACAUUGUGGAAAGAAACACAUUUCGCCACUAGGCUUUUAGUGAGGCUAAUUUCUCUGAAUUUGGACAGAGUAGGUCCUCCAACGAGAACUGAAUCAGGACGAAUCGGCUCUCCAUUUUCUAAUUCGAACGAGCAAAGGAAGCCUGAAUCUGUGACCGUUAUCAAUAUUCUGCUUCCAUUCUGAUUCUCAGGAAGUACUUCUUCAAGAUCAUCCAAUACAUCGUCACCCUCUUUGUAGUAAUCAUCAAGCACAACAAAGUACUUCUUGUUUGUUAGGUAAUCUCGAAGAAUAGAUUUCUUCAAUUGAUAAUCUUCACCGAUAAUUAAUCUUCAAUUGAUCAUAAAUUAAGCUGCAACGGAGUUUACUUAUGUUUCUAAGCUUUUCAAUCGUCAUUCCUCCAUGCCUUUCUUGGAUACCAUUUUACUGACCUUGUAAUUGGUGUGUAUAAGGAAUCAUGCCCUUUAAGGAUCUUUUUUAUUUUUUUUUUUCCUUAUUGUAGUGUCAAAUAAAUAAAGAACGAACAAUUGAACUUGGUCUAUUUCGAGGAAAACCAAGGCCUGCAAUAUUAGAUGAACUUUGAACAAAAUUAAUCUACUGCUUUUAUUCAUCUUUGGACUAUGAAUUUAUACAAAGACUUUAACAGAAAAUAACAAAGACACAGCUACAUGAUACCAAUAAGUGCUGACUUAGUGGACUACUUCUACAACUAAAUAAAAACUAAUUAUUUAUUUUGAUUGUAAUAGCAACUACCCUGAUGAAUAGGACUCCACAACAACCACGUGACAAUUAAUUUCUCCUUAAUAUUAUUAUUAGUAGAAGUAGAUUUUCAAACUAGUCUUGAUAUAUGACAAAGUUGUAUUAUCAAUGUAUAUGCAUUUAGAUUGUAACUAUAUUUUUUUUAAAACAAAUUUAAUUAUUGCACAGUAAAUGUGGAAAAAUAUCUAUAAAAUAAUAUUAUUUACUAUGAAAAAAUAUUAUUUUAGAUAAGUUAUUUAUUUAUUUAUUAUUGAAUGAAUAAUUUAUUAAUUUAUUGAUAAAUGAAUAUUUAUUAAUUUAAAGAGAGAUUAUUUUUCUUUUAAGAAGAGUUUGUUUGGUACAUGUAUACACUUAUUAAUUUAUUGAAGAUGUCCAGCAAUUAAAGAUCUCUGUCUCAAUACUUUUCCCAAUCAAAAUCAAGAAACAAAAAAAAACUUGCCAUUUUUCUACUUGAUAAUUAAUUGAAAUUUAAGAAAAUACAAUGGCAUUUCAAUUAGAAUUGGUAAUUGUUUAUCUUUUUUUCAUUGAUCAAAUUCAAAUCUUUAUCCAAUAGUUAUAAAUGAAAGAAAUAUUAUGAGAGGAGAUAGGCCAAUUGAAGCCGUACCAGCAAAUAAAAAAUAGAAAAGGAGUGCAACUAUUCAACUUCGUAGACAAUAUUGCAACCAUCCAAAGGUGAAGAUCUAUGCUUAUUAUCUAUUUAACAGCUAUAUAUAUAUAUAUUUAAAUAUCAAGAGCUAUGCUUGUAAAUAAGUUCAAAUGUGAUGAGAACAACCUUAUAUUUAUUUAUUUAAAUAUGACCCAGGCUAAUUUCUCUGAAUUGGGACAGAGUAGAUUUCUAAGCUAAUGCUUGGCAGAUCUCUGGACGAUACUACAAAGUGCAUGUACAUUGAGUCUUAAUAAAUAUAAACGAUUCUCUGAUAUGAUUCAAAACAUCACUACAUGCAUAAAUUAAUAAGAAAUGUAUAGUUGUACAUAAUUUUAUGCAUGAGGCAGUUUUUAUAGUUGUACCCUCUCUAAUGAAAUUGAAGGUGCAGCCAGCAACUAAAAUGAAGCAGAAAUGUACACGCAUGAGGCAGUUUUUUUAGAAGAUUGAUAUUUCUUUAACUAGAAAGCCAUACAAGUCCACAGCUAGCCAAACCGUACCUGCAUGUGUCUAGGGCUUAAAUGGAGCACUUCUAAGCAUAAAACAGUAACUAAAACACAUACACAAACAUACAUACCAAAAAAUUCAAAAAAUAGAGAAAGGAACACAACUAUUCAUGUUUGUAGACAAUAUUGCAACCAUGGCAUCAGUUAUAGCAAAUAUUGAAUUACAAUAUUUCCCUUGACGAUUUUGUCUACACAAGUAAAGGGAAAUAAGAAUCAUAGAUGAAAAUCAACUUUUACGGUUCUAAUUAUUAGAUAGAUACAGAAUGAUCUAUCUUUGUUACUUUGUUUCUCUGCUGCAAUGUGCGAUCCCACUCUGUUUUGAUACUCAAAUUGACUCUAUGUGGAGACAUAAUUUUGACAUUGGAAGCAAUCCCAAUUAGUUUGGCAUUUGUAUCACCCUUUGAAGGUUUUACAAUAGAUGCAAAUCUACUGAGAAAAUGGUAAAAAAGUUGCAUAUAAAAUGAGGCAAUUAACAGAAGUAUGAGUUAUCAGAUUAGAUUAAAAGUCACCCAAUUCAAUCUAUCAGAUUCCGUACGGAUAUAACUGGAUGUCAUACCUCCACUCCAUAUCCUCGAAAGUCCGUAGUCUUUGUCUCAACUCUGUUUGAGGCCAAUGUAAAUCCAAUUUGCACAAGCUCUUUAUGCACCAUAGCUCUUCUGGAAGCUUUCUCAAGUAAGCACACGGGUUGACAAUUAAGCUUUCAAGUUUUGGCAUAGCUCCUGCCCCCAUCGUCCACUCGUCUAGCCAAUACAUUGACUUCAGGUGCAAAGUCUUAAGUUCCGGAAAGCCACCAGAGCUAACGCAGGCCAGCUUUCUUCCUAAAUACGAGUUCUGCUUUAGUUUCAGCACUUGAAGGCGUGGAAGCUUUUCCAGCAUUGGCAUGGGAUCCUCCAUUAGCUCAGUAUUUGAUAAGCUCAGUUGCAUCAGACUUGGAGGAAAUUGGUAUUCAGACAGGACCAUCCGUGAGAGCUUGCUCUCAUUCACCAACUUCAAGCAUUCAAUUUUGUGGAGUUCGCAUACGCUUUUGGAAACCCCAGAGUGAUAGCAACUCAAAUCUCCAGACACUCUAAGAGUUUGAAGAUUAGGUAGUCUGCACAAUAUAUCUGGCGUGCAACUACUAGGGUGUAAGGCUGAUAUGAAAAUAAGAUUUUUCAGAUUGAUAGAAUAAUUUUUUGGAGGUGCAGGCAGAGUGAUGGAACCAAAGUUCAGAUGCAUGAGUUUUUGCAUCUUCCAAAUAUCCUCUGGUGUUUGAUCUACGUAGCUAGAUGGCAUGUCUAGUGUUUGAAGGUUUGAAAGGGUGCAUAGCGGUGAAGGAAGACAUUUGAGCGAAGGGAUAUUCAAUUUCAAAUACUUCAAAUGGAAUAAAUUUUCUAAUCCGGGUGGAUAUUGGUCCAGGACUGCAGAACCCAUGUUCAAUACCCGAAGGUGUUUGAACAUUUUACAAAAAUUCUCGCAAUCUAUCGGAUUAAGAUGAUCGCUUUCUGAACUGUGAUUCAGAAAAGAUUGGAGAUACAUGUCCGAAUGUUUCAAAGAAAAGAAUUCAAUCGGAUCAUCGAAAAUGAUGUACCGUUUGGCAUUUGCCAAUGAUUCCUCUUCGAAGUCAGGCGUCCGGACAAAUCCCAUCAUUGCUGCCGUCCCAAGUAACGCAGCAUAUGCAAAAGUUGGAACAUAACUGAUGGGUGUCGAAGCCAACAAAAAUAAAUUCCUACUCUAAAUAAAUUGUGUAUAGUGAUUGAGCAGGGUCGUGUCCACAGAGAUCGGUAAUUAUUUAAAUCCUUUUGAAACGUAAAACGUAAAAUGGGGGAAUUGUAGACAAUAAUAAAAAUCAAAUUAAAUAACAAGAAUGCAAAUUAAAGUUGUAAUUCAAAUUGGAGAAAGCUCUGGUUGAAGGAAUUAACUAAGCUUGAUUCGACUACUGAUCAUUGAUUCAAAUAUAGAUUAUUAUUACUCAUGAAUAGACCGGUUAUAGCUAUUGAGACCCUCUAAUAGCCAAUCUCUCCUUAACUAGUCGAUAACCAAGGUACGACCGUUGGAUAUUUCCCUAAUCAAUAGACAACCCUAGAUACGAUCAUAUGAUUUAAUCAAUUGACAGCCUGAAAAAUCAGAGAGACCCAAAUCCUAAUUAACACAUAUGAUGAUUCAUUUAAAUUAGAUUGUUUAUUCUCACAACACAACUCUCUGCUAUGUUAUUUGUCACAAACAUCAAAUUCUUCAUACGAUGAAUCCUUUAAUUGACAAUAGAUUAAGUUGAUAAUUAAAUAGUGGCCAAUUACCUAAUUAACAAACAUAAUCAUAAAAAUAAUUCAGAGAAUAAACAAAUACCCAAAAAGUAAUAAAACAAUUAAAGCACAAGAAAGAUCUCACAGUAGUGAUGAAUCAAAGCUUCAUUAACCUUCAACCAGAAAAAUGGGUUUAGUUCCUCAUAGAGAGAAUAGAAAAAUUAGAUCUAGGGUUCUUUUUCUCCAAUCCAAAAAUCCCCCUUUUUCACAAUAGAUUCUUCCCUUAAAUACUCUCUCUCUCUUCUCUUUUAGAAUUCUAUUUAAAAUAAAAUACUAAUAUCUGAAAUAUUAAAUUCGUAAUUACAAAAAUAACCAAAAAUACAAAACACGUUAAACUAAAAACUGCAGGUCCGCAGUUGACAGCACGCGCCCACGCCUUAUCAACAAAGUUCUUCUGACGCUCAUAAUUUCUCCAAGAGAACAAUCCUCCUUAAACAUCAUCUUUUAGCUCAAUUUUAUCACCAAUCAAUAGAAUUGCACCUACAAAAGUAAAACACAAGUAAAACAUUAUUAUUAAAUGCAAAACAUCGAUAUUAAGGGAAGUAAAUAAUGCAAAACUAGUGCAUAAAUUGCACUCUAACAAUAACACGCCUUACUUGUGCCUCCGGCUCUUCUCUUAUUCACUUGAAUGAAGCCGCAAUCGAUUAGUUCGUUCAAGUAAUGCUCGGCAGUUUCCUCACUGUUGUAUGGUGUGAAACCUUCAGCUACCCACAACUGAUAUAAUUGCCUGGUAGAUAUCUCAAUGCCUGGAUGGAACACACACAAAUAGAGGCAGCAGAUUUUCAAGUGAGCAGAUAGCUCCAACACAUAAUAAAUUCGACUCCAAGUUGUCAGAAACGCUUUUUCUCCCAUGUAAAUUCUUAAUGUCGUUUUUCCAUAGUAUAGGAUGAAAAAUUGCCAGGAUUCAUGCUUUAAUCUGAUCAAUGGUCCUCCAACGAGAACUGAAUCAGGACGAAUCGGCUCUCCAUUUUCUAAUUCGAACGAGCAAAGGAAGCCUGAAUCCGUGACCGUUAUCAAUACUCUGCUUCCAUUCUGAUUCUCAGGAAGUACUUCUUCAAGAUCAUCCAAUACAUCGUCACCCUCUUUGUAGUAAUCAUCAAGCACAAUAAAGUACUUCUUGUUUGUUAGAUAAUCUUGAAGAAUAGUUUUCUUCAAUUGAUAAUCUUCACCGAUAACUACACUAACCCGAGAUGGAGGCAUUACAGACUUGAUUAUGUCAUCCAAUAUCAUGCGAAAAUCGUAGGAUAUAGAAACCCUGACCCAAGCAUGACAGUCAAAAUAGAACUUGACAUGAUUAUUAUUGUAAGUAUCAGCCGCAAAAGCAGUCUUAUCAAAGCCACUGCUGUCGAGAAUUGCAACCACUGAAAGCUGAGGUUGUCCCUCGAUCAGUAAAUCAAACAACUCCUCUCUGCCGCUUUCAAAUUCAUUCUUAUUAAGCUGAAAUAAUAUCAACUUCGCUCUUUGAAAUCAAAACCAUUGUCUCUAGGUGGAAGUUGUUUCAACUGAUUUCUAAUAUCAAUGAUUUUACUGUGGAAUCCAACAAGAAGAGCAAUGCAAGUAGUGCUUUCACUUUCACUGCUUUGUUGCUGCGUGUUGUUGAUGAAGAAUGUGUCAAUAGCUUUCUCAGAUUCAUCGACAAAGUAAUUGAUGUCUUUCAGAAGUUCCCUAAUGUCUGUUCUUUUAACAUUUUCUAAGUGCAAGAGCUGCCGAUAACGCGAAGGUAUUUCGUCUUCAUCGAAUUGUUCUCUAAUGAGUUGAAUUAAAACCCGAGCCAUGUCAGCUUCAUAGUUUCCCGGCAGACUAGUAGCAAUAAUUUCGGACUCCGUAAGAAGGUUUUGAAAAAGUGGAGUUAAAUUUGUUGAAUCAGGCAAAGUUAACGUGCCUUCUUCACCUGCUAACACCCUCUGCAACCUCACACCAAAUAGGGUGAGGUUAAUUUCCAUAUCUUUCCCUCUCUCAGUAGUACUCAGAGGUGAAUAACAACCUCACCCUUUGUUAGUAUUGAUGACGAAAGCUGAAUAACAAAACAACAGUGUACACAAUCAACAGAAGGCAAAGUAUGUUAAUUUGAGAUCAAAGGAUAUAAAUAUAGGAAAAGUUUUUGUAGAUUGAAAAUGGAUGGAUGCAAAGAAUGACUGAUAUUAAAUGAUUCUAUAAAUGAGAUAUGCCAAGAAUGAAUGAUAUUAAGUGAACAUCAAGGAUGGGAACAAAAUUUAAAGGUAACCUUUUUUUUUUUUUAAGUACUCUGUUGAAAGCCAAAGUUCCUUUGGCCAAUUAAUUUAGAAGUGAAGGAAAGAAUAAAGUUAGUCCUUGAUGUCUUUUGAAAUUAGAAAUACAUUUUGAAUGCCUUAAUAGAUGCAGAGCAAACUGGCUCGAUAUCUAACUAUUUUAAGAGCUAAAAUCAUUUAUUAGAAGUUGUAGCAUUAAAAAAAAUGGGCUUGAUAUCCAAUUUUGUUAUUGAAUAUGUCUCACGUGAGAGUAUAUAACUGUUGUGUUACUGGCAGAUGGCUAUGCUAGGUUUUAUUGCUCCUUGAAUUUGAUUGAAAAAUUAUUGAGACGGACAAGUUUGGACCAUUGUUCGAGACUGAAACUACACAUCAGUCUUAGAAAAUUGUAAUUUUAUUGGCUUAUCAUGAUUUUCAUCGCCCCAUAUUGAUUUUCCUAUGAUGUCUCUGUAGAGUGGCUAUGCUUACAUUUUUAGGUAUUUACUUCUAAAGGUUAACUUAUUAGAUGGAGGGACCAAUUCUACCCAUAAAUCCAAGUGGCUUCCCUUUACUAACUCAUAUGAGACACAACAAUAAUUUUCUUUGGACAAAACCACUGUUGGAGGGUUAUUUUCAUUCAAGAUACAUGAGUUGUUCCACCACCAUAUUUUGAGGGUUUGCUUUGGAUAUGACUUGGGGGAGCUAAGGCUAAGAUUUCUGAGUAGCAACAUAAAAACCUUGCCUAUUGGAUGGAAGGACCAAUCCUACUUUAAAGUCUAAAUGACUAAUUCUUGAGGACACAACUCAACAGACCAAUAUAAACUUUUGACGUCCCAUUUUAUUACUUUCCAGUGCUUUUACUUUUGCUGUCUAGAUAAAAACUAGUAUCAGUUUUUUUAUUUUUCCAUGUUAAAAAUGAUAAUUCUACAAUACAAACCGUUUCAAACAAAGAAGUAGACGAUAUUGAUAUUGAAUAAUAUCUUAUCCCAGAACGACAAUACUAAUUAUAAUUUCUUUUCGCACUGCAAAAAGUAAAAAAUGAGAUCCAAAUUGAAAUUAAUUCGACAAAGAAGCAAACAUUUCUAAGAACAUAUUUUAUACAAGUUUAUAGACAUAUCAUAUGGAUUUUGUUUUAUGCUAGAUAAUUAUUAAUUUAUAUAGCAAGUGGGUCCAUAACAAAAUAUGAAUUUAAGAAGAAGAAAAACUAUGUUUUACAAAAUUUCUGAAAUUAUUAACUUUUCACUUCGUCCAUCACAAAAAUUAUUAUUUAAUUCAGAUUAUCAAUUUAUUAAGAAUUAAUUCAAUGAGAUUUUAACAUAAAUAGUUACUUAUUAUCAUGUUUACGUUUCUCAACCAUUAAUUGCUUCAACUAAUUUUUGUUUCCACACACAAAUUUAUUGUAAAAAUAGUUCAACGUGUGUCUUUCUUCAAAUAACAAUUUUCUUGCCAAAAACAGUUUUCUUGUCACAAACAGAAAGUUUGUGUUAGCUGAAUGUCAUAUAAAAAACUGCCACUUCUUCUACAUGAAUGUCAUAUAAAUUUGUGUUAGCUGCCUAUAGAUUGCAUAAUAAUUUUCCUCAGGAAUUGUUGUCCAUUAUGGCAAUUUGAUUGAAAGUGAGGCUAAUUUCUCUGAAUUUGGACAGAGUAGGUCCUCCAGCGAGAACUGAAUCAGGACGAAUCGGCUCUCCAUUUUCUAAUUCGAACGAGCAAAGGAAGCCUGAAUCUGUGACCGUUAUCAAUACUCUGCUUCUAUUCUGAUUCUCAGGAAGUACUUCUUCAAGAUCAUCCAAUACAUCGUCACCCUCUUUGUACUAAUCAUCAAGCACAAUAAAGUACUUCUUGUUUGUUAGGUAAUCUCGAAGAAUAGAUUUCUUCAAUUGAUAAUCUUCGCCGAUAAUUACACUAACCCGAGAUGGAGGCAUCACAGACUUGAUUAUGUCAUCCAAUACCAUGCGAAAAUCGUAGGAUAUAGAAACCCUGACCCAAGCAUGACAGUCAAAAUAGAACUUGACAUGAUUAUUGUUGUAAGUAUCAGCAGUAAAAUCAGUCUUAUCGAAGCUACUGCUGUCGAGAAUUGGCUUGCAACCACUGAAAGCUGAGGUUGUCCCUCAAUCAAUAAAUCAAACAACUCCUCUCUGCCGCUGUCAAAUUCACUCUUAUCGAGCUGUGAUUGUGCCUCAAUCAAUAAGUGAGUGAAUUCGUUCCUUCGUUCUCUGAAAUCAAAACCAUUGUCUUCAGGUGGAAUUUGUUGCAACCGAUUUCUAAUAUCAAUGAUUUCACUGCUUUGCUGCUGCGUGAUGUUGAUGAAGAAUGUGUCAAUAGCUUUCUCAGAUUCACGGACAAAGUAAUUGAUGUCUUUCAGAAGUUCCCAAAUGUCUGUUCUUUUAGCAUUUUCUAAGUGAGCUGCCGAUAACGCGAAGGUAUUUCGUCUUCAGCGAAAUGUUCUCUAAUGAGUUGAAUCAAAACCCGAGCCACGUCAGCUUCAUAGUUUACCAGCAGAGUAUUAGCAAUAAUUUCGGUCUCCGUAAGAAGGUUUUGAAAAAGUGGAGUUAAAUUUGUUGAAUCUGGCAGCGGCAACGUGCCUUCUUCACCUGCUAACACCCUUUUCAACCUCACACCAUAUAGUGUGAGGUUAAUUUCCAUAUCUUUCCCUCUCUCAGUAGUACUCAGAGGUACGUAUUGUUAUUUGUUAGUGUUGAUGACGAAAGCUGAAUAUCAAAGGAUAUAAAUAAAACAAAAGUUUUUGUAGAUUGAGAAUGGAUGGAUGCAAAGAAUGGCUGAUAUUAAAAUAUUCUAUAAAUGAGAUAUGCAAAGAAUGAAUGAUAUUAAGUGAACAUCAAGGAUGGGAACAAAAUUUAAAGGUAACUUUUUUUUUUUUUUAAAGUAGUCUGUUGAAAGCCGAAGUUCCUUUGGCCAGUUAAAGUUAGUCCUCGACGUCUUUUGAAAUUAGAAAUACAUUUUGAAUGCUUUAAUAGAUGCAGAGCAAACUGGCUCGAUAUCUACCUAUUUUAAGAGCUAAAAUCAUUUAAUAGAAGUUGUAGCAUUAAAAAAGAAAAAAAAAACUGGCUUGAUAUCCAAUUUUGUUAUUGAAUAUGUCUCAUGUGAGAGUAAAAAAAACUGGCUUGAUAUCCAAAAUUUAAAGGUAACUCCUUGAAUUUGAUUGAAAAAUUAUUGAGACGGACAAGUUUGGACCAUUGUUCGAGACUGAAACUACACAUCAGUCUUAGAAAAUUGUAAUUUUGUUGGCUUAUCAUGAUUUUCAUCGUCUCACAUUGAUUUUCCUAUGGCGUCUCUGUAGAGUGGCUAUGCUUACAUUUUUAGGUAUUUAAUUCUAAAAAUUAACUUAUUAGAUGGAAGGACCAAUUCUACCUGUAAAUCCAAGUGGCUUCCCUUUACCAACUCAUACAAGACACAACAAUAAUCUUCUUCGGAAAAAACCACCGUCGGAGGGUUAUUUUCGUUCAACAUAAAUGAGUUGUUCCGCCACCAUAUUUUAAAGGUUUGCUUCUAAUACAACUUGGGGGAGCUAGGGCUAAGAUUUCUAAGAAUCAACAUAAAACCCUCGCCUAUUAGACAGAAGGACCAAUCCUACUUAUGAGUCUAAAUGACUAAUUUUUGAGGACACAACUCAACAGACCAAUAUAAACUUUUGACGUCCCAUUUUAUUACUUUCCUGUGUUUUUACUUUUGAUGCUGUCUAUAGCCCUACUAUUCUAUUAAGCAGAAAAUAUUUCAAGGCACUCUCGGUCCAGUAGAUAACUUUGGUAUUUAUUAUCUAUUUUCUUUCCAUUUUAUGUAUACCCCGAUCUUUACCUCUGAUUGGUUGUAGAUUCUUUUGUUGCUUUGGGGUUAGGGGAUGGUUUUCAUAACUAUUCAGUUGAUCAAUGCAGAAAAUCACCAUCAAGAAAUGAUAAAGGAUUGUUAGUUCUAUCUCUGACAAACAACAUUAAUAUGAAGGAUGAUGAUUGUUCUGUUCAAGAGUUUAUAAUGACAUAAUUCUACUUUGGUCUUUUAAAAAAAGUAAUUUAGAAACGAGGAGUAUGUGAGUGAUGAUUUUUACAAAAUAAAUUACAUGCGUAGUGAUGAUUUUGGCACAUGAAAAUGAAAAAAGAAAUAUAAAUUGUGAAUAAUAAUUGAAGAACCUGCUAUUGGUAUAUUGAGUAAUCAAGGACUUCAAUAUUCGGACGAUAUAAGCAACACAAUCAAAUAUUAGUUGGAAGGCAUAGCAAAAUUAGAAUGUAGAACAAACUGGGUAUUGAUAAAUGGAUGGUUUUGGAAGAAUUGAAAAUGAUGGCAUAAGUAAACCAAAGUUUAGAGAAAAGAGAAAGAGCAUUUGAACUUUACUUGUAAGAAAAGGCAAAUAUCUUGGUUCAAGAAAAGAUAAGAGAUAUCAAACUAGCAAUAGGAAAAAGGAGGAAGGUUAAGACAGCAUCUUAACAAAAGCUAAAGAAAAGAAAAACUUAGUUCAAGCAAAGAACAAUGUGCUAAUGUCGUGUAAUUUUGUUUAAUUUCUUUUUCUUCUCACAUUUUCCAGGGCUUAAAUAAUACAAUAUACAUUUUCAAGCAAAGAACAAUAUGCAAUUGCAGUACUUCUGAGCACACAACAACAAAUAAAUAAUACAAUAUACAUAGCCAGUAAAUUAAAAAUAUAUAUAUUAUUCAAGUUUGUGGACAAUACUGUAGCCAUGGCGUCGUCGAAAUCUACUGACAGCUGAAACAAAGAAAGAAUGGAUGAAUGCUGGAUCACAGUUGAAAUUGAAGGUCUGGUAGGUGAUGUUUCCCUCUCUUUUUUUACCUAAACAAAUACAAGAAAAUCAGAAUCACAAAUGAAAAUCUGCUAUUACACUGUUCUUACCUAUUAAAAUACAGAGGUUUCUUUGUUUCUCAGCAGCAAUGUCCAUGGCUAUUAGAAACAAGAACAAUUAGACCAGCAUUUGCAAGAAUCCUGUAAGGUAUUACUGCAGAUAUAAAUCGACUGAGGAAAUGGAAAAAUUGAAUACCAAAUUAGGCAAGUUAAAUGAAGAUUGAGUUAUCAUAGAAGAAUAAAACUCAUCCAAUUCAAUCCAUCAAAUUCCAUAAGGAUACAACUGGAUGUCAUACUGCUGCUCCAUAUCCUCAAGAGCCCGUAGAUUUUGCCUCAACUCUGGCUGAGGCCAAUGUAAGUCCAAUUUGCAAAAGCUCUUUAUGCACCAUAGCUCUUCAGGAAGCUUUCUCAAGUAAGCACAAGGGUUGACAAUUAUGCUUCCAAGUUUUGGCAUUGCUCCAGCCCCUAUCGUCCACUCCUCUAGCCAAUACAUUGAUUUCAGGUGCAAUACCUUGAGCUCCGGGAAACCACAAGAGCAAACACAAGCCAGUUUUCUUCCUGAAUAUGAGUUCUGCUUCAAUUUCAGCACUUGAAGGUGUGGAAGCUUGUCUAGUGUUAGCAUGGUAUCCUCCAAUAACUCAGUAUUUGAUAAGCUUAGAUGGAUCAGACUUGGAGAAGCUGGUAUUUAGACAGGGCCAUCCGAGAGAGCUACCACCUCUUGGUUUCGUUCACCAGCUUCAAGCAUUCAAGUUUAAUAAUGAUUAGUUUUAGAUUAGUUAAAAUGUAAUCAUGAUUAAGAUAAAUAUAUAUAUAUAUAUAGCUGCUGUACUGAUAUCAUGGAUUAAGUGUUGAGAAAUAAAAUUCAUUAAGCAUUUCCAGAACUCUUGAUUUUCUUUCUCAGUAACCAAGCAACUUCAAUCACAUUUUUUUUUUCCAACAAUGAGUUCUCAAACCACUCAGGUAUCAUUUUCAGACAUUCUUGGCCUUGUACUCACCAUCAAAAUGGAUUGGUUGAGAGAAAACAUAGGCAUAUUGAUGGUUGUCGAAGCCAGCAAAAAUAAACACCUACUCUAAAUAAAUUGUGUAUAGUAAUUGAGCAGGGUCGUGUCCACGAAAAUCGGUAAUUAUUUAAAUCUUUUUAAAAUGUAAAAUACAAAAUGGGGGAAUUGUUGACGAUAAUAAAAAUCAAAUUAAAAUAACAAGAAUGCAAAUUAAAGUUGUAAUCCAAAUUGGAGAAAGCUCUGGUUGAAGGAAUUAACUCAGCUUGAUUCGACUACUGAUCAUUGAUUCAAAUAAAUAUUAUUACUACUUAUGAAUAGACCGGUUAUAGCUACUGAGACCCUCUAAUAGCCAGUCUCUCCUUAACUAGCCGAUAACCAAGGUACGACCUUUGGUUAUUUCCCUAAUCAAUAGACAACCCUAGAUACGAUCAUAAGAUUUAAUCAAUUGACAGUCUGAAAAACCAGAGAGACCCAAAUCCUAAUCAACAAACACAUACGAUGGUUCAUUUAAAUUAGAUUGUUUAUUCUCACAACACAACUCUCUGCUAUGUUAUUUGUCACAAACAUUAAAAUUUUCAUACGAUGAAUCCUUUAAUUGACAUUAGAUUAAGUUGAUAAUUAAAUAGUGGCCAAUUAUCUAAUUAACAAAAAUAAUCAUGAUAAUAAUUCAGAGAAUAAACAAAUACCCAAAAAGUAAUAAAACAAUUAAAGCAUAAGAAAGAUCUCACAGUAGUGAUGAAUCAAAGCUUCAUUAACCUUCAACCAGAAUAAUAAGUUUAGUUCUUCAUAGAGAGAAGAGAAAAAUUUAGAUCUAGGGUUUUCUCUUUUCCCCAAUAAGUCCCUUUUUUCACAAUAGAUUCCUCCCUUAAAUACUCUCUCUCUCUUCUCCUCUAGAAUUCUAUUUAAAAUAAAUACUAAUAUCUGAAAUAUUAAAUUCGUAAUUACAAAAAUAACCAAAAAUACAAAACACGUUAAACUAAAAACUGCAGGUCCGUAGUUGACAGCACAAGCCCACGCCUUAUCAACAAAGUUCUUCUGACGCUCAUAAUUUCUCCAAGAGAACAAUAAUCCUUAAACAUCAUCUUGUAGCUCAAUUUUAUCACCAAUCAAUAGAAUUGCACCUACAAAAGUAAAACACAAGUAAAUCACUAUUAUUAAGUGCAAAACAUCGAUAUUAAGGGAAGUAAACAAUGCAAAACUAGUGCAUAAAUUGCACUCUAACAAUUAAGUUUGACUCUGUUGGCUCAAGCUCAACUUCCUUUUAAAUUCUGGUGGGAUGCAUUCCAUACUGCUCUAUAUCACAUCAAUAGAUUACCAUCUUCUGUUUUCAAACUUUCGACCCCAUAUGAGAAGAUAUUUAAGCACAAACCUGAUUAUGAUUUUCUCAAAUGUUUUGGUUGUAUUUGUUAUCCUUACUUGAGAGACUAUAACAAACAUAAGUUUGCCUACCAUUCCAGUAAGUGUAUAUUCAUUGGUUAUAGUCCUUCACAAAAGGGUUAUAAAUGCUUACAUUCUUCAGGUCAUGUCUAUGUGGCAUGACAUGUUAUCUUUGAUGAGUCAACCUUUCCUUAUGCUACUGAAUCUGUUUUUCAUAGUCACACAAAUUCUGAUUCUCAUUCUUCAAACUUAUUUACUCCACAGCAUGUCUAUUAUCUUUCUACUUUACCUGUCAUACCAGUAUUUCUAAAUAACAACACUGAUAAUCUAAACUCUACAAAACUAAAAUGCCAGCUUUUUGGUGUUAGCGAUAGGAAACAACUUACCACAACCAUUAAUUAUCCAUAAUUUCAUUGUUUAUCCUCAGUUUUCUUCAUAAAUGUUACAGCAUUCUUCAUGAGAAAGUGCAAGGGCAUCUCAAAAGUUCUGAAAUAAUACCUCAAUUCUAUUGCAAAAAUAAAUAAUCUCAAACAAGAACCAAUAAUCAUAUUUCGUUACUGUCAAACACAAUGCAUCUGAGCAAAACAUUGGAAGCCAACACCAGAAUACAUAUGAAUAAACAAUUAAAGAUAGAGAAAAAAGGCUUAAACCUUGGGGGAAAAAAGUGAAAAAACAUGAAAGACAAAUUACACAUGUGCAGUAACCAUCGAACUUAUCAGUGACAGCUGCAUCCAUUACAUUGCUCCAACAACACAAUGGCAAACCACCAGUUUCAAAUUGAGGAUAGCUCUCGAGAAUGAGAAAGUGUCCAAAACGUCAUAAAUAGACAUGUUCCUAUUGUGCAUAAUUUACAUUAUAGGCAAAUAUUCUUAUACCAUCAAAGGCAAAACAUGACACUAACAAUUGGGAAUCCACUCCCCCCUUUUCCUUUUUUACCCUCAUAAUUAAAAUAAAUAAAUAAUAUUUAAUAAAAUAAAUAAUAUCAUAUUUAUUAAAAAUAAUAAUUAUAAACAUAUUUAUUUUAUUAAAUUUAAUAAAAUAAAAAUAAAUAAAUAUUAUAUUUAAAUUAAUAAUAUUAAACAUUAUUUUAAUAAAUAUUAAUUAAUUAUUUAAUUAAUAAUAAUAAAUAUUUUAUUCUAAGAAAAUAUUAAUUUUGUACUAUAUUAUCAAUAAUAAUGUUUCAUUUGUGUUGCUAUUAUUAAUAAUUUUUAUUCACAUAAUUUAAAUUAAAAUUAAUAAAAAAUUAUGAUUUACAUAAUUAAGAAUAUUAUUAAUUAUUAUUAAUUUAUAAAUAUAAUAAAAUAUUUAUUUUAUUUUUCAAAUAUAUUUUUUAUUAAUUUUGUAAUUACAAAUUAUAAUUCUUUAAAUAAGGGUAAAAUUGUAAUUUAAAACUAUUUACUUCCAAUCCAAGACAAUGUAAACACAUAAAUUGGAUUCUGGUUUCAAUUCCAUUCUCUCAUUCCAUUGUAAGUAAACAACCUACUCCAACUCCCACUCCAAACUCCCAAUCUUAGGAUUCCCACUCCUCAGGAUUCCCACUCCAAUCCAAAAUGUAAACGCAUAUAAAAGUAUUUUGAGCAUUACUGGUCAUUGUCUUUCUAUGAGCCACUUAUUUUGAGCAUUAGCGACCUUAUAAGGAAUCAUGCCUUUUCAGGAUCGUUUUCUUUCAUUUCCCUAUUGUCGUAGUUAAUUAAAUAAAGAACGAACAGCUGAACUUGGUCUAUUUCGAGGAAGACCAAGGCUUCCAAUACUAGAGGAACUUUGAAGAAAAUUAAUUGGAAGCCUUCAUUCAUCUUUGAAGAAAAUUACGUGCCAACGUAACCAAGGCUUUUAUUCAUCUUCGGACUAUGAAUUUAUACAAAGACAUUAACAGAAAAUAACAAAGACACAGCUAAAUGAUAGCAGCAAGUGCUGAUUUAGUGAACCACUUUUACAAGUAAAUAAAAAGUAAAUAUUUAUUUUGACUAUAACAACAACUACCCUCUUGAAUAGGACUCUACAGCAGCCACGUGACAACUAAUUUUUCCAUAAUAUUAUUAUUAGUAGAAGUAGAUUUUCAAACUAGUCUUGAUAGAUUUCAAAGUUGUAUUAUCAAUGUAUAAGUAUCUAGAUUGUAACUAUAUUUUUAAAAAUAAAAUAUUUUAAUUAUUGCACAGUAAAUGUAGAAGAAUAUCUGUAAAAUAAUAUUAUUAGGACUAAGAAAAAAUAUUAUUUCAGAUACGUUAUUUAUUUAUUAUUGAAUUAAUAAUUUAUUAAUUUAUUGAUAAAUGAAUAUUUAUUAAUUUAAAGAAAGACUUUUUUGGUUUUAUGAAGAGUUUGUUUGGUACAUGCACACACUUAUAAAGAAACAUAAAAAGUGCUUCCUCAAGUCAAUGGUAUUUGCUCUAAUCGCUACGAUUCAUAAUAAUAUAGCUUAGUUAGGAAAUUUGUAAUUAUAAUAUGAUUCUUUUAAUACAACUUUUCAAGUAGAGCUUAUUUAAGUAGAGAUUUUGUUAAUAGAGGUAUUAUAAAUAAAGAUUCCACUAAAAAAAAUUUAGUUGUUUGAUUAUAAUGUCCAAAUUGAUGAACUUUUAUUCUUUUGUUAACAUCUGUUUGUUUUACUUAAUAAUAAAAGUUUAGUUUACAAUUACACCGGUAUCAAAUCAGCAGAGCAUUGUUGUUUUACUUUAUAAAAGCAUCGGCAAGAGUUUUCGAUUGUUGCAACUUGCAAUGCACGCGGUGAGAGAAAAUGAGAAUCUUGUUUAAUUGUCAAUAAUGACAAACCUAAUCCUUUCAUUAGGAGUAAUUUAAUAAUCGUUUGUUAUAAUUGAAUAGGUAUAAAGAAAGGACAAUUCUAUUCAUAGAUUCGACUUAUUUUUUUGUUUAAAGUAAGUAAUCAUUCAACCAUCUUCAUUUGCCUCUGGCCAAUGCCCUAGUAGAUUAGUUGAAGCGUUAAUUACUUAAUUCAGAUAAUUACAACGUCCUUUUCGCUAAUUAAUUAUGAUUAUGUACAUUUUCAUAUAGCAAGUGGCAUUGUAGAUAUAAACUAAGUUGCUAUUUCAAUACGUUAAUCAAGUGAUUCUCCUCAUUGUCAUCAGCGUCAUACCCUCUAGGAAAAUAGCUCAAUUGUUUCCAUGCAUUGAUUUUCAUUGGUAUGUGAUUUCAGAUUUCUUAUGAAAUUCUUUUGAGCUUUCCUUAUUAAUUGAUUUUCAAUUAACUUGUGAACGAUUUUAUACCCUCUCUUUUUUUUUUUUUUAAGUACUCUAUUGAAAGCCAAAGUUCCUUUGGCCAGUUAAUUUAGAAGUGAAGGAAAGAAUAAAGUUAGUCCUCGACGUCUUUUGAAAUUAGAAAUACAUUUUGAAUGCUUUAAUAGAUGCAGAGCAAACUGGCUCGAUAUCUAACUAUUUUAAGAGCUAAAAUCAUUUAAUAGAAGUUGUAGCAUUAAAAAAAAAAAAAACUGGCUUGAUAUCCAAUUUUGUUAUUGAAUAUGUCUCAUGUGAGAGUAAAAAAAAACUGGCUUGAUAUCCAAAAUUUAAAGGUAACUCCUUGAAUUUGAUUGAAAAAUUAUUGAGACGGACAAGUUUGGACCAUUGUUCGAGACUGAAACUACACAUCAGUCUUAGAAAAUUGUAAUUUUGUUGGCUUAUCAUGAUUUUGAUCGCCUCACAUUGAUUUUCCUAUGGCGUCUCUGUAGAGUGGCUAUGCUUACAUUUUUAGGUAUUUAAUUCUAAAAAUUAACUUAUUAGAUGGAAGGAACAAUUCUACCUGUAAAUCCAAGUGGCUUCCCUUUACCAACUCAUACAAGACACAACAAUAAUCUUCUUCGGAAAAAACCACCGUCGGAGGGCUAUUUUCGUUCAACAUAUAUGAGUUGUUCCGCCACCAUAUUUUAAGGGUUUGCUUCUAAUACAACUUGGGGGAGCUAGGGCUAAGAUUUCUAAGUAUCAACAUAAAAACCUCACCUAUUGGAUAGAAGGACCAAUCCUACUUAUAAGUCUAAAUGACUAAUUUUUGAGAACACAACUCAACAGACCAAUAUAAACUUUUGACGUCCCAUUUUAUUACUUUCCAGUGCUUUUACUUUUGCUGUCUAUAGCCCUACUAUUCUAUUAAGCAGAAAAUAUUUCAAGGCACUCUCGGUCCAGUAGAUAACUUUGGUAUUUAUUAUCUAUUUUCUUUCCAUUUUAUGUAUACCCCGAUCUUUACCUCUGAUUGGUUGUAGAUUCUUUUGUUGCUUUGGGGUUAGGGGAUGGUUUUCAUAACUAUUCAGUUGAUCAAUGCAGAAAAUCACCUUCAAGAAAUGAUAAAGGAUUGUUAGUUCUAUCUGGCAAACAACAUUAAUAUGAAGGAUGGUGGUUGUUCUGUUCAAGAGUUUAUAAUGACAUAAUUCUACUUUGGUCUUUUAAAAAAAGUAAUUUAGAAACGAGGAGUAUGUGAGUGAUGAUUUUUACAAAAUAAAUUACAUGCGUAGUGAUGAUUUUGGCACAUGAAAAUGAAAAAAGAAAUAUAAAUUGUGAAUAAUAAUUGAAGAACCUGCUAUUGGUAUAUUGAGUAAUCAAGGACUUCAAUAUUCGGACGAUAUAAGCAACACAAUCAAAUAUUAGUUGGAAGGCAUAGCAAAAUUAGAAUGUAGAACAAACUGGGUAUUGAUAAAUGGAUGGUUUUGGAAGAAUUGAAAAUGAUGGCAUAAGUAAACCAAAGUUUAGAGAAAAGAGAAAGAGCAUUUGAACUUUACUUGUAAGAAAAGGCAAAUAUCUUGGUUCAAGAAAAGAUAAGAGAUAUCAAACUAGCAAUAGGAAAAAGGAGGAAGGUUAAGACAGCAUCUUAACAAAAGCUAAAGAAAAGAAAAACUUAGUUCAAGCAAAGAACAAUGUGCUAAUGUCGUGUAAUUUUGUUUAAUUUCUUUUUCUUCUCACAUUUUCCAGGGCUUAAAUAAUACAAUAUACAUUUUCAAGCAAAGAACAAUAUGCAAUUGCAGUACUUCUGAGCACACAACAACAAAUAAAUAAUACAAUAUACAUAGCCAGUAAAUUAAAAAUAUAUAUAUUAUUCAAGUUUGUGGACAAUACUGUAGCCAUGGCGUCGUCGAAAUCUACUGACAGCUGAAACAAAGAAAGAAUGGAUGAAUGCUGGAUCACAGUUGAAAUUGAAGGUCUGGUAGGUGAUGUUUCCCUCUCUUUUUUUACCUAAACAAAUACAAGAAAAUCAGAAUCACAAAUGAAAAUCUGCUAUUACACUGUUCUUACUUAUUAAAAUACAGAGGUUUCUUUGUUUCUCUGCAGCAAUGUCCAUGGCUAUUAGAAACAAGAACAAUUAGACCAGCAUUUGCAAGAAUCCUUUAAGGUAUUACUGCAGAUAUAAAUCGACUGAGGAAAUGGAAAAAUUGAAUACCGAAUUAGGCAAGUUAACUGAAGAUUGAGUUAUCAUAGAAGAAUAAAACUCAUCCAAUUCAAUCCAUCAAAUUCCACAAGGAUACAACUGGAUGUCAUACUGCUGCUCCAUAUCCUCAAGAGCCCGUAGAUUUUGCCUCAACUCUGGCUGAGGCCAAUGUAAGUCCAAUUUGCAAAAGCUCUUUAUGCACCAUAGCUCUUCAGGAAGCUUUCUCAAGUAAGCACAAGGGUUGACAAUUAUGCUCCCAAGUUUUGGCAUUGCUCCAGCCCCUAUCGUCCACUCCUCUAGCAAAUAAAUUGAUUUCAGGUGCAAUACCUUGAGCUCCGGGAAACCACAAGAGCAAACACAAGCCAGUUUUCUUCCUGAAUAUGAGUUCUGCUUCAAUUUCAGCACUUGAAGGUGUGGAAGCUUGUCUAGUGUUAGCAUGGUAUCCUCCAAUAACUCAGUAUUUGAUAAGCUUAGAUGGAUCAGACUUGGAGAAGCUGGUAUUUAGACAGGGCCGUCCGAGAGAGCUACCACCUCUUGGUUUCGUUCACCAGCUUCAAGCAUUCAAGUUUGUGUAGUUCGCAUAGGCUUUUGGAAACCCCAGAACGAUAAUAACUCAAACCUCCAGAUACUAAGAGUUUGAAAAUGAGGUAGUCUGCCUGUUAAAGUAGCUCACUAUGCUGAACGAAAGAAGGAGAAAGCUAAGCUGAAGAAAAUACAGGGCAAGAGUAUUAGCUGUGCCAGCUCAACUGACAGCUCAGCAAAAUCAGUUAAAUUUUGUUACAAGCUCCCUGUGCAUUGUGCUGAAGAUUAGUUAGUUUAAUAAUGAUUAGUUUUAGAUUAGUUAAAAUGUAAUCAUGAUUAAGAUAAAUAAAUAAAUAUAUAUAUAGCUGCUGUACUGAUAGGGCAUCUCAAAAGUUCUGAAAUAAUACCUCAAUUCUAUGGCAAAAAUAAAUAAUCUCAAACAAGAACCAAUAAUCAUAUUUCGUUACUGUCAAACACAAUGCAUCUAAGCAAAACAUUGGAAGCCAACACCAGAAUACAUAUGAAUAAACAAUUAAAGAUAGAGAAAAAAGGCUUAAACCUUGGGGGAAAAAAGUGAAAAAACAUGAAAGACAAAUUACACAUGUGCAGUAACCAUCGAACUUAUCAGUGACAGCUGCAUCCAUUACAUUGCUCCAACAACACAAUGGCAAACCACCAGUUUCAAAUUGAGGAUAGCUAUCGAGAAUGAGAAAGUGUCCAAAACGUCAUAAAUAGACAUGUUCCUAUUGUGCAUAAUUUACAUUAUAGGCAAAUAUUCUUACACCAUCAAAGGCAAAACAUGACACUAACAAUUGAUCCCCCCCCAAAACCAAAAAAAAGGAAAAAACAAUACAGAAAAGAUUGAAACAGAUAAGGCUACACUGAGCACAGGAUGCCAUGAAACAUAAUCCAGGAACCAAAUUAAUAAAAAAGGAAGCCAAACCAUUAUUUAACAAUCUGUUUUGUAUUUGGGAAAGUCUGAUAAAAUCUACUUAGGGAUAAUUAGAGAACCUCAACUAUUAAUCACACCUCAUAAAUGAACUAACAUUAACCAUCUACCAUCCCCACGUCACACAAACAUUCUCUAUACUUCUGAACCUAAUCCAUCUUCAAUUGGGGUUUUUUUUUUUUUUUUUGGGUGGCGGGGGGGGGGAGCUAUCAAUUUUCUAAGCUUGCUUAGCUUCUGUGUGGGAUUGAAAUGCUGAUUUCAAAUCACUAACAGUAAAAUUGGAAGCUCAUGAAAAAACAGUUUUAUCUCAAAAUUACAUCUCGAUAUAAAUUCUCUUUUCAUUUCCUUCAACUUUCUAAUUAAGCUUAAAAAAUGUACCUUCAACCACAAAGGGGUUUAAAAUUUAAAAUAUAAAAAAUAAAUUCAGAUAACAAUAAUUAAUUUAAUUAAAAAUAUAAAUAGAGUUACAGAGAAAGAGAAAUUAGAGAAAGACCUAAUGUUGAGUCCUUUGGCGCAUGUCUCUUCAUAGGUCCGAACCAUUUCUUCGGGCGUGGGUUACGGCCGAGAUUGGAUAAUGAUGGAGGAGGAGAAGAUUAGCGAUGACGACGCCGAUGAAAUGGAAGGGUUUACCAGAGGAGUGGAUGCGAAGAGUGCAGGGACGGCCGCAGAGAGAGAGCAGCGGAGUGCGGCGACGGACGGUAGUGACCAGCGGAGGCGGAAGAUGGCGGUAUGGGCCAUUGCUUGCGCGUCGGUGAGUGUCUCGAGUGAGAGAGUGAAACCUCUACUUAAAUAAGUUCUACUUGAAAAACCGUACCAAACGGAGCUUAAAGUUAAUAGUCUCGUAUCUCCCGCAUUUGAUAUCUUAUUGGCAUCAGCGUGUUACCUAAGAUUGGGAUUCAUUAAAAUCCUCAAUGUAAUCGGUGGAACGAAUGGAUUUCUUCUGUUCACCUAUCCACCAAAAUUUCUGUAAUUAAAUUCAAAAGUCAAGAUCUAUGCUUAUUAUCUAUUCAACAGCUAAUAUUCUAAUUUAUAUUUACUUAAAUAUGAAGAGCUAUGCUUGUAAUUAACUUCAAAUGUGAUCGAAGCAGCCUUACAUCUGUAUAUUACUUAUUCCCAACCUUUUUUUUGACUUCAUAUACUUUCUUUUCAUGUUAUUUACUCUUUUUUUUCCCCUCUCUGACAAUUGAGGUAGGGGGUCAAACUUGAAAGUAUCUUAAAAUCAGACAUUUUUUUUUAAUAAUAACCUAGUUGUUUGCAUUAGAAAUGAUAUUUUUUGUGGUGCUGAUAAAGAGGUUAAUUAUGAUUCAACAAUUUAAAAUAUGAAAACAUGUGGAAGACGGCCGCAAUUAAAUUGAUUGUAUGAAAAUAUUUCAAUGAAAGUUUAAAAAUUUAGUACUUGUUAUCUUAUCGAGAGUUUUUUAAAUUAUAUUACUACUUGAACUUGACUGCUUUUGUAUUGAAUUCCUAGCGUUGACAUUGCUUCUACUCAAAAGCCAUUUAAGUUUGUGUAAGCUACCUGUAGUUUGAACAACAAUUUACUCAUGAAUUCUUGUUCAUAAUAGCAAUUUGAUUGAAAGUGCGGCUGCACUAAUUUUCUAGAUGAAUUUUUUCCUACAUGCUUGUUCUCGUAUGACCCAAAAUCCUGCUACAUCAGUUGUAUUAGAAAUUAAUCAACUGGGUUACAAUUAUGCAUCCCCACCAAUAUUUAAGCAAUUUAAUUACAGAAACAUUUCUUGAGGAAAGAAACUCAUAUCGGCACUAGGCUUUCAAUGAGGCUCAUUUUUAUGAAUCUGGAUAGCAUUAGAUAUCUCUCCGAAUAAUGGUGGGAGUAGAUCGCAGAUCUGGCUAUACUACAAAGUGUAUGUACGUUGACUCUCAAUAAAUACAAAUGAUUCUCUGAUAUUUUUUUUUUUGAUAUUAAUCACGAGAUAUCCUGAGGAGGGCCCCAACUGUGGGAGGCACCUUUAAGCCCGUACCACAACUCAGACUAGAAGUCCCCGCUCGAACCGGGAGGCACAGGUUCUCCCAACAAAGGCGACUUCCCUGCGACUCGAACUGAGGAGCAAACUCAGUCAAUGAUUCUCUGAUAUGAUUCAAAACAUCAGUGCAUGCAUCAUUUUAACUAGAGAGAAUAUUCUAAGAAUGAAAUUGAACGUGCAAUCAGCAACUAAAAUGAAGCCAGAAAUGUACACGCAUGAGGAAUUUUUCCUAGAAGAUUGAUAUUUCUUUAACUAGCAAACCAUACAAGUCCAAAGCUAACCAAACCAUACCUGCAAGUCCGGGGCUUAAAUGGAGUACUUGUAAGCAUAAAACAUUAAUCAAAACACAGUAUAGACACACACACACACCCCUCCCUACAUACAUACCAGCAAAUUCGAAAUAGAAAAAGGAGUGCAACUCACAAAACAGUCGGAGGUGGAAUUCCAGCAUAUCUCCUUCUCUCCGUAGCACUCAGAGGUAUAGUUGAAAGAUUAAACACCAUGGAAUAAUUUGAAAGGAAAAUGCCAAGAAACUGUGUAAGUGGCUAAAUUCCACAAAUAUUACAUUAUUGCUCAUUUUUAUCUCAAAAAAAUGGUACGCGUUCAUUUAGAGAAGAGUCCAAGCCCAGUAACAGGAAUAUUUUAAUUACUACCAUGACAUAAUUGAUGGUGCUUAAAUCAAUUGUUUCUUUUUUAAUUUAAAGAUUUUUUCAUUAAAAAAUAUUUUAAUAUCAAAAUGCCUUCAAUGGCAUUACUGCCGCAAGCCCAGCAACAGGAUUAAUUAAAAAGUUCAGAAUUUUUGGGCAUGGAAACUGGAAAGAGUAUUAAACAUCAGAAAGCUAAGGUUUGUUCUGUUAAAGAAUUGAUAUUGACAUAGUUUUUUUUUUGAGGAAAAAAAAAACAUAUUUGUUGACAAGUAAGGAAAUGUUUUUGUAUUUUACAAUCUGUUAUUACAUAUUUUAUCAUAUUAAAGUAAUUUUAAUAACAAAUAGAAACAUAAUAUUACAAUAAAUAAAUUAAAGUUUAAAUUAUUUUGAAUAUUAUAAAAAAUAAUGUUAAUAUUAUUAAUAGGAAGACAUUUUGUUAAUUUUAAAAUCUUUUUAAUCCAAAGGUUUAUUUAAAAUCUCUAUAAUAAAUACAAAUAUAAGAUUAAAAUAAAAAUCAUAAUUUGAAAAUUUUAAUAUUAUUUUAAAUGUUAAAUAUACUUUAAUGUUAUUAGCCUACUACGUAGAUUUUAUUAUUUAUAUUAUAUUCGUAUUGAUUAAAAUUUUUUAAAAUCAAUUUUUUAGUUAGUACAUUCAAGAGGUAUCAUAGUUAAAGAAAAGAUUUUGGUGCAACUGUUUUAAAAUUUCAGGGACUAAAUGAUAAUUUUUUUAAAUUUUAAGGAAGUUGGUAUUAUUUUUCCGACAAUUUAUUUUAUUUUGAGGGAAAUCCGAUGAGAAAUAUCAUCAGAGAACAUUAAUUUAACAUUCUUUACCUUUAUGAAAAAAGUGAAAAUCAAGAACUAUUCAAUUUUGUAUUUUUUGUUUGUAAUUCAAAAAAUGCAUCCACCAAAUCAAGAACUAUUCAAUCUUGAUUUUCCCAUUUUAUUCAUUUUCGAUGCAUCCCCCACUAUUUUUACAAAUCUCCAUCCCACAUCUACACUAUCAAACAAGUUGAUGGAAAUUGAACCCAGUAAGUUAUGUUCAUUACUGGUCAUUGUCUUUCUAUGAGCCACUUAUUUUGAGCAUUAGCGAUCUUAUAAGGAAUCAUGCCUUUUCAGGAUCGUUUUCUUUCAUUUCCUUCUUGUAGUAGUUAAUUAAAUAAAGAACGAACAGCUGAACUUGGUCUAUUUCGAGGAAGAACAAGGUUUCCAAUACUAGAGGAACUUUGAAAAAAAUUAAUUGGAAGCCUUUAUUCAUCUUUGAAGAAAAUUACCACACUUUAAAUCCUGGAUAAAAAAAAUUUUAUUCAUCUUCGGACUAUGAAUUUAUAAAAAAACAUUGUUAGGACUAAGAAAAAAAUAUUAUUUUAGAUAAGUUAUUUGUUUAUUAUUGAAUGAAAAAUUUAUCAUGAUAAAUAAAUAUUUAUUAUUUUAAAGAGAGAUUUUUUUUUUGGUUUUAAGAAGAGUUUUUUUUUGGUACAUGCACACACUAAUAAAGAAACACAAAAAGUGCUUCCUCAAGUCAAUAGUAUUUGCUUUAAUGGCUAAGGUGCAUAAUAAUGUAGCUUAGUUAGGAAAUUUGUAAUUACAUUAUGGCUCCGUUUGGUAUAACUUUUUAAUUAGAAGUAUUGUUCUUUUUAUUAACAUGUGUUUGUUUUACUUAAUAAUAAAAGUUUAGUUUACAAUUACACCGGUGUCAAAUCAGCAGAGCAUCGGCAAGAGUUUUCGAUUGUUGCAAUUUGCAAUGCACGCGGUGAGAGAAAAUGAGAAUCUUGUUUAAUUGUGAAUAAUGACAAACCUAAUCCUUUCAUUAGGAGUAAAUUAAUAAUCGUUUGUUAUAAUUGAAUAUGUAUAAAGAAAGGAAAAUUAUAUUCAUAGAUUUGACUUAUUUUUUGUUUAACGUAACUAAUCAUUCAACCAUCUUCAUUUGCCUCUGGCCAAUGCCCUUGUAGAUUAGUUGAAGCGUUGAUUUCUUAAUUCAGAUAAUUACAACGUCCUUUUCGCUAAUUAAGUAUGAUUAUGUACAUUUUCAUAUAGCAAGUGGCAUUGUAGAUCUAAACUAAGUUGCUAUUUCAAUCCGUUAAUUAAGUGAUUCUCCUCAUUGUCAUCAGUGUUAUACCCUCUGGGAAAAUAGCUCAAUUGUUUCCCUGCAUUGAUUUUCAUUGGUAAGUGAUUUCUUAUGAAAUUCUUUUGAGCUUUCCUUAUUAAAAAAGCUUGAGCUUUUAUCACCUAAUACGGAUAUCAAUUAACUUGUGAACGAUUUUGUAAUGAAACUAGGAGUUAAAUAAGAUUUUUACAUGAUGAUCAACUUGUUAAUUUUGUAUAUUUCAUAUUUAACAGGAUUUGGGCACGGAACGUUUGGAUUCUAAUAUUUAUAUAUUUAGUUUUAAUCAGUUUGACUUUCGUAAUCUUUCUCGCCUCAUCAUUAAGGGAUUAAGAAUUAGAGAAACAUUAGAAACAGGAAGAAAAUAACUUCAGAAAUAAGUAAGAGGGAAAAAAAUUUAUGAUAUUUGGUGUUGAAAUGAACUAAAAACUCGUCAGUACAACGUGUCGUUUGCAGGUUGUGAAGAUGAGUGCCAUGUCGUUUCAUUUAAGCAAUAUACCAGAACUGACAAAUUGCCAAUGUCGUUCAAGACCAUUAUAACUCACGUGCCUUACGCAUGCCUCUCUUAAGCUUAAACGGCAAAGCUAGCAGUCGUUUAAGGAAGGCUUAUUAAUAGCGCGUGAGAAGCUCGUGCCAGGUUGGUUAAAAGGCCGUUAGAUUUAGAGGGAAAUCUGGAUCUGUUACACCUGCAUCAACUGAUAUAUAAACGAGCUGGUUCUGGUGUUAGCAUGUAUGACCAAGGAGAGAGAGAUAAGGCAUCGAUACUGAGAGAAAAGCUUGACUAAGUGGUCUCUGUAUUAUGUGUGAUUUCUCUGUAACCUUGAAAGCUUAAUAAAACUGCUCUCUGUGUUGGUUUUCUCCAGUGGAUGUAGGCACCCUUCAACAGGUGCUGAACCACUUAAGCUCUGUGUGUUCUUUGCCUUUAGGUUGUGAUCUUUGAUCUGUGCAUUGUUCUUUGUUAAGUGUAAGAUUGGUUCUUGAAUCUUUGAGUCAGAGUUGGGUCUUGGGGUGAGAUUAAUCUAGUAUCUAAAGGGUUAAUCUCUCAACAUUUGGAAUGUAUCAUAAUUUUUUGUUGAGUAAAUAUGUAUGAAUAGUUUUUGGGAGUUUUAGCCAGGAGUCAUUUAUUGAAGAUGUCUAGCAAUUAAAGAUCUCUGUCUCAGUAGUUUUCCCAAUCAAAAUCAAGAAGCAAAAAAAACUUGCCAUUUUUCUACUUGAUAAUUAAUUGAAAUUUAAGAAAAUACAAUGGCAUUUCAAUUAGAAUUGGUAAUUGUUUAUCUUUUUUUCAUUGAUCAAAUUCUAAUCUUUAUGCAAUAGUUAUGAAUGAAAGAAAUAUUAUGAGAGGAGAUAGGUCAAUUGAAGCCGUACCCGCAAAUAAAAAAUAGAAAAGGAGUGCAACUAUUCAACUUUGUAGACAAUAUUGCAACCAUCCAAAGGUGAAGAUCUACGCUUAUUAUCUAUUUAACAGCUAUAUAUAUAUAUAUUUAUAUUUUUAAAUAUCAAGAGCUAUGCUUGUAAAUAAGUUCAAAAGUGAUGAGAACAGCCUUAUAUUUAUUUAUUUAAAUAUUACCCAGAAUACUGCUAUAACAAUUGUAUUUAAAUAAUAAUUGUAUUUAAAUAAAUAACUAUAUAUCUAAAUAUAUAUUUAUUUAUUUAAAUAUCAAGAGCUAUGCUUGUAAAUAAGUUCAAAUGUGAUGAGAACAGACUUAUAUUUAUUUAUUUAUUUAAAUAUGACCCAGGCUAAUUUCUCUGAAUUUUGACAGAGUAGAUUUCUAAGCUAAUGCUUGGCAGAUCUCUGGGCGAUACUACAAAGUGCAUGUACAUUGAGUCUUAAUAAAUAUAAACGAUUCUCUGAUAUGAUUCAAAACAUCACUACAUGCAUAAAUUAAUAAGAAAUGUAUAGUUGUACAUAAUUUUAUGCAUGAGGCAGUUUUUAUAGUUGUACCCUCUCUAAUGAAAUUGAAGGUGCAGCCAGCAACUAAAAUGAAGCAGAAAUGUACACGCAUGAGGCAGUUUUUCUAGAAGAUUGAUAUUUCUUUAACUAGAAAACCAUACAAGUCCACAGCUAGCCAAACCGUACCUGCAUGUGUCUAGGGCUUAAAUGGAGCACUUCUAAGCAUAAAACAGUAACUAAAACACAUACACAAACAUACAUACCAAAAAAUUCAAAAAAUAGAGAAAGGAAUACAACUAUUCAUGUUUGUAGACAAUAUUGCAACCAUGGCAUCAGUUAUAGCAAAUAUUGAAUUACAAUAUUUCCCUUGCCGAUUUUGUCUACACAAGUAAAGGGAAAUAAGAAUCAUAGAUGAAAAUCAACUUUUACAGUUCUAAUUAUUAGAUAGAUACAUAAUGAUCUAUCUUUGUUACUUUGUUUCUCUGCUGCAAUGUGCGAUCCCACUCUGUUUUGAUACUCAAAUUGAGUCUAUGUUGAGACAUAAUUUUGACAUUGGAAGCAAUCCCAAUUAGUUUGGCUUUUGUAUGACCCUUUAAGGUUUUACAAUAGAUGCAAAUCUACUGAGAAAAUGGUAAAAAAAGGUGUAUAUAAAAUGAGGCAAGUAACAGAAGUAUGAGUUAUCAGAUUAGAUUAAAAGUCACCCAAUUCAAUCUAUCAGAUUCCGUAAGGAUAUAACUGGAUGUCAUACCGCCAGUCCAUAUCCUCGAAAGUCUCUAGUCUUUGUCUCAACUCUGUCUGAGGCCAAUGUAAAUCCAAUUUGCACAAGCUCUUUAUGCACCAUAGCUCUUCUGGAAGCUUUCUCAAGUAAGCACAUGGGUUGACAAUUAAGCUUUCAAGUUUUGGCAUUGCUCUGCCCCCAUCGUCCACUCGUCUAGCCAAUACAUCGACUUCAGGUGCAAAAUCUUAAGUUCCGGAAAGCCAGCAGAGCCAACGCAGGCUAGCUUUCUUCCUAAAUACGAGUUCUGCUUCAGUUUCAGCACUUGAAGGCGUGGAAGCUUUUCCAGCAUUGGCAUGGGAUCCUCCAUUCGCUCAGUAUUUGAUAAGCUCAGUUGCAUCAUUCUUGGAGGAAAUUAGUAUUCAGACAGGACCAUCCGUGAGAGCUUGCUCUCAUUCACCAACUUCAAGCAUUCAACUUUGUGGAGUUUGCAUACGCUUUUGGAAACCCCAGAGUGAUAGCAACUCAAAUCUCCAGACACUCUAAGAGUUUGAAGAUUAGAUAGUCUGCACAAUAUAUCUGGCGUGCAACUACUAGGGUGUGAGGCUGAUAUGAAAAUAAGAUUUUUCAGAGAGCUGGAAUAAUUUUUUGGAGGUGCAGGCAGAGAGAUGGAACCAAAGUUCAGAUGCAUGAGUUUUUGCAUCUUCCAAAUAUCCUCUGGUGUUUGAUCUACGUAGCUAGAUGGCAUGUCUAGUGUUUGAAGGUUUGAAAGGGUGCAUAGCGGUGAAGGAAGACAUUUGAGCGAAGGGAUAUUCAAUUUCAAAUACUUCAAAUGGAAUAAAUUUUCUAAUCUGGGUGGAUAUUGGUCCAGGACUGCAGAACCCAUGUUCAAUACCCGAAGGUGUUUGAACAUUUUACAAAAAUUCUCGCAAUCUAUCGGAUUAAGAUGAUCGCUUUCUGAACUGUGAUUCAGAAAAAGAUUGGAGAUACAUGUCCGAAUGUUUCAAAGAAAAGAAUUCAAUCGGAUCAUCGAAAAUGAUGUACCGUUUGGCAUUUGCCAAUGAUUCAUCUUCGAAGUCAGGCGUCCGGACAAAUCCCAUCAUUGCUGCCGUCCCAAGUAACGCAGCAUAUGCAAAAGUUGGAACAUAACACGCCUUAAUUGUGCCUCCAUCUCUUCUCUUAUUUACUUGAAUGAAGCCAUGAUCGAUUAGUUCGUUCAAGUAAUGCUCGGCAGUUUCCUCACUGUUGUAUGGUAUGAAACCUUCAGCUACCCACAGCUGAUAUAAUUGCCUGGUAGAUAUCUCAAUGCCUGGAUGAAAGCUGAGGUUGUCCCUCGAUCAGUAAAUCAAACAAUUCCUCUGCCGCUUUCAAAUUCACUCUUAUCAAGCUGAAAUUGUCCCUCAAUCAAUAAGUGAGUGAAUUCGUUCCUUCGCUCUUUGAAAUCAAAACCAUUGUCUCUAGGCGGAAUUUGUUGCAACUGAUUUCUAAUAUCAAUGAUUUUACUGUGGAUUCCGACAAGAAGAGCAAUGAGUGAGAAAACAACUUGUUUGGUAACCAAAAAAGUAUUGAGAGAAAAUGUAAUGAUUCUGAGAAAUUGCUUUUAUUUCAAUUAAUCGAAUCCAGAGUAAAUGUACAGAGUUUCUUUAUAUACUAACGUAUCUACAUAGCUGAUAUUAGCUAAACUAAUUCAACCAGCUAAUCAUGCUUAACAACUUAUUAUAACUAACUAAAACUAAUAUUCACGUGUACAAGAAAUGAUGUAACCACCAGGUGCUAGCUGGCAUGCCAAGUCAUCAACUUGUAACCGUGAGCUGCAACUGUUACAAUCCUCUGCUUUGCUGACUAUCUGGCUCACAUGAGCUUCCUUAACAUCCCCUCUCAAGCUCAAGGGUCUGUUAACUACAUUGAGCUUGGAACGAAAAUAGCUAAAUUUUGGAAAAGAUAGAGGCUUAGUAAGAACAUCUGCCACUUGUUCUUCAGUAGGAAUAUAUCUAAUCUCUAACUCUUUGUUCAGAACCUUAUCUCUAAUGUAAUGAACAUCCAGCUCUAUAUGUUUGGUCUUGGAGUGGAAUAUUGGAUUUUUAGCUAGAUCACCUGCACUCUGAUUGUCACACCAGAGAAUAGGAGUUGGCAACUUGAUAAUUUUUAGCUCAGAAAACAAAGAUUGCAGCCAUGUAAGUUCAGAACUUGCUGCUGAUAAGGCUCGAUAUUCACUUUCUGUGCUAGACUUUGCCACAAUAGCUUGCUUUUUCGAAGACCAGGAAAUGAGAUUAUUACCAAGGAAAAUGUAGUAAGCUCCAAUGGAUUUCCUGUCAUCAGUGUCACAUGCCCAAUCAGCAUCUGAGUAUCCUGUCAACCCUAUUGUUUCCAAGGUUCCCUCUUGCUGAAUAUAGAGGCCAUAUGUAAUAGUUGCUUGAAGGUAUCUCAACACCUUUUUGCAGGCUAACCAAUGUUGGAGAGUUGGACCACUUAGAUACUGGCUAAGUUUAUGCACUGAGUAAGCAAUGUCUGGUCUAGUUAGAACCAAGUAUUGAAGCCCUCCAACUAUACUUCUGUAAAGAGUUGGAUUUUCAAAUUCUACACCCAAUGAGCCUUUAGCUAUUUUUUCUAAUUUGUAACCAGUGCUGAAAGGAGUUUCAGUUUCUUUACAGUUCUGCAUUGAGGCCUUGGUCAACAAAUCCUUGAUGUAUUUAGUUUGGGAGAGGUGCAUGCCAUGAUCUGUGUAGCUGACUUCUAUACCAAGGAAAUAUGAUACCAGGCCCAAGUCUUUUAAGGCAAAAGCUUUACUCAGCUUUGUGAUGAAUGCCUCCAGCAAGACUGAAUCUGGACCUGUAACUAAUAUAUCAUCUACAUAGAUCAAGACAAGGAUUAUGCCUUUAGUGUCAUGCUUGAUAAACAAUGAAGUGUCAGCCUUAGAAUUUGUGAAAUUCCAAUCUGUAAGACAGCCCUUAAGCUUAUCAUACCAGGCCCUUGGUGCCUGUUUUAAACCAUAAAGAGCUUUGUUUAGCUUACAGAUGUAUCCUCCCUCUGAAACAAAACCCUCUGGUUGUUGCAUGUACACAUCUUCAGUAAGAUCCCCAUUGAGAAAUGCAUUGUUGAUAUCUAUUUGUCUAACAUUCCAGCCUUGCAUAACUGCCAAACUCAAUAUAACUCUGACAGUUGAAGACUUGACUACAGGACUAUAAGUUUAUGAAUAGUCAACCCCAGCUGUCUGAUGGAAUCCUUUAGCAACAAGCCGAGCUUUAUGCUUAGAUACUGAGCCAUCUAAAUUAUACUUUGUUCUGAAGACCCAUUUGCAGCCAACCAGUUUAUGAGUAGGAUCCAUUGAAACUAGAUUCCAGGUUUUGUUUCUGAUAAGUGCAUCAUAUUCCAGUUGCAUUUUAUCUUUCCAUUUAGGAUCAGCUAAAGCUUCACCAACAUUAGAAGGUUCUAAACUGUUGUGUGCUGUCAAAAAUGCCUUAGGUUUGAAUAUACCAGCUUUAGCUCUGGUAGUCAUGGGAUGGACAGAGAUAGUAGGAUUGGAAAGUGAUAAAGAUGGUCUGGAAGGUGAUGUGUGUAAAGAAGCUUGAAAUGGUAUAGGAAGUUCUGGAGAAUUUUGAUGGAUGAUAGGUGAAGAUAUAGUGUUUGAAGUUGCUACUGGAGAUGUUGUGGGAAUGACAGGGGAGGUUAUGGUAUUAGUGGAUAAAAUAGAAUGAGUAGAAGAGGAAGGUAACAAGAUAUUGUGAUGAGAACUAGAAUUGUUAGAAUCAGUAUCUGCAGCAACAGCUUCAAAAGGUUUUAGAUUGCUAUUAGGAACUGAAACAUUAUAAAUAAAAACUUAUUAAAACCUAAUUUAUUUGGGAACCACAUAUUAAAACCUAAUUUAUUUGGGAACCACAUAUUAUUGGUCAGUAGUAUUUCUCAACUUAGCAAGUUAUUUCUAAUUUGUCCCUCUCUAUUAUUGGUUCUCUUAAAGCCAAUAGUGUCGCAUUUGAUAUCUUGCCAUUACCGUUGGCAUUAGCAUGUUACCUGAAAUUGGGAUUCAUUGAAAUCCUCAAUGUAAUCGGUGGAACGAAUGGAUUUCUUCUAUUCAUAAUUUGAUGAUUUUAAUUGAACUAGGAGAUAAAGUAAAAGAUAAAUGGUUGGUUUACUCCAAUUUCUGAAGUGCUUGUAUCUUUUUGGUUGAAUUCGUGCAGUUAAAUAAUCUCUACCAACAUAUGUAUGUAUGUAUGAAAUUGGAGUAACCAGACCUUUUCAAGAGUUAAAUAAUCUCUACCAACAUUGUAGAUUGCCCGAUAAAGUUAACUGUGUUACCCAGCUCCAUGCAUAUACAUUAAAUGCAUGUUUGGGUAGUUUUAUAAAAUGAUAACAGCACGUCAAAACUUGAUGAGUUAUAUUGUCAUAUUCGACAUUUUUAAAUUGAAAAAUUAGCAAGCAAUCUUCAGUGAACAUUACAAUUUUGUUCGCUCUACACCCCAUCAAUAUUUAAGCAAUCUACAGAUCAUUACUUGAGGAAAGAAACUCUUUGCGCCACUAGGCUUUUAACGAGGCUCAUUUCUAUGAAUCGGGAUAGCAUUAGAUAUCUCUCCGAAUACUGGUGGGAGUAGAUUGCAGAUCUCUGGGCUAUACUGCAAAGUGUAUGUACGUUGAUUGUCUGAUAUGAUUCAAAACAUCAGUCCAUGCAUCAUUUUAAUGAGAAAGAAUAUUCUGAGAUUAUUUAUGCAUCACCAUUUGUAGUUGUACUGACUAAUGAAAUUAAAGGUGCAAUCAGCAACUAAAAUGAAGCCAGAAAGACACGCAUGAGGCAGUUUUCCUAGAAGAUUUGAUAUUUCUUUGACUAGCAAACCAUACGAGUCCAAAGCUAGCCAAACCAUCCCUGCAAGUCCAGGGCUUAAAUGGAGUACAUCUAAGCAUAAAACAUUAAUCAAAACACAAUACGCACACACAGACCCCUACAUACAUACCAGCAAAUUCAAAAUAGAAAAAGGAGUGCAACUAUUCAAGUUUGUAGACAAUAUUGCAGCCAUGGCAUAUCAAAGCAAAUCCUUGAAAUGUGCUAAACAGAACAAUGCCCUGUCUCAUGAAUCGACGCUCAAUUACAAUUGAAAUUGAAAGUCCGGCUGGUGUUGUUUCCCUCUCCAGUUUUGCCUACAUAAGUAAAGGGAAAUAAGAAUCAUAAAUGAAAAUAUGCUUUGACAGUUCUUAUUAGAUAUAUAUAAAGGGAUCUUUCUUUGUUUCUCUGCUGCGAUGUGUGGUUAUCCCACUGUUUUUCCACUCAAGCUGAGUCUACGUUGAGACAUAAUUUUGACAUCAGAAGAUACCUCAAUUAGUUUGGCACUUUUACGAUAAACAUAAAUCUACUAAGAAAGUGCGGAAAAAAAGAAAAUGCAUAUAAAAGUAUGAUUUAUCAGAUAAGAUUAAAACUCACCCAAUUAAAUCCGUCAGAUUCCAUAAGGAUAUAACUGGAUGUCAUACCGCCGCUCCAUAUCCUCGAAAGUCCGUAGUCUUUGUCUCAGCUCUGUCUGAGGCCAAUGUAAAUCCAAUUUGCGCAAGCUCUUUAUGCACCACAGCUCUUCUGGAAGCUUUCUCAGGUAAGCACAUGGGUUGACAAUUAAGCUUUCAAGUUUUGGCAUUGCUCCUCUCCCCAUCGUCCACUCAUCUAGCCAAUACAUUGAUUUCAGGUGCAAAACCUUAAGCUUCGGAAAGCCACCAGAGCCGACACAGGCCAGCUUUCUUCCUAAAUACGAGUUCUGCUUCAGUUUCAGCACUUGAAGGUGCGGAAGCUUUUCUAGCGUUGGCAUGGGAUCCUCCAUUAGCUCAGUAUUUGAUAAGCUCAGUUGGGUCAGACUUGGAGGAAAUUGGUAUUCAGACAGGACCAUCCGUGAGAGCUUGCUUUCAUUCACCAGCUUCAAGCAUUCAAGUUUCUGCAGUUCGCAUAGGCUUUUGGAAGCCCCAAAAUGAUAGCAAGUCAAAUCUCCAGAUAUCCUUAGAGUUUGAAUAUUUGGUACUCUGCCCAAUAUAUCUGGAAUGCAACUACUAGGGUGCAAGGCUGAUAUGAAAAUGAGAUUUUUCAGGGAGCUGCAAUAAUUAUUUGGAGGUGCAGGCAGAGUGAUGGAACCGAAGUUUAGAUGCCUGAGUUUUUGCAUCAUCCAAAUAUCCUCUGAUGACUGAUCUAUGUAGCUAGAUGGCAUUUCUAGUGCUUGAAGGUUUAAAAGGGUGCAUAGCAGCGAAGGAAGGCAUUUGAGCGAAGGGAUAUUCAAUUUCAAGUACUUCAAAAAAUAUAAAUUUUCUAAUCCGGGUGGAAAUUGGUCGAGAACUGCGGAACCCAAGUUCAGUACCCGAAGGUGUUUGAACUUUUUACAAAAGUUCUCGCAAUCUAUCAGAGCGAGAUGAUCGCUUCGUGAACUGUGAAGCAGAAAAGAAUGGAUAUACUUGUCAGAAUAUUCUGGAGGAAAGAACUUAAUCAGACGAUCCAAAAUGAGAUACCGUUUGACAUUUGCCAGUGGUUCCUCUUUCAUGUCAGAUAUCCGGACAAAUUCCGUCUUGUCCGCCACCAAAUACAGUGAAAUAAAUUCAAAACUUGGAACAUAACACGCUUUGAUUGUGCCGUUGGCUCUUCUCUUACUCACUUGAAUGAAGUCGCGGUGGAUUAGUUCUUUUAACCCUCAGCUAUCCACAACUGACAUAAUUGCGUGGUAGAUAUCUCAAUGCCGGGGCGGAAGACACACAAAUAGAUGCAGCAGACUUUCAAGUAAAAAGGUAACUCCCCCACAGAACAAGUUCGACUGAAAACUGUCAAAUUUAUUUUUUCAUUCAUAUAAUUUUCUGAUGGCGCACUUCCAUAGUGUAGGACGAAAAAUUGCCAGGCCUCAUGCUCUAAUCUGAUCAAUGGUCCUUCAAUGAGCACUGAAUCAAGCCGAAUCUUCUCUCCGUUUUCCAUUUCCAACGACGUAAGGAGUUCUGGAUCAGUGAAAUAUCAAUACUCUGCUUCCAUUCCGAUUAUCAGGAAGAACUUCUUCAAGAUCAUCCCAUAUCUCAAUGUUAUCGCAGACAUCAUCAAGCACAAUAAAGUACUUCUUGUUUGUUAGGUAAUCUUGAAGAAUAGAUUUCUUCAAUUGAUAAUCUUCACCGAUAAUUACACUAACCCGAGAUGGAGGCAUCACGGACUUGAUUAUGUCAUCCAAUAUCUUGCCAAAAUCGUAGAGUGAAGAAACCCUGACCCAAGCAAAACCGUCAAAAUAGAACUUGACGUGAUUAUUAUUGUAAGUAUCUGCAGCAAAAGCAGUCUUAUCGAUGCCACGGCUGUCGAGAAUUGCAACCACUGCAAGCCGAGGAUGUCCUUCUAUCAAUAAAUCAAACAACUCCUCUCUGCCCCUUGCAAAUUCAUUGAUAUCAAGCCGAGGUUGUCCCUCACUCAAUAGGCGAAUGGUUUUGUUACAUUGUUCAGUGAUAUCAAAAUCAUUGUCGCCGGGUGGAAGUUGUUGCAUCCGAUUUCUAAUAUCAAUGAUUUCACUGUUGAGUCCAUCAAGAAGAGUCGUAUUAGUACUGCUGUCACUUUCGUUUUCACUGUUUUGCUGCUGCAUGAUUUUGAUGAAGAAUGUGUCAAUGGCUUCCUCAGAUUCACGGACAAAGUCAUUGAUGUCGUUCAGAAUUUCCAGAAUGUCUGCCCUUUUAACAUCUUCUUCAUCGCUUUUUUCUAAGUCCAACAGUUGCAAAGAAGGUAAAGAUAUUUCGGUGUCAUCGAAUUCUUCUCUAAUGAGUUGAAACAAAUCCGAGCCAUGUCAGAGUCAUAGUUUCCCAGCAGUGGUAACAAUAAUUUUGGACUCCGUAAGAAGGUUUUGAAAAAGUGGGGUUAAAUUUGUUGAAUCAGGCAGCGUUAACGGGUCUUCUUCACCUGCUAACACCCUUUUCAACCUCUCACAAAAUAGUCGGAGGUGGACGUCCAGCAUAUCUCAUUCUCUCCGUAGCACCCAGACGUAUUGUUAUUUGCUCCAACAAAUGUUAAAAGGAUUGGUUCUAUCUCAAAGUGGUUUGUGGUGUAAAAUUAAACACUAUGGGAGAAUUUGAAAGGAAGAUGCCAAGAAACCGUGUAAGUGGCUAAUUUCCACAAAUAUGACAUUAUUGCUCAUUUUUAACUCAAAAAAAUGAUAUGCGUUCAUUUAGAGAAAAGUCCAAGACGCUUGCCUUUUAAAAAGAACAGGUAUCCCUAUGCAACCUUUAUCUUAUUUAAUUACUACCAUAUGGUACUUAAAUCUAUUGUUUCUUUUUUAAUUUAAAGAAUUUUUCAUUAAAAAACUAUUUUAAUAUCAAAAUGCCUUCAAUGGCAUAGCUGCCGCAAGCCCAGUAUGAAUUAACAGGAUGAAUUAAAAAUUUUAGAAUUUUUGGGCAUGGAAAGAGUAAUAUUAAACAUUAGAAAGCUAAGCUUGUUCUGUUAAAGAAUUGAUAUUGACAUAAUUUUAUUUUGGUUUUCGGGGAAAAAAAUUAUUCGUUGACAAGCAAGAAACAUUUUUAAUUUUUAAAAUUUAUUAUGCAUAUUUUAUCAUAGUAAAGUAAUUUUAAUAAUAAAUAGAAACAUAAUAUUACAGUAAAUAAAUUAAAGUUUAAAUUAUUUUGAAUGUUAUAAAAAAUAAUUUUAAUAUUAUUAAUAGAAGACAUUUUCUUAAUUUUAAAAUCUUUUUAACCCAAAGGUUUAUUUAAAAUCUUUCUAAUAAAUACAAAUAUAAAAUUAAAAUAAAUAUCAAAAUUUGAAAUUUUUAAUAUUAAAAUUACUUUAAUGUUGUUAGUGACUGUUCGGUACAGCUUAUUUAAUGGCUAUAAGUGCUUAUUUAAUGUCAUAAUGUCAUGGGAUGAGUGUUUUGCACAGCAAAUCCAUGCGGUACUUAGACAACUUUGCCGAAUGUUGCUAAGUAAGCCUUGAGCUUCUCGAACUAGCUAAGCCUAGAGGUUUUCGAAGAGCUAGAGAGAAGAGAGCAAUGAAGCCGAAUGAAGAGAAUUGUAUUACUAACAAGAGAGAUUACAAGAGAGCUUACAAGUGUUUGAGUUGCUUGUACUAAGCUUGUUGCUCAAAUGUCUAAUGCCAUCCCAUAUUUAUAGGGGAGGCUUGCCAAGCUCUAGAGAUUCUAGAGAAUUCUACCAUUUAUAUGUGCCGGAAUUCUAUGGAGUAUUCUAGAGUAUUUACAAGCUCAAAUGCCUUUUAAAAAGAAUAUGUAUACAAUGGCAAUCCAUACUUUAUAAAAUUGAUGGUGAUUACAAAGAAAAAUUGUUUAAAAUAGAUUUAAUGCACAAAUAUGAUGACUUUUGGCAAAAAUUAGUUUCGGAAAUGUUGGGAUGAAAACCAUAUUAAUUGAGAAUUAAAAUUACUUAAUAAAAUUACUUAACUACCAUCUAAUAGAUGAAAACCAUAUCAAUUGAGACUUAAAUUAAGAUUUAAAUGUUGAAAUAUCUAGCAUUACUCACAAUAACCAAUUCAAAUUAUGACUAUCAUGUAGAAGCAAAUGUUUAUGCUUGGGUUUUUUACUUCUUGAAUUUGAUUGGAAAAUUUUCUGAGAUAGAGAAGUGUUUUGGAUAAGCUUUACGGGAUUGAAACCACAAAUUGGUAGAGGAAAUUAAUUUUGGACAAAUUUUUCUUAUAUUGUAGGACCUUCUAGUUGGAGUAGUGAUGCCUUUGUCUUCAUUUUUGGUUCCUUUUGUGUCGGCAGCCCCUUACUAUUCUCUUGACCCUGAGUUUGAGAUAGAAAUUUAUCAACCUCCAACCCCACAUCCACAAACAAGUUGAUUGAAACAAUUACUCUUUUAAUUAAGAGGACCCAAAUGAUUUAGGUUUCAGUUCUUAUCAUUUGUCUAUUAUUUCUUUGAAACAUUUAUUUUGAGCGUUACUGAUCUUAAUUAUCUGUAUUUCUCCAAUUAUUGAAGAAUUUCAAGUGGCCACUUUUUCUCCUUUUUAUAUAUGUUUAUUUUUUGGAGUGAUCAAACGGGUGCAAAAUCAAGUAUUCGCUGGUCUGUAGUUUAGCCAACGAUGGCUGAUCCACACAGUUGAUUAUAUGAUACUAUUAGCUCUCAAAAUCUUUCUUAUUUGAGAACAUAAAUUGCCCAUUGAAGUUAAACUAUGUUACCCAGCUCCAUGCACAUACAUUAAAUGUUUAGGUAGUUUUACAAAAUGAUAACAGCAUGCCAAAACUUGAUGUUGUCAUAUUCGACAUUUCAAAUUGAAAUAUAUGCAAGCAAUCUUCAGUGAACAUUACGUGUUUAUUGAAUAAUUUAAAUGGCCAGUAAAUCAACAGUCCGUGAGUUUUAAAUCUAUUAUGACUUAAUGUAUCUUUCUGUAUUUGUACACGUGUUAUAUUAUCAUAGUUUAAAAUUUUAAUAUUAUUUUAAAUGUUAAAAAUACUUUAAUGCUAUUAGUCUACUACACAGGUUAUAUUAUUUAUAUUAUAUUUGUAUUAAUUAAAACUUUUAAUGUCAAUUUUCUAAUUACUAUAUUGAAAAGGUAUUAUGGUUAAGAAAAAGUUUUGGCAUUUCUUCUUGAAAAUUUGAGGGUUUUCCAAAUUCUAAGGGUAUAGGUUUGAAAAUUUAACGAUCUUUAACUUAAUGAAACAAAAGAGGGAAAUCAAGAACUAUUCAAUUUUGUAUUUUUUGUUUGUAAUUCAAAAAAUACAUCCACCAAACAAGUUUUACGCAUUAAUGCUGUCAUAAAACGAAAAACAGUUUGCCAAAAAAUGGUACCAAACAUGUCCUUAAUGUCUCACAUGAUUUCUUAGUAAGUCCAUAUUAGAUAUAUUUAUACAUUUUAGGUAUUUUAGUUAUAAAAGAAGUUGGACCUCCCCCUGUUUAUAAAAAAUAACUUUAUUUCGAGAUUACCACUAAACUCUUACAUAGAAUUAGUGUAAUGUUAAGAGAGAGUAACACAGUUUUCCAUUACCAUCUUUGAAAAUAGAGAGAUAUGGAUGCGUGCAUUUAAGAGUUACCGUGAAAAUCAUACAAUUCAAUUUCCUGACAUAUAUAUUCAUGGACCAGCACCGAUAUUCUCACACCAAUGAGCACCACAGUUAGCACAAAACGGUUCGUUUUGUGCUAACUAUAAAAGAUUUAACUGUAGCUUGAAAACGCAGACUCAUCUUGCUCAAACGCAGACCACACACGCGCUCGAGUUUCUAAAACGCAAACGCAAACGCAAACUACACACACACUCAUCUUACUGGACCACAACACUCUCUCUCACCGUGGGUCUCUCCACAUUUGGCUUGGCUGUCAGUUGUUUCUCUCCCAACCCCGUGGAUUGCAUUCUCACGGCACUUCUGGAAUUUGAGACUUAGCUGCAGCUUCACUCUCUCGGCUGUCGGAAUUGAUUUGUGGAGGUAAUUUAUGCAAACGCAAACCACACACACACUCAUCUCAGUUGACCACAACACUCUCGCUCGCCGUGGGUCUCUCCACAUUUGGCUUGGCUGUCAGUUGUUUCUCUCUCCACCCCGUGGAUUGCAUUCUCACGACACUACUGGAAUUUGACACCUAGCUGCAGCUUCACUCUCUCGUUAUGAAUUUAUGUUAAUUUUGCUGUCUUCAGAACUGCCUGUUGUGGUCGAGUACAAGAUUGCGGAGAUGGGUUAUGUUAGAUUCUACUUGACACCAAGAUAGAAGAAGAUGAGGAUGAGACCAAGCCUCUAGCUUAAGUGUCAUUUGGUACAUAUGCUAUGGCAUUUUGUUGAAUCGAGUUACUCCUACAUUUUAAGUUUGCUUUUAGAAUAUUUCUCGUAAAUUUUCAUGUUGAAAAACCAAUCAUUUGUAGUUAAGUAGAUUGAUAAGAAUUCGUUUCUUGUGCUUGGUUUUUUAUCCUACUGUUGCACAUGGCCAGACAGCUGGUUGCACAUCAGAUUCAAGAGCUGUAAAUUUUGAGGCUGAGGAAUCUCAGCUGGGAUUUCAUGUGAUAACAUAUUAUCAGAUAGAUCCAGCAACUGCAAUGAAGUAAUGUUGCCAAUUUCCGCAGGAAGCUUGCCUUGAAAGUUGUUCUGAUACAAAAACAUUAUCUCCAAUAGCUCAAGCCUCCCAAGUUCAGCUGGAAUCUCCCCACCAAGAUUACCAACGGCCAAAUCAAGAUACUUCAGGUUGGUAAGAUUCCCAAAUUCCACUGGGAUUUCACCUUCAAAUUCAUUGUAUCCAAGAAUCAUAGUCUCCAUGGAUGAAAGUUGCCCAAGCUCUCGCGGUAUCUUGCCAGUGAGAUUAUUCCCAGAUAGAUUGAUAAGAAUUCGUUUCUUGUGCUUGGUUUUUUAUCCUACUGUUGUACAUGUAAUUGAUUCAUUUGUAAUCUUUGUUGCUUUCAAAGGUAGGCUUCAAUUGAGUUGAAACUUUAAAAAAUUUAUAAAAAAUGAACCGCAAAUAAAAGAUAGCAUCAUAUUGGGUGACAAAAUGUUCUCGAGGAUGAUCCUGAUUAAUGCUGUGUAUUUCGCAAUGUAAUUACUUGCUGAUCAAUUUAAUUGAAUUGAUUAACACAUUGGUUUGAGUUUUGAUACUGCUGCUCUGUUUUUGGGUUAUUUGAAGAUCGCAUUUUUGCAGGAACUGGUAAAUUGGACACGUUAACAAAAACUUCUCACGUAUUACUGAAAUAAUAACUGUUAUAUUUCAGCCCUUAUGCACAGAACACAAUGGUUGCAAGCAAAUCAACUCAUAACUUACACAAUGGUUGCAAGCAAAUCAAUUCAUAACUUGUAAAUAAAUAAACCCCAAAAAAUUGGGCAUUAAUUUCCAUUUUCCAGCAUAUAACAAUUUCUAGCAGCAAGUUUUAACAGCAGAUAACUUCCGACAACAACUCAUCCCAAAAUCAGCAACUCAUAACUCACAACACAAUAGCAUUUUGCUAAUUUCCAAUAGCAAGAUGCGUGAGAGAGACCCACGACGAGAGAAAGCCGAAGGAGAGAGCAGCGAGAUGCGCGAGAGGCCAGAUGAGAGAGACCCACGGUGAGAGAGAGAGCCACAGCCGAAGAGUGACCCACGCUCAAGAGAGAGAGCCACAGCCGAAUAGAGACCCACUCUUGAGAGAGAGAGAGAAAACCAAAGGAGAGAGCAAUCCCACGAUCCGUUUUGUGAGGCGAGUGUGUGAGGAGAGUGUGUUAGUUUUGAAGCUACAGUAUUUUCUUUUAGAGUUAGCACAAAACGAUGGUGCUAACUGCUAAGCGUGGUGCGUUUCUCAUUUUCCAUUCAUGGCCGUAUGCCAAAAGAAUAAAUAGACAGAAAGUAAAUUUACAGUCCUCACUUCCUCACAAUUGUUAACGUGAAGAUGCAUUACAACCGUGAACUGUCACUACUUUAGCCUUUUUUUUUUUUUCAAUUAUGGUGUGAUGGAGACAUUAAGGAUGAGCAUAAAAGUUAAAGAUGACUCAUUUUCUUUUUAAAGUGCUCUGCUGAAAGCCAAACUUCCUUUGGCUAAUUAAUUUAGAAGUAAAGCAGAGAAUAAAGUCUUAGAUGCCUUCUGAAAUUAGAAAUACAUUUUAUAUGCUUUAAUUAUGAUUAUUUGGUAGACUAAAGACCUAAAAGAUAUGUCAAAAGUAUAAAACAGAGCGAUUAAAGAAAAAAAGAAAAAAAAAAAACAGAGUAUUUGUGACGUAGAAUAACAAUUGGUAAAUAAAUCCUAAAUAUUUGAGUUGUUUAAAGCAAAUAUAACAGAGACGGUAAGAGAGAUGCAGAAACAGAAAACUAUUAGCCCUCUAUAUUCAUUUUCGAUGCUUUUCAAUCGAGAUUCUUUUAAUUCUUCUGGUGUCUGCAGCCCCGGCUCCUCUUAUAGAUCUCCAUCCCACAUCUGCACUACGAACAAGUUGAUUAAAGUUAAAUAAUGUUGGAGAUGUGGGGUGAGCCGUCAAUUUGGUAAAAAAUAUUAUGUAUAAUAUUGUUAAUAAUAUAAAAUAUAUAAUAAUAAUUACAAAGAAUCAUAAAUUAGAAAAAUUAAUUAUUUUACAAUCUAUUUCUUAAGUAAGAUAGAUCUCGUAAUAAGUUAAGUUAUAAUGUAAAAAAUAUUUUCAAUUUAUAAUCAUUUAAGAAGUCAUUUAACAAUAAAAUUUUUCUUUUUUUGAUCAAUUGGUCAUGCUACAGAGUAUCAUCUAUAUUCGUAGUGAUAUUAUUAUUACUCCGUAUUCUCAAAAAACCCGAUUUAACAUUUAGAAAAAGUUCCUACCUUUUAAAAAGAACAUGUAUGCAACAGCUACCCAUACUUUAUCUUACCACGACAAAACUAAUAGGGACUAAAUCAAAUUUCUCGAAUAAAGCAAAAUUUCUUAAAAUUAAUUUAAUAUACAAAUAUGAUGACUUUUUGCAAAAAUUAGUUUUGGAAAAUUAGUGACAGAAAAUAGUAACGAUUAUUAUUUAGAUGUGUAAAUAGCCUAAACAUGAUCCCUAGUACCAAUAUCCACGUGCAUCUUAACAUCUUUCGUCAUAUUCUUUCAUUCAUGGCCACUGGUUCAAGAUUUGAAUUUGAUCAUUAAAUCAUGUUCAAUAAUAUUAGAGAUUCCAACAAUUGAGCACCAACUUAAAUCCCAAUGCUAUGUGUCAUUAACAAAUGUUGUGUCAUUUAUAAUUAUUGAAUGAAUAAUUCGUUAAUUUAUUGAUAAACAAAAAUUUAUUAAUUUAAAGAGAGAUUUUUUUUUUUGGUUUUAAGAAGAGUUUUGCUGGUACAUGUACAUACUUAUAAAGAAAUAAACUUGUAAUUAUACUAUAUCUUUCUUUCUUUGUUUAUUUUGGUGGGAUAUUGUGAUAAAUCAUUGGAUUAAAAUGCAUUUAAAAAUAAAACUUGUUAAAAUCUAAUUUAUUUGGAAAACGCAUAUUAUUUGUCAGUCGUACUUCUCAACUUAGCAAGUUAUUUCUAACUUGUCAGUCUCUAUUGGUUCUCUAAAAGCUAAUAGUCUCGAAUCUCCCGGAUUUGAUAUCUUGCCAUUACUGUUGGCAUUAACAUGUUACCUGAGAAAUGAUAUUUUUUGUGGUGUUGAUAAAGAGGUUAAAUAUGAUUCAACAAUUUAAAAUAUGAAAACAUAUGGAAGACGGCCGCAAUUAAAUUGAUUGUAUGAAAAUAUUUCAAUGAAAUUUUAAAAAUUUGGUACUUGUUAUCUUAUCGAGAGUUUUUUUAAAUUAUAUUACUACUUGAACUUAACUGCUUUUGUAUUGAAUUCCUAGCGUUGCCAUUGCUUCUACUCAAAAGCCAUUUAAGUUUGUGUAAGCUACGUAUAGUUUGAACAACAAUUUACUCAUGAAUUGUUGUUCACAAUAGCAAGUCGGGGGUUUAAAUGGAGUACUUCUAAGCAUAAAACAUUGAUUAAAACAGAAUACACACAUACAUACCAGCAAAUUCAAAAUAGCAAAAGGAGUGCAAAAGUUCAAAUUUGUAGACAACAUUGCAACCAUGGCAUGUUUAUAGCAAAUCCUCGAAAUCUGCUAAAUAAAACAAUGCCCUGUCUCAUGAAUCAAUGCUGAAUUAAAAUUGAAACUGAAAGUCUGGCUGGCGUUGUUUCCCUCUCCAAUUUUGCCUACAUAAGUGAAAAUAAGAAUAAUAAAUGAAAAUCUGCUUUUACGGUUCUUAUUAGAUAGAUAAAAGGGGGAUCUUUCUUUGUUUCUCUGCUGCAAAGUGUGGCUAUCCCACUCUGUUUUGCCACCCAAGCUGAGUCUAUGUUGAGACAUAAUUUUGACAUCAGAAGCAAUCUCAAUUAGUUUGGCACUUUUAUGACCUCCUUGAAGGUUUUACGAUAAACAUAAAUCUACUGAGAAAGUGAGAAAAAAAAAGAAAAUGCAUAUAAAAAUAUGAGUUAUCAGAUAAGAUUAAACUUCACCCAAUUCAAUCCAUCAGAUUCCGUAAGGAUAUAACUGGAUUUCAUACCGCCACUCCAUAUCCUCGAAAGUCCGUAGUCCUUGUCUCAACUGUGUCUGGGGCCAGUGUAAGUCCAAUUUGCGCAAGCUCUUUAUGCACCACAGCUCUUCUGGAAGCUUUCUCAAGUAAGCACAUGGGUUGACAAUUAAGCUUUCAAGUUUGGGCAUUGCUCCAGCCCCCAUCGUCCACUCAUCUAGCCAAUACAUUGAUUUGAGGUGCAAAACCUUAAGUUCGGGAAAGCUACUCAAGCCAACACAAGCAAGCUUUCUUCCUAAAUACGAGUUCUGCUUCAGUUUCAGCACUCGAAGGCGUGGAAGAUUUUCCAGAAUUGGCAUGGGAUCCUCCAUUAACUCAGUAUUUGAUAAGCUCAGUUGGAUCAGACUUGGGGGAAAUUGGUAUUCAGACAGGACCAUCCGUGAGGGCUUGCUCUCAUUCACCAGCUUCAAGCAUUCAAGUUUGUGGAGUUCGCAAAGGCUUUUGGAAACCCCAGAUUGAUAGUAACUCAAAUCUCCAGAUAUCCGAAGAGUCUGAACACUAGGUAGUCUGCCCAAUAUAUCAGGAGUACAACUACUAGGGUUUAAAGCUGAUAUGAAAAUGAGAUUUUUCAGAGAGCUAGAAUAAUUUUUUGGAGGUGCGGGCAGAGUGAUAGAACCAAAGUUUAGAUGCAUGAGUUUUUGCAUCAUCCAAAUAUCCUCUGGUGACUGAUCUAUGUAGCUAGAUGGCAUUUCUAGUGUUUCAAGGUUUAAAAGGGUGCAUAGCAGUGAAGGAAGGCAUUUGAGCGAAGGGAUAUUCAAUUUCAAAUACUUCAAAAGAUAUAAAUUUUCUAAUCCGGGUGGAUAUUGGUCCAGGACUGCAGAACCCAAAUUCAAUACCCGAAGGUGUUUGAACUUUUUACAAAAAUUCUCGCAAUCUUUCGGAUUAAGAUGAUCGCUUGCCGAACUGUGAUUCAGAAAAGAUUGGAGAUACAUGUCAGAAUGUUCUAAAGAUAAAAACCCAGUCAGAUCUUCGGCAAUGACGCACCGUUUAACGUUUGCCACUGGCUCCUCUUCCCCGUCAUGCAUCAAGACAAAUUCCGUCUUCUUUGCCACAAAAUACAAUGAAGUAUAUACAAAACUUGGAACAUAACACGCUUUAAUUGUGCCUCCGGCGCUUCUCUUACUCACUUGAAUGAAGCCGCGACGGAUUAGUUCUUUCAUGUAAUGUUCGGCAGUUUCUUCACCGUUGUAUGGUAUGAAACCUUCAGCUACCCACAACUGAUAUAAUUGCUCCGUAGAUAUCUCAAUACUUGGAAGGAAGACACACAAAUAGAUGAAGCAGACUUUCAAGUGAAAAGGUAACUCCAUCACAGAAAAAAUUUGUCUCCAAACUGUCGGAAUCGCUUCGCCUUGAAGAUAAUUUUCUAAUGGCAUACUUCCAUAGUGUAGGAUGAAAAAUUGCCAGGCUUCAUGCUUUAAUCUGAUCAAUGGUCCUCCAAAGAGCACUGAAUCACGCCGAAUCUUCUCUCCGUUUUCCAUUUCUAACGACGCAAGGAGGUGUGGAUCACUGACCAACAUCAAUACUCUGCUUCCAUUCUGAUUAUCAGGAAGAACUUCUUCAAGAUCACUCCAUAUCUCACUGUCAUCGAAGACAUCAUCAAGCACAAUAAAGUACUUCCUGUUUGUUAGGUAAUCUCGAAGAAUAGAUUUCUUCAAUUGAUAAUCUUCCCCGAUAAUUACACUAACCCGAGAUGGAGGCAUCACAGACUUGAUUAUGUCAUCCAAUAUCUUGCCAAAAUCGUAGGUUAUAGAAACCCUGACCCAAGCAAGACAGUCAAAAUAGAACUUGACGUGAUCAUUAUUGUAAGUAUCUGCGGCAAAAACAGUCUUGUCGAAGCCACUGCUGUCGAGAAUUGCAACCACUGCAAGCCCAGAUGGUCCCUCAAUCAAUAGAUCAAACAACUCCUCUCUGCCCCUUUCAAAUUCACUGAUAUCAAGCCGAGGAUGUCCCGCACUCAAUAGGCGAAUGAUUUCGUUACUUUUUUCACUGAUAUCAAAACCAUUGUCGCCGGGUGGAAGUUGUUGCAUCCGAUUUCUAAUAUCAAUGAUUUCACUGUGGAGUCCAUCAAGAAGAGCCAUAUUAGUGCUGCUUUCACUUUCGUUUUCACUGUUUUGCUGCUGCAUGAUGUUGAUGAAGAAUGUGUCAAUGGCUUCCUGUGAGUCACGGACAAAGUUAUUGAUGUCCUCCAGAAUUUCAAAAAUAUCUGCUGUUUCAACGUUUUCUUCAUCGCUUUCUUCUAAGUCCAACAGUUGCAAAAAAGGCAAAGAUAUUUUGGAGUCAUCGAAAUCUUCUCUAAUGAGUUGAAACAAAUGCCGAGCCAUGUCAGCUUCAUAUUUUCCCAGCAGAGUAGUAGCAAUAAUUUCGGACUCCGUAAGAAGGUUUUGAAAAAGUGGAGUUAAAUUUGUUGAAUCUGGCAGCGGCAACGUGCCUUCUUCACCUGCUAACACCCUUCUCAACCUCUCACAAAAUAGUCGGAGGUGGACGUCCAGCAUAUCUCCUUCUCUCUGUAGCACCCAGAGGUAUUGUUUUUUGCUCCAAGAAAUAUUAAAAGGAUUGGUUCUAUCUAAAAGUGGUUACUGGUGUAAAAUUAAACGCCAUGGGAGAAUUUGAAAGGAAGAUGCCAAGGAACUGGCGAAGUGGCUAAAUUCCACAAAUACGGCAUUAUUGCUCAUUUUUAACUCAAAAAAUUGAUACGCGUUCAUUUUGCGAAAAGUCCAAGACGCUUGCCUUUUGAAAAGAAGAGGUAUCCAAUAGAUAUCCAACCUUUAUCUUAUUUUAAUUACUACCACGACAUGAUUGAUGGUGGUUAAAUCAAUUGUUUCUUUUUUAAUUUAAAGAAUUUUUCAUUAAAAAAUAUUUUAAUAUCAAAUUGCCUUCAAUAGCGUAACUGCCGCAAGCCCAGUAACAGGAUUAAUUAAUUUUUUUUGAAUUUUUGGGCAUGGAAAGAGUAGUAUUAGACUUCAGAAAGCUAAGGUUGUUAUGUUAAAGAAUUGAUAUUGACAUAAUUUUAUUUUGGCUUUCGGGGAAAAAAAUAUUUGCUGACAAGCAAGAAAAUAUUUUUGUAUUUUACAAUUUAUUAUACAUAUUUGAUCAUAUUAAAGUAAUUUUAAUAAUAAAUAGACACAUAAUAUUACAAUAAAUAAAGUAAAGUUUAAAUUAUUUUGAAUAUUAUAAAAAAAUAAUUUUAAUAUUAUUAAUAGGAAGACAUUUUGUUAAUUUUAAAAUCUUUUUAACCUAAAGGUUUAUUUAAAAUCUUUAGAAAUCUCCAUCCCACAUCUACCCUAUUAAACAAGUUGAUGGAAAUUGAACAAUUGCUUUUUAAAGUGGGACCCAUUGAGUUAUGUUCAUUACUGGUCAUUGUCUAUUCUUUCUAAGAGCCACUUGUUUUGAGCAUUAGCAAUCCUAUCUGGACUACUCCAAUUAUUGAUGUAACUCCAAUGGUUGCAUCGACAGUUGAAUAUAAGAGGAUGGUCCAUCGACAAUUUCUUUGUUUCUCCGUUGCAGCGUAUUAGUAUAAAUUUCUUUACCUAACAGUUCAUACAGUCUUCCUGUUAAUGAAUUCACUGAGGCAUUAUUGAUACAAUGUGCUUUUCGCUAAUUAAUUAUGAUUAUAUACGCUUUCAUAUAGCAAGUGGCAUUGUAGAUCUAAACUAAGUUGCUAUUUCAAUACGUUAAUUAAGUGAUUCUCCUCAUUGUCAUCAGCAUUAUACCCUCUAGGAAAAUAGCUCAAUUGUUUCUCUGCAUUGAUUUUCAUUGGUAAGUGAUUUCUUAUGAAAUUCUUUUGAGCUUUCCUUAUUAAAAAUGCUUGAGCUUUUAUCACCUAAUACGGAUAUCAAUUAACUUGUGAACGAUUUUGUAAUGAAACUAGGAGUUAAAUAAGAUUUUUACAUGAUGAUCAACUUGUUAAUUUUGUAUAUUUCAUAUUCAACAGGAUUUGGGCACGGAACGUUUGGAUUCUAAUAUUUAUAUAUUUAGUUUUAAUCAGUUUGACUUUCGUAAUCUUUCUCGCCUCAUCAUUAAGGGAUUAAGAAUUAGAGAAACAUUAGAAACAGGAAGAAAAUAACUUCAGAAAUAAGUAAGAGGGAAUCCAAUGAGAAAUAUGAUAAGAGAACGUCAAUUACUUGUCAUUUUCUAUUUUUUCUAUGAGAUAUUUAUUUUGAGCAUUAGUUAUAGCAAAUCCUUGAAAUCUACUAAACAAAACAAUGCCCUGUCUCAUGAAUCGAUGUUGAAUUACAGCUGAAAUUGAAAGUCUGGCACCAGUUAUAGCAAAUAUUGAAUUACAAUAUUUCCCUUGCCAAACCGUACCUGCAUGUGGCAACGUGCCUUCUUCACUUGCUAACACCCUUUUCAACCUCUCACAAAACAGUCGGAGGUGGAAUUCCAGCAUAUCUCCUUCUCUCCGCAGCACUCAGAGGUAUAGUUGAAAGAUUAAACACCAUGGAAGAAUUUGAAAGGAAAAUGCCAAGAAACUGUGUAAGUGGCUAAAUUCCACAAAUAUGACAUUAUUGCUCAUUUUUUAACUCAAAAAAAGGGUACGCGUUCAUUUAGAGAAAAGUCCAAGACGCGUGCUUUUUAAAAAGAACAGGUAUCCAACCUCUAUCUUAUUAAAUUACAACCAUGACAUAAUUGAUGGUGCUUAAAUCAAUUGUUUCUUUUUUAAUUUAAAGAAUUUUUCAUUAAAAAAAUAUUUUAAUAUCAAAUUGCCUUCAGUGGCGUAACUGCCUCAGGCCCAGUAACAGGACUAAUUAAAAAUUUUACAAUUUUUGGGCAUGGAAAUAGUAGUAUUAAACAUUAGAAAGGUAAGGUUGUUCUGUUAAAGAAUUGAUAUUGACAUAAUUUUAUUUUGGUUUUCGUGGAAAAAAAAUUUGUUGACAAGUAAGAAAAUAUUUUUAUUUUUAUAAAAUUUAUUAUGCAUAUUUAUCAUAUUAAAGUAAUUUUAAUAAUAAAUAGAAACAUAAUAUUACAAUAAAUAAAUCAAAGUUUAAAUUAUUUUGAAUAUUAUAAAAAAUAAUGUUAAUAUUAUUAAUAGGAAGACAUUUUGUUAAUUUUAAAAUCUUUUUAAUCCAAAGGUUUAUUUAAAAUCUCUAUAAUAAAUACAAAUAUAAGAUUAAAAUAAAAAUCAUAAUUUGAAAAUUUUAAUAUUAUUUUAAAUGUUAAAUAUACUUUAAUGUUAUUAGCCUACUACGUAAAUUUUAUUAUUUAUAUUAUAUUCGUAUUGAUUAAAAUUUUUUAAAGUCAAUUUUUUAGUUAGUACAUUCACGAGGUAUAAUAGUUAAAGAAAAAAUUUUGGUGCAACUGUUUUAAAAUUUCAGGGUAUAAAUGAUAAUUUUUUUAAAAAUUUUAAGUAGGUAUUAUUUUUCCGACAAUUUAUUUUAUUGAGGGAAACCCGAUGAGAAAUAUCAUCAGAGAACAUUAAUUUAACAUUCUUUACCUUUAUGAAAAAAGUGGAAACCAAGAACUAUUCAAUUUUUUUUUUUUUGUGUAAUUCAAAAAAUGCAUCCACCAAACAAGCUUAUCUUAAUUUUCCCACUUUAUUCAUUUUCGAUGCUUUUCAAAAGAGGUUCCUUUAAUCCAUCUAGCAUCUGCAGCCCCCACUAUUUUUACAAAUCUCCAUCCCACAUCUACACUAUCAAAAAAGUUGAUGGAAAUUGAACCCAUUAAUUAAGUUAUGUUCAUUACAGGUCAUUAUCUUUCUAUGAGCCACUUAUUUUGAGCAUUAGCGAUCUUAUAAGGAAUCAUGCCUUUUCCGGAUCGUUUUCUUUCAUUUCCUUAUUGACUUAUUGUAGUAGUUAAUUAAAUAAAGAACGAACAAGUGAACUUAAUUUGUCUAUUUCGAGGAAGAACAAGGUUUCCAAUACUAGAGGAACUUUGAAGAAAAUUAAUUGGAAGCCUUUAUUCAUCUUUGAAGAAAAUUACCACACUUUAAAUCCUGGAUUAAAAAAAAUUUAUUCAUCUUCGGACUAUGAAUUUAUAAAAUAAUAUUGCUAGGACUAAGAAAAAAAUAUUAUUUUAGAUACGUUAUUUAUUUAUUAUUGAAUGAAAAAUUUAUCAUGAUAAAUAAAAUUUCUUAAUUUAAAGAGAGAUUUUUUUUUUGGUUUUAAGAAGAGUUUUUUUGGUACAUGCACACACUAAUAAAGAAACACAAAAAGUGCUUCCUCAAGUCAAUAGUAUUUACUUUAAUCGCUAAGGUGCAUAAUAAUGUAGCUUAGUUAGGAAAUUUGUAAUUACAUUAUGGCUCCGUUUGGUAUAACUUUUUAAUUAGAACUUAUUUAAAGAGAAUUUAUAUUAGUAGAGUUUUUAUAAAUAGAGAUUUUUUUUAUAAAAAAAAUUAUAGUUAUUUAGUUAUCAAUGUCCAAAUUGAUGAAGUAUUGUUCUUUUUAUUAACAUGUGUUUGUUUUACUUAAUAAUAAAAGUUUAGUUUACAAUUACACCGGUGUCAAAUCAGCAGAGCAUCGGCAAGAGUUUUCGAUUGUUGCAAUUUGCAAUGCACGCGGUGAGAGAAAAUGAGAAUCUUGUUUAAUUGUCAAUAAUGACAAACCUAAUCCUUUCAUUAGGAGUAAAUUAAUAAUCGUUGGUUAUAAUUGAAUAUGUAUAAAGAAAGGAAAAUUAUAUUCAUAGAUUUGACUUAUUUUUUAUUUAACGUAACUAAUCAUUCAACCAUCUUCGUUUGCCUCUGGCCAAUGCCCUUGUAGAUUAGUUGAAGCGUUAAUUACAUAAUUCAGAUAAUUACAACGUCCUUUUCGCUAAUUAAUUAUGAUUAUGUACAUUUUCAUAUAGCAAGUGGCAUUGUAGAUCUAAACUACGUUGCUAUUUCAAUACGUUAAUUAAGUGAUUCUCGUCAUUGUCAUCAGCGUUAUAAACAGGAAUUAUGCAAACAGUACACAAUGCUGCAGCAAGGCGUGGUUGGCUAGAGUUUUGCAACCACCCUCGAGAUCAUGUGCUGCCAGUAGUAAAAGAAUUUUACGCCAAUUUGGUAAGCCUUGGUCAGCACAAUAUUUGGGGUAAGAAACUCACUUGUUCCAUUAGACUCUCGAGUUAUAAAUGUUUUUUAUAAUUUACCUGCUGAAAUUAAUUGUGAGUAUGCCAAGUUGCUUGACAAAUUGACCUCACAACAAUGGAACACAAUUUUCACGACACUUACAGUAGAGGGUGCAUCGUGGGCUAAUGAGGAGGGGCGUGUAAUUAACAGGAUAGAUUUAAAACUCAUUGCUAAGGUGUGGGUGAAAUUUCUGAAAUCUAGGCUUAUGCCAACCAUCCACACCAUUACUGUUUUACAGGAAAGGUUGGUGCUGUUACAUGCUAUUGUUAGAGGGCUUUCCAUAGAUGUGGGAAGUAUUAUCGAAAAAGAAAUUCGAGAUUGUACCAUGAAAAACCACAAGGUUGUUGCCUUGUUAUUUCCUUCACUCAUAACCAGCAUAUGUGUAGUAUCGGGUGUUCAUCUUGAUGCAAAGGAUAAAAUUUGUAAUUAUAUUAUGGCUCCAUUUGGUAUAACUUUUUAAUUCGAACUUAUUUAAGGAGAUUUUUAUUAGUAGAGCUUUUAUAAAUAGAGAUUUUACUAAAAAAAAAUUAUAGUUAUUUAGUUGUCAAUGUCCAAAUGGAUGAACUAUUGUUCUUUUUGUUAACAUGUGUUUGUUUUACUUAAUAAUAAAAGUUAAGUUCACAAUUACACCGGUGUCAAAUCAGCAGAGCAUUUUUGCAGGGGUAAAAUCUCAUUUAGUCCCUAUAUUUUAAGCUUAGUAUCCAUUUGGUCCCUAUAUUUUUAAAAAUACCUCAAAACAUCCCUACCGUUAAAGUAUUGAUACCCCUACCGUUAAAGUAUUGAUACCCCUACCGUUAUCUUUAAUUUAUUUUGGCUUACUUUUACAAUAUUACCCUUUUAUAAUAAUUUUUUUAGACAUGAAUAAAAAAUAAUAAUUAAAUUACCAAUUUAACCCAAAAAAAAUUAAAAAAAAAAUUAUAUUAAUUUUUUUUGCAAACACCAUUUGCACACUUGAUAGUUUGCAUACAAUUUUAGAUAAUUAAAUUUCAACACAAGACUGAGUUUUUCAUCAUUCAAACUUCUCAUGUCUAAACUUUAUUUAUUGAGGUGCUAAAAGAUAAAUAUAUUGGCAAUUGGGAAAUGAAGUCAAUGAUAAGUUUGAUACAACCGUUGAUUAAAUAUCAUUAAAAAAAAAAAAGUACCUACAACUAGAAGUUAAAAAAAAAUGUCACCAUAGCCCACGUAUAAAUCCAUUUUGUAGUGCGUCAAAACUUAUGAAUAUCCUCUUGAAGUACGUCGCUACACCUUAUGUUUCAUAUUGAAUUUUCACCAUUGCCCUUUUAUUCUUUAUAAGAAGAACGUUGGCAUAGUCAUGUAACUUUGCAUAAGAUUUUGUGUAGUCACUAUCAGCAAUUUUUAGAACCCUUUUUUUGGCCAUAUACAGCCUUUUCUUUGUAGUUGAACAAGAAAACCUCUUCCUCAAUUCAUCUGACAUGGAUUCACAACCGAUAUCAGGAUUAAAACUAAUAAAACCAUACAAUUUCUGAGCUAUCCAUCUACUAGUUACUUCAGGAUUCUUAAACAGCUCUUUGCACUUAUGUUCACCACCUUUUAAAGUUUUAAUCUGGAAUGUAACUUUGUCAACCAAUAAAGAUGCAUGGAUUCUCCAUGGACAUUCCUUUCCUUCUUUGUCCUUCCCAGCACACACGGCUGUAACUCUACAUUUGUCAUUCUUUUUCCUUUUCAAAACUCUUGACUCUUGAAUAGCAUAAUCCUUCAAUACAUUCUUAAACUCUUGAGCACAACUAAAAGUUUGCCCAACUUCCAAAACAAUAUCAUCAUCACCAUCGGGUUCUUGAACUUUUUUUUCUUAAAUCCCUUUUCAUCUUCAAUAUUAUAGCGUCAUCUUCUUCAUCACUUGUAAUAGAUACAUCUUCAUUAUCACUCUCACAAUCUGACAUGCCAUCAUCUCCAUCAAAUUCAUUAAUAUCAAACCCUAAAUCAACUUCAGGUUCACUAUCAGACUUAACAAUAUCACCAAUAUCUUCAUCAGACCAGUCAAUAGACUCAACACUGAUUGCAUCAUCACUUUCACCAUCUAAAAUACAAACAUUAACUGCAUUUGAGGCAAAAUGAUUAUCUUCAGGGCGAGUUUGAGCUAAAACGGGUGACAAGCUGGCCAAGGAUAACGCAUCCAUCUCCAAAUUAAUAGAAUUAAGACCCUUGGCUUGAAUUAAGUUAACCAAAUUCUGGAAGUCUUUAUCAUUAUUCAAUUCAAUCCCUUCAUUGGACCAUGGGACAAUGCCAGUAAGCUUAAAGCUCUCAUCAUAAUGCUUGUGCCUUCCAAAGACAUUAUUCAAGACAUCGUUGAUGAGGGAUACAAGAAUCAAGCAAUCAGGAUCAUAAGCAUCCUCCACAUCUUUGCCUAAAAAUCGAACUGAAAUGCUGAUUUGACUCAUUUUGAAUCUGCCAACAUAAAGAUGAACAAAAAAUAUCAGAAACUUAAAACUAUUACAUACGAAAUCAUAAAAUACAAAAUCGACAUUAUAGAACUUUAUAUGAUUAUGAUUUUUUUUUACAAAAAAAUACUCAAUCAAGUGAAGUUAAAAUAAUUUCUUUUCGAUUACAAAUCAAUUCCACUACCAAUAUUAAGCUACGAAACAACCAUGAAAGGGUUAAAAAAAAGAAAGAAAGAAAACAAAAACCGUUCAACUUUUAGUCUACUGCAAAACAAAAACCGUUCAACUUUUAGUCUACUUCAUAUGGAAUUUUAGUCUUGGGAAGAAAUACCCAUUCAAGUGGAAAAAAAAAUAAUUUCUUUUCAUUGAACACAUGGAAGAUUAAAAAAAUAAAUAAAUAAACAAGACCAAUGUGAGACGUACCAGAAUAGGCCAAUUUCCUUCGUUGUCGGUUUUGACAUCUACUGCAAGACUACGUUUCCAAUAGAAAAAAUUUUACAGCAAUAAAAUUGUUAUGAGUUUUAAAAAAGCAAGUCACUUAAGUUCUUAAAGCGAGGGUUUUAAAGAAUAUUAGGGUUAAAAUACGUUUUUGCGAUUAUGGAUCUAGGUUAUCGUAAUAAUUUUUUAAAAUUUUAAAUUUUACCAAGAAAAAUACAUUUUUACCCUCAUUAAUCUAGAAUUAACAGUAACGGAGGUGAUGCUAAGGGUGUUUUGAGGUAUUUUUAAAAAUACAAUGACUAAACAGACAUUAAUCUAACGCUUUUUCUCCCAUGUAAAUUCUUAAUGUCGUUUUUCCAUAGUAUAGGAUGUAAAAUUGCCAGGAUUCAUGCUUUAAUCUGAUCAAUGGUCCUCCAACGAGAACUGAGUCAGGAUGAAUCGUCUGUCCAUUUUCCAAUUCGAACGAGGAAAGGAAGGCUGGAUCAGUGACCGUUAUAAUUACUCUACUUCCAUUCUGAUUCUCAGGAAGUACUUCUUCAAGAUCAUCCAAUACGUCGUCACCCUCUUUGUAGUAAUCAUCAAGCACAAUAAAGUACUUCUUGUUUGUUAGGUAAUCUCGAAGAAUAGAUUUCUUCAAUUGAUAAUCUUCACCGAUAACUACACUAACCCGAGAUGGAGGCAUCACAGACUUGAUUAUGUCAUCCAAUAUCAUGCGAAAAUCGUAGGAUAUAGCAACCCUUGUUAGGAAAUUGAGCUUCCUCCCAAGAUCACUCCAAGCAAUUUAUCAAGCAACAAAUUAACAGAAAAAUUUAAUGGAGAAUACAUCAAUCACACAACACAAGAUUUACGUGGAAAACUCUAAAUCCGGAGAAAAACCACGGCCGUUGUCAAAAAGACAACCAGAGAAAAUAUUCACUAUAUGGAAAAUUAUUACAACCACACUCUCAAAAAUAAUUUUCUCUCACCCAAGCCCCAAAUACAUAAUCCUGAGAAAUAUCCCUUAACAAAGCAAACCCGUAAUACCCAUAUUACGGAGCCAAAUGCUCCUUCAAUAUAACUACAUGCUUAAGAACUUUUCUCUCUCUCAAUUUCUCACCAAAACUUGGAUUCCUUCUCUGGGAUUUGGAUUGCUUCUCUCAAUGGCCAACAGUUCAUGUCUAUUUUCUUUAGCAAAGCCGAAGCUCAUUGCUACUCAUUUCUCAUCAAAUGACAUUCCAAUUUAUAGCCAAACUAUCACACCAAAAAUCUAAUAAGUCGGCAACAACUUUCUUCCUUUUUUACAAAUUCAUCAUGCGGUUCAAAAUUGGCAUUUUGCUUGUCAAAGUCCAUCCACCCAUUUGAAUGCAAUCAAUGUGUUCCCAUUUCACUUUUCCUUUUUUUUUAAUCAAUUUCAACAAUCUCCACCUUGAUUAAAAAAAAAAUUCAUAACUACUGCUACAAAACACUGUCUUCACCAACAGUCAUAAUUCUUAACAUAGAGAAUUAUCAUACUCCACCAUAAAGAGUAUACCACUUAGAAACAACCAUUCUAAGAUUUUUCUCGGCACAUGUCAAAAUAUCUUGCUGAAAUUUAUGGUACAAUUCUCAUGCUUGGUUUCCCUAAGAAUUCUUCAGCCAUGACAUAACUUUUCCACUACACACCUUGCAUUUAUACCAAGCCAAUGCCCGCGUGCAAACUUGUGGACCCCGCUGAUCAUAGCAUGUUCUCUUUCAUGACAACUUGGAGAUUUACAUGCCAAAAGAACUAACCCAAUCUCCUAUCAAAAGGAAACUCACAAUCUACGAGAAUAUCAUUAUCUCCUUUACUGAUUCUGGAGUAAUUUGCCGAGCCCACUCCACCUUCUUGACAAUUUUCUUGAGGUGCCAAAAAUUGUCUCACACCUUCAAAUCUUUGUGCAUACCAGAUUGGAUACACCUUUGACUUGAAUUCUCCACAAGCCAAUAAAAUCAUUCUUCCAUUAAUUUUUUUUUUUAACAACAUCAAACUCCACCAAGUUUAAAAAACACCAGCUACUGACAUAUAUGCUUUACAUAAACAGUAUCGUAUACCCCAAGUACAAACCGUUGGCUCUGAUACCACUGUUAGGAAAUUGAGCUUCCUCCCAAGAUCACUCCAAGCAAUUUAUCAAGCAACAAAUUAACAGAAAAAUUUAAUGGAGAAUACAUCAAUCACACAACACAAGAUUUACGUGGAAAACUCUAAAUCCGGAGAAAAACCACGGCCGUUGUCAAAAAGACAACCAGAGAAAAAUAUUCACUAUAUGGAAAAUUAUUACAACCACACUCUCAAAAAUAAUUUUCUCUCACCCAAGCCCCAAAUACAUAAUCCUGAGAAAUAUCCCUUAACAAAGCAAACCCGUAAUACCCAUAUUACGGAGCCAAAUGCUCCUUCAAUAUAACUACAUGCUUAAGAACUUUUCUCUCUCUCAAUUUCUCACCAAAACUUGGAUUCCUUCUCUGGGAUUUGGAUUGCUUCUCUCAAUGGCCAACAUUUCAUGUCUAUUUUCUUUAGCAAAGCCGAAGCUCAUUGCUACUCAUUUCUCAUCAAAUGACAUUCCAAUUUAUAGCCAAACUAUCACACCAAAAAUCUAAUAAGUCGGCAACAACUUUCUUCCUUUUUGACAAAUUCAUCAUGCGGUUCAAAAUUGCCAUUUUGCUUGUCAAAGUCCAUCCACCCAUUUGAAUGCAAUCAAUGUGUUCCCAUUUCACUUUUCCUUUUUUUUUAAUCAAUUUCAACAACCCUGACCCAAGCAUGACAGUCAAAAUAGAACUUGACAUGAUUAUUGUUGUAAGUAUCAGCAGCAAAAGCAGUCUUAUCGAAGCUACUGCUGUCGAGAAUUGCAACCACUGAAAGCUGUGGUUGUCCCUCAAUCAAUAAAUCAAACAACUCCUCUCUGCCGUUUUCAAAUUCACUCUUAUCAAGCUGUGAUUGUCCCUCAAUCAAUAAGUAAGUGAAUUCGUUCCUUCGUUCUCUGAAAUCAAAACCAUUGCCUUCAGGUGGAAUUUGUUGCAACCGAUUUCUAAUAUCAAUGAUUUUACUGUGGAUUCCGACAAGAAGAGCAAUGCAAGUAGUGCUUUCACUUUCACUGCUUUGCUGCUGCGUGAUGUUGAUGAAGAAUGUGUCAAUAGCUUUCUCUGAUUCACGGACAAAGGAAUUGAUGUCUCUCAGAAGUUCCCAAAUGCCGAUAACGCGAAGGUAUUUCGUCUUCAUCGAAAUGUUCUCUAAUGAGUUGAAUCAAAACCCGAGCCAUUUCAGCUUCAUAGUUUCCCAGCAGAGUAGUGGCUAUAAUUUCGGACUCCGUAAGAAGGUUUUGAAAAAGUGGAGUUAAAUUUGUUGAAUCAGGCAAAGUUAACGUGCCUUCUUCACCUGCUAACACCAGUUUCAACCUCUCACAAAAUAGUGUGAGGUUAAUUUCCAUAUCUUUCCCUCUCUCAGUAGUACUCAGAGGUACGUAUUGUUAUUUGUUAGUGUUGAUGACGAAAGCUGAAUAACAAAACAACAGUGUACACAAUCAACAGAAGCCAAAGUAUGUUAAUUUGAGAUCAAAGGAUAUAAAUAAAGGAAAAGUUUUCGUCGAUUGAGAAUGGAUGGAUGCAAAGAAUGACUGAUAUUAAAUGAUUUCUAUAAAUGAGACAUGCAAAGAAUGAAAUUUAAAGGUAACCCCCUUUUUUUUUUUUUUAAAGUACUCUAUUGAAAGCCAAAGUUCCUUUGGCCAAUUAAUUUAGAAGUGAAGGAAAGAAUAAAGUUAGUCCUUGAUGUCUUUUGAAAUUAGAAAUACAUUUUGAAUGCUUUAAUAGAUGCAGAGCAAACUGGCUCGAUAUCUACCUAUUUUUAGUGCUAAAAUCAUUUAAUAGAAGUUGUAGCAUUAAAAAAAAAAAAAAAAAAAAACUGGCUUGAUAUCCAAUUUUGUUAUUGAAUAUGUCUCAUGUGAGAGUAAAAAAAAACUGGCUUGAUAUCCAAAAUUUAAAGGUAACUCCUUGAAUUUGAUUGAAAAAUUAUUGAGACGGACAAGGCUGGACCAUUGUUCGAGACUGAAACUACACAUCAGUCUUAGAAAAUUGUAAUUUUGUUGGCUUAUCAUGAUUUUGAUCGUCUCACAUUGAUUUUCCUAUGAUGUCUCUGUCGAGUGGCUAUGCUUACAUUUUUAGGUAUUUAAUUCUAAAAAUUAACUUAUUAAAUGGAGGGACCAAUUCUACCUAUAAAUCCAAGUGGCUUCCCUUUACUAACUCAUAUGAGAUACAACAAUAAUUUUCUUUGGACAAAACCACUGUUGGAGGGUUAUUUUCGUUCAACAUACAUGAGUUGUUCCACCACCAUAUUUUGAGGGUUUGUUUUGGAUAUGACUUGGGGGAGCUAAGGCUAAGAUUUCUAAGUAUCAACAUAAAAACCUUGCCGGAAGGACCAAUCCUACUUUAAAGUCUAAAUGACUAAUUCUUGAGGACACAACUCAACAGCCCAAUAUAAACUUUUGACGUCCCAUUUUAUUACUUUCCAGUGCUUUUACUUUUGCUGUCUAGAGCCCUACCAUGCUAUUAAGCAGAAAAUAUUUCAAGGCACUCUCGGUCCAGUAGAUAACUUUGGUAUUUAUCAUCUAUUUUCUUUCCAUUUUAUGCAUACCCCGAUCUUUACCUCUGAUUGGUUGUAGAUUCUUUUGUUGCUUUGGGGUUAGGGGGUGGUUUUCAUAACUAUUCAGUUGAUCAAUGCAGAAAAUCACCAUCAAGAAAUUAUAAAGGAUUGUUAGUUCUAUCUGACAAACAACAUUAAUAUGAAGGAUGAUGAUUGUUCUGUUCAAGAGUUUAUAAUGACAUAAUUCUACUUUGGUCUUUUAAAAAAAGUAAUUUAGAAACGAGGAGUAUGUGAGUGAUGAUUUUUACAAAAUAAAUUACAUGCGUAGUGAUGAUUUUGACACAUGAAAAUGAAAAAAGAAAUAUAACUUGUGAAUAAUAAUUGAAGUACCUGCUAUUGUUAUAUUGAGUAAUCAAGGACUUCAAUAUUCGGACGAUAUAAGCAACACAAUCAAAUAUUAGUUGGAAGGCAUAGCAAAAUUAGAAUGUAGAACAAACUGGGUAUUGAUAAAUGGAUGGUUUUGGAAGAAUUGAAAAUGAUGGCAUAAGUAAACCAAAGUUUAGAGAAAAGAGAAAGAGCAUUUGAACUUUACUUGUAAGAAAAGGCAAAUAUCUUGGUUCAAGAAAAGAUAAGAGAUAUCAAACUAGCAAUAGGAAAAAGGAGGAAGGUUAAGACAGCAUCUUAACAAAAGCUAAAGAAAAGAAAAACUUAGUUCAAGCAAAGAACAAUGUGCUAAUGUCGUGUAAUCUUGUUUAAUUUCUUUUUCUUCUCACAUUUUCCAGGGCUUAAAUAAUACAAUAUACAUUUUCAAGCAAAGAACAAUAUGCAAUUGCAGUACUUCUGAGCACACAACAACAAAUAAAUAAUACAAUAUACAUACCCACUAAAUUAAAAAAAAAAUAUUAUCCAAGUUUGUGGACUAUAGCCAUGGCGUCGUCGAAAUCUACUGACAGCUGAAACAAAGAAAGAAUGGAUGAAUGCUGGAUCACAGUUGAAAUUGAAGGUCUGGUAGGUGAUGUUUCCCUCUCUGAUUUUCCCUAAACAAAUACAAGAAAAUAAGAAUCACAAAUGAAAAUCUGCUAUUACACUGUUCUUACUUAUUAAAAUACAGAGGUUUCUUUGUUUCUCUGCAGCAAUGUCCAUGGCUAUUAGAAACAAGAACAAUUAGACCAGCAUUUGUAAGAAUCCUUUAAGGUAUUACUGCAGAUAUAAAUCGACUGAGGAAAUGGAAAAAUUGAAUACCAAAUUAGGCAAGUUAACUGAAGAUUGAGUUAAUCAUAGAAGAAUAAAACUCAUCCAAUUCAAUCCAUCAAAUUCCAUAAGGGUACAACUGGAUGUCAUACUGCUGCUCCAUAUCCUCAAGAGCCCGUAGAUUUUGCCUCAACUCUGGCUGAGGCCAAUGUAAGUCCAAUUUGCAAAAGCUCUUUAUGCACCAUAGCUCUUCAGGAAGCUUUCUCAAGUAAGCACAAGGGUUGACAAUUAUGCUUCCAAGUUUUGGCAUUGCUCCAGCCCCUAUCGUCCACUCCUCUAGCAAAUACAUUGAUUUCAGGUGCAAUACCUUGAGCUCCGGGAAACCACAAGAGCAAACACAAGCCAGUUUUCUUCCUGAAUAUGAGUUCUGGUUCAAUUUCAGCACUUGAAGGUGUGGAAGCUUGUCUAGUGUUAGCAUGGUAUCCUCCAAUAACUCAGUAUUUGAUAAGCUUAGAUGGAUCAGACUUGGAGAAGCUGGUAUUUAGACAGGGCCAUCCGAGAGAGCUACCACCUCUGGUUUCGUUCACCAGCUUCAAGCAUUCAAGUUUGUGUAGUUCGCAUAGGCUUUUGGAAACCCCAGAACGAUAAUAACUCAAAUCUCCAGAUACUAAGAGUUUGAAAAUGAGGUAGUCUGCCUGUUAAAGUAGCUCACUAUGUUGAACAAAUGAAGGAGAAAGCUAAGCUGGAGAAAAUACAGGGCAAGAGUAUUAGCUGUGCCAGCUCAACUGACAGCUCAGCAAAAUCAGUUAAAUUUUGUUACAAGCCCCCUGUGCAUUGUGCUGAAGAUUAGUUAGUUUAAUAAUGAUUAGUUUUAGAUUAGUUAAAAUGUAAUCAUGAUUAAGAUAUAUAUAUAUAUAUAUAUAGCUGCUGUACUGAUAUCAUGGAUUAAGUGUUGAGAAAUAAAAUUCAUUAAGCAUUUCCAGAACUCUUGAUUUUCUUUCUCAGUAGCCAAACAACUUCACUCUCAUUUUUUUUUUUCAACAAUGAGUUCUCAAACCACUCAGGUAUCAUUUUCAGACAUUCUUGGCCUUGUACUCACCAUCAAAAUGGGUUGGUUGAGAGAAAACAUAGGCAUAUUGUUGAAUUAGGUUUGACUCUGUUGGCUCAAGCUCAACUUCCUUUUAAAUUCUGGUGGGAUGCAUUCCAUACUGCUCUAUCAUCAAUAGAUUACCAUCUUCUGUUUUCAAACUUUCGACCCCAUAUGAGAAGAUAUUCAAGCACAAACCUGAUUAUGAUUUUCUCAAAUGUUUUGGUUGUAUUUGUUAUCCUUACUUGAGAGACUAUAACAAACAUAAGUUUGCCUAUCAUUCCAGUAACUGUAUAUUCAUUGGUUAUAGUCCUUCACAAAAGGGUUAUAAAUGCUUACAUUCUUCAGGUCAUGUCUAUGUGGCAUGACUUGUUAUCUUUGAUGAGUCAACCUUUCCUUAUGCUACUGAAUCUGUUUUUCAUAGUCACACAAAUUCUGAUUCUCAUUCUUCAAACUUAUUUACUCCACAGCAUGUCUAUUAUCUUUCUACUUUACCUGUCAUACCAGUAUUUCUAAGUAACAACACUGAUAAUCUAAACUCUACAAAACUAAAAUACCAGCUUUUUGGUGUUAGCAAUAGGAAACAACUUACCACAACCAUUAAUUAUCCAUAAUUUCAUUGUUUAUCCUCAGUUUUCUUCAUAAAUGUUACAGCAUUCUUCACGAGAAAGCGCAAGGGCAUUUCAAAAGUUCUGAAAUAAUACCUCAAUUCUAUUGCAAAAAUAAAUAAUCUCAAACAAGAACCAAUAAUCAUAUUUCGUUACUGUCAAACACAAUGCAUCUGAGCAAAACAUUGGAAGCCAACACCAGAAUACAUAUGAAUAAACAAUUAAAGAUAGAGAAAAAAGGCUUAAACCUUGGGGGAAAAAAGUGAAAAAAACAUGAAAGACAAAUUACACAUGUACAGUAAUCAUCGAACUUAUCAGUCACAGCUGCAUCCAUUACAUUGCUCCAACAACACAAUGGCAAACCACCAGUUUCAAAUUGAGGAUAGCUAUCGAGAAUGAGAAAGUGUCCAAAACGUCAUAAAUAGACAUGUUCCUAUUGUGCAUAAUUUACAUUAUAGGCAAAUAUUCUUAUACCAUCAAAGGCAACACAUGACACUAACAAUUGAUCCCCCCCCCCCCCCCCCCCAAACAACCAAAAAAAGGAAAAAGAAACAAUACAGAAAAGAUUGAAACAGAUAAGGCUACACUGAGCACAGGAUGCCAUGAAACAUAAUCCAGGAACCAAAUUAAUAAAAAAGGAGGCCAAACCAUUAUUUAACAAUCUGUUUUGUAUUUGGGAAAGUCUGAUAAAAUCUACUGAGGGAUAAUUAGAGAACCUCAACUAUUAAUCACACCUCAUAAAUGAACUAACAUUAACCAUCUACCAUCCCCACGUCACACAAACAUUCUCUAUACUUCUGAACCUAAUACUUCCAUCUUCAAUAGGGGGUUUUUUUUCUUUUUUUUGGGGGGGGGGGGAGUUAUCAAUUUUCUAAGCUUGCUUAGCUUCUGUGUAGGACUGAAAUGCUCAUUUCGAAUCACUAACAGUAAAAUUGGAAGCUCAUGAAAAAACAGUUUUAUCCCAAAAUUGCAUCUCGAUAUAAAUUCUCUUUUCAUUUCCUUCAACUUUCUAAUUAAGCUUAAAAAAUGUACCUUCAACCACAAAGGGGUUUAAAAUUUAAAAUAUAAAAAAUAAAUUCAGAUAAAAAUAAUUAAUUUAAUUAAAAAUAUAAAUAGAGUUACAGAGAAAGAGAAAAUAGAGAAAGACCUAAUGUUGAGUCCUUUGGCGCAUGUCUCUUCAUAGGUCCGAACCAUUUCUUCGGGCGUGGGUUACGGCCGAGAUUGGAUAAUGAUGGAGGAGGAGAAGAUUAGCGAUGACGACGCCGAUGAAAUGGAAGGGUUUACCAGAGGAGUGGAUGCGAAGAGUGCAGGGACGGCCGCAGAGAGAGAGCGGCGGAGAGCGGCGACGGACGGAUGGCGGUAUGGGCCAUUGCUUGCGCGUCGGUGAUUGUCUCGAGUGAGAGAGUGAAGGGUUUUGUUUAGGGUUUUGGGAAAUGAAAAAUGCAAAUGUUUGAUUUUGUUGCUAGAAACUUCUUCUGCUGCUGCCUUUUAUUGUCGCUAUAAUAAUAAUAAUUUGUUAAUCAAAUAUUUUCUUAAAAAAGAUAAAUUUCUACAACAAAAUUUAUAUUAAAUCAAAUUGUAAAAAUGUCUAAUAGGGUUAAUUUCUCCUUAAUAUUAUUAUUAGUAGAAGUAGAUUUUCAAAUUAGUCUUGAUAUAUAUCAGAGUUGUAUUAUAAAUGUAUAUGUAUCUGGAUUGCAAUUAUAUUUUAAAAAAAAUAAUUUUUUUAAUUAUUGCACAAUAAAUGUAGAAAGUGUCUAUAAAAUAAUAUUAUUGGAACUAUGAAAAGAUAUUAUUUUAGAGUAGUUAUUUAUUUAUUUUUGAAUAAAUAAUUUAUUAAUUUAUUGAUAAAUUAAAUAAAUAUUAAUUUAAACAGAGAAUUUUUUUUUUGUGGGUUUUUAAGAAGAGUUUUGUUGGUAUAUGUGCAAACUUAUAAAGAAAUACAAAAAAUGCUUCCUCAAGUCAAUAGUAUUUACUUUAAUUCAUAAUAAGAUAGUUUAAUCAAGAAACUUGUAAUUAUACUAUAUCUUUCUUUCUUUGUUCUGUUUGGUGGGAUAUUGUGAUAAAUCAUUGGAUUACAAUGCAUUUCUAAAUGAAAACUUGUUAAAACCUAAUUUAUUUGGGAACCACAUUUUAUUUGUCAGUCUUAUUUCUCAACUUAGCAAAUUAUUUCUAACUUAUCGGUCUCUAUUGGUUCUCUUAAGUACCUGUUUGGUAUAUCUUAUUUAAUGGCAAUAAGUACUUAUUUAAUCUCAUAAUUUUUUUCCCUCUCUGACAAUUGAGGUAGGGGGUCAAACUUGAAAGUAUCUUAAAAUCAGACAACAAUUUAACUAUUUUUUUUUUUUAGAUAACUGCUAAUAUGCUCUAUUAGACAAUGAUAAGUGAUUGCAUUUAUGCAUCCCCACCAAUAUUUAAGCAAUUUAAUUACAGAAACAUUUCUUGAGGAAAGAAACUCAUAUCACCACUAGGCUUUUAAUGAGGCUCAUUUUUAUGAAUCUGGAUAGCAUUAGAUAUCUCUCCGAAUAUUGGUGGGAGUAGAUCGCAGAUCUCUGGGCUAUACUACAAAGUGUAUGUACGUUGACUCUCAAUAAACACAAACGAUUCCCUGAUAUGAUUCAAAACAUCAGUGCAUGCAUCAUUUUAACGAGAGAGAAUAUUCCCAGAAAUGUACACGCAUGAGGAAUUUUUCCUAGAAGAUUGAUAUUUCUUUAACUAGCAAACCAUACAAGUCCGGGGCUUAAAUGGAGUACUUGUAAGCAUAAAACAUUAAUCAAAACACAGUAUAGACACACACACACACACACCCCUACAUACAUACCAGCAAAUUCGAAAUAGAAAAAGAAGUGCAGCUAUUCAAGUUUGUAGACAAUAUUUCAACCAUGGCAUAUUAAAGCAAAUCCUUGAAAUCAGCUAAACAAAACAAUGCCCUGUCUCAUGAAUCGAUGCUCAAUUAAAAUUGAAAUUGAAAGUCCGGCUGGUGUUGUUUCCCUCUCCAGUUUUGCCUACAUAAGUAAAGGGAAAUGAGAAUCAUAAAUGAAAAUCUGCUUUGACAGUUCUUAUUAGAUAGAUAUAAAUGGAUCUUUCUUUGUUUCUCUGCUGUAAUUUGUGGCUACCCCACUCUGUUUUGCCAGUCAAGCUGAGUCUACGUUAAGGCAUAAUUUUGACAUCAGAAGCAACCUCAAUUAGUUUGGCAUUUUCAUGACCUCCUUGAAGGUUUUACGAUAAACAUAAAUCCACUGAGAAAGUGGGAAAAAAAGAAAAUUCAUAUAAAAGUAUGAGUUAUCAGAUAAGAUUAAAACUCACCCAAUUCAAUCCAUCAGAUUCCGUAAGGAUAUAACUGGAUGUCAUACCGCCACUCCAUAUUCUUGAAAGUCCGUAGUGUUUGUCUCAACUCUGUCUGGGGCCAAUGUAAGUCCAAUUUGCGCAAGCUCUUUAUGCACCACAGCUCUUCUGGAAGCUUUCUCAAGUAAGCACAUGGGUUGACAAUUAAGCUUUCAAGUUUCGGCAUUGCUCCAGCCCCCAUCGUCCACUCAUCUAGCCAAUACAUUGAUUUCAGGUGCAAAACCUUAAGUUCGGGAAAGCUACUCAAGCCAACACAAGCAAGCUUUCUUCCUAAAUACGAGUUCUGCUUCAGUUUCAGCACUCGAAGGCGUGGAAGAUUUUCCAGAAUUGGCAUGGGAUCCUCCAUUAGCUCAGUAUUUGAUAAGCUCAGUUGGAUCAGACUUGGGGGAAAUUGGUAUUCAGACUGGACCAUCCGUGAGGGCUUGCUCUCAUUCACCAGCUUCAAGCAUUCAAGUUUGUGGAGUUCGCAAAGGCUUUUGGAAACCCCAGAUUGAUAGUAACUCAAAUCUCCAGAUAUCCGAAGAGUCUGAACACUUGGUAGUCUGCCCAAUAUAUCAGGAGUACAACUACUAGGGUUUAAAGCUGAUAUGAAAAUGAGUUUUUUCAGAGAGCUAGAAUAAUUUUUUGGAGGUGCGGGCAGAGUGAUAGAACCAAAGUUUAGAUGCAUGAGUUUUUGCAUCAUCCAAAUAUCCUCUGGUGACUGAUCUAUGUAGCUAGAUGGCAUUUCUAGUGUUUCAAGGUUUAAAAGGGUGCAUAGCAGUGAAGGAAGGCAUUUGAGCGAAGGGAUAUUCAAUUUCAAAUACUUCAAAAGAUAUAAAUUUUCUAAUGCGGGUGGAUAUUGGUCCAGGACUGCAGAACCCAUGUUCAAUACCCGAAGGUAUUUGAACCUUUUAAAAAAAUUCUCGCAAUCUUUCGGAUUAAGAUGAUUGCUUUCUGAACUGUGAUUCAGAAAUGAUUGGAGAUACAUGUCAGACUGUUGUAAAAAAAAGAACUCAAGCAGAUCUUCCAAAAUGAAGCACCGUUUAGCAUUUUCAAUUGAUUCCCCUAUCCAUGCAGGCAUUCGGACAAAUCUCGUCUUCUCUGCCACCAAACCCAAUGAAGUAAAUACAAAACUUGGAACAUAACACGCUUUAAUUGUGCCUCCGGCUCUUCUCGUACUCACUUUAAUGAAGCCGCGAUGGAUUAGUUCUUUCAAGUAAUGUUCGGCAGUUUCUUCACCGUUGUAUGGUAUGAAACCUUCAGCUACCCACAACUGAUAUAAUUGCCUCGUGGAUAUCUCGAUGCCUGGAGGGAAGACACACAAAUAGAUGCAGCAGACUUUCAAGUGAAAAGGUAACUCCAUCACAGAGAAAAUUUGUCUCCAUACUGUCGGAAUCGCUUCGCUUUGAAGAUAAUUUUCUAAUGGCAUACUUCCAUAGUGUAGGAUGAAAAAUUGCCAGGCCUCAUGCUUUAGUCUGAUCAAUGGUCCUCCAACGAGCACUGAACCAUGCCGAAUCUUCUCUCCAUUUUCCAUUUCCAACGACUCAAGGAGGUCUGGAUCAGCGGCCAAUAUUAAUACUCUGCUUCCAUUCUCAUUAUCAGGGAGAACUUCUUCGAGAUCAUCCCAUAUCUCACGGUCAUUGAAGACGUCAUCAAGCACAAUAAAGUACUUCUUGUUUGUUAGGUAAUCUCGAAGAAUAGAUUUCUUCAAUUGAUAAUCUUCACCGAUAAUUACACUAACCCGAGCUGGAGGCAUCACAGACUUGAUUAUGCCAUCCAAUAUCUUGCCAAAAUCAUAACGUAGAGAAACCCUGACCCAAGCAUGACAGUCAAAAUAGAACUUGACAUGAUUACUGUUAUAAGUAUGUGCAGCAAAAGCAGUCUUAUCGAAGCCACUGCUGUCGAGAAUUGCAACCACUGAAAGCCCAGAUGGUCCCUCAAUCAAUAGAUCAAAAAACUUCUCUCUGCCCCUUUCAAAUUCACUGAUAUCGAGCCGAGGUUGUCCCUCACUCAAUAGGCGAAUGAUUUCGUUACGUUUUUCACUGAUAUCAAAACCAUUGUCGCCGGGUGGAAGUUGUUGCGUCCGAUUUCUAAUAUCAAUGAUUUCACUGAUAUCAAAACCAUUAGUGCUGCUUUCACUUUCGUUUUCACUGUUUUGCUGCUGCAUAAUGUUGAUGAAGAAUGUGUCAAUGGCUUCCUCAGAUUCAUGGACAAAGUGAUUGAUGUCCUUAAGAAUUUCCAGAAUGUCUGAUCUUUUAACGUCUUCUUCAUCACUUUCUUCUAAGUCCAACAGUUGCAAUAAAGGCAAAGACAUAUUGGAUUCAGCGAAUUCUUGUCUGAAUAGUUGAGACAAAAUCCGAGCCAUGUCAGCUUCAUAGUUUCCCGACAGAGUAGUAGUAAUAAUUUCAGACUCCGUAAGAAGGUUUUGAAAAAGCGGGGCUAAAUUUGUUGAAUCAGUCAACGUUAACGUGCCUUCUUCACCUGCUAACACCCUUUUCAACCUCUCACAAAAUAGUCGGAGGUGGACGUCCAGCAUAUCUCCUUCUCUCUGUAGCACCCAGAGGUAUUGUUUUUUGCUCCAAGAAAUAUUAAAAGGAUUGGUUCUAUCUCAAAGUGGUUACUGGUGUAAAAUUAAACGCCAUGGGAGAAUUUGAAGGGAAGAUGCCAAGGAACUGGCGAUGUGGCUAAAUUACACAAAUACGGCAUUAUUGCUCAUUUUUAACUCAAAAAAUUGAUACCAAGACGCUUGCCUUUUGAAAAGAAGAGGUAUCCAACCUUUAUCUUAUUUAAUUACUACCAUGACAUGAUUGAUGGUGCUUAAAUCAAUUGUUUCUUUAUUAAUUUAAAGAAUUUUUCAUUAAAAAAAUUAUUUUAAUAUCAAAUACCCUUCAAUGGCAUAACUGCCGCAGGCCCAGAAACAGGAUUAAUUAAAAUUUUUUGAAUUUUUGGGCAAGGAAAGAUUUGAAAUUCUAGUUAUGCAACCCAAGAGGGAGUGAAUUAGAAUUCUAUAAAUUAUUUAAUUUAUAAAGAAAACCUUAAUGCAAAUAUAAACCAAAUUCAAAGCAAUAACAAAUAAGGUGAUCACAAUAUAAAAAGAUAAGGGAAGAGAGAUUCAAACACAUAGAUUUUUACUUGGUUCGGCCAACCUCGCCUACGUCCGCGCCUCCAAGCUUUCCGAGCUUAAAGAUUCCACUAAGCAAGCCUCCAAGGCUUCAAAUGCUUACACUUGACUUCCAAGGUGUCAAUAACCUUUACAACAAGAGAUUAUCCCAAUCUCUUUAACCCAAGUGUAUCCCAACACUUACAAUCACUCAAAACAAAAGAUUACAAAUUUGUUUUGACUCUCACAAUAUUUAAGAUUACACAAUGAUGCCCAAUAUGUCAAUAGAUGAAGCAAGAAUGUGUUCAAAGCUCUAUGAAGAUUGUAUUCUCGAGUAUAAGCUCAAUAGUCGUGUUGUGAUCAAUCUUGUUUGAAUUUGAAUGAGCUUAUUUAUAUUUGGAGCUGAAAAACUAGCCAUUACAAACUGUCGGCCCGAAAACGGUUCGCUGUUAACCAUUAACGGUUAACCGUUUAGGCUGGUCAAAAGUUACCGUUGGGCCAAAUUUCAAAUAAACGGUUUGCCGUUUAGGAUUACCCCUUCGCCGUUAAAUUCUAGAGACCUGCAAGAUGAAUAUCAGUUAUCCGUUUACAUUAAACGGUUAAAGAUUUGCAUGAAGUGACUUCUCUGGAUAUUAUCGGUUAACCGUUUGUAAUAAAUGGUUCGCCGUAUGUUUCCAGUAACCUGCAAAACAAUUUAGCCUUAUCCGAUUUUGUUAAACGGUGCCAGAAGAGUACAACCUUCAAUUCUGGAUUUUAUCGGUUAACCGUUUAAAUAAACGGUUCACCGUUAAAUUCCAGUAGCCUUCCCAGCUUUUUGUGUUUUCCAUUUUUCUUAAUCGGUUAGAGCUUAGGCAAUAUGUUGCUCUCUGGUUUUAAUCGGUUAACCGUUUGAAAGAAAACGAUUCACCGUUUAUUUCCAGAAUCACAUUUUAAACCAGAUUUUGCAGAAAGUCAUUUUCUAAUUUGAAAGUCCAUCUUUUAUGAAUAUGAUUGGAAUGAUUAUAAGGCUUUCAUUUAUUAAGGAAUAGCUCCAACAUUUUAAUCAAAAACCAUUUAAAGUUUGUUAUCAUCAAAAUCAAUAUUAUUAACAUAUUCAUGUUAACAAUAGUAGUAUUAAACAUCAGAAAGCUAAGGUUGUUCUGUUAAUGAAUUGAUAUUGACAUAAUUUUAUUUUGGUUUCCGGGGAAAAAAAAACAUUUGUUGACAAGCAAGAAAAUAUUUUUAAAUUUUACAAUUUAUUAUACAUAUUUUAUCAUAUUACAAUAAUUUUAAUAAUAAAUAGAAACAUAAUAUUACAAUAAAUAAGUUAAAGUUUAAAUUAUUUUAAAUAUUAUAAAAAAUAAUUUUAAUAUUAUUAAUAGGAAGACAUUUUGUUAAUUUUAAAACCUUUUUAACCCAAAGGUUUAUUUAAAAGCUUUAUAAUAAACAUAAAUAUAAGAUUAAAAUAAAUAUCAUAAUUUGAAAUUUUUAGUAUUAUUUUAAAUAUUAAAAAUACUUUAAUAUUAUUAGCCUACUACAUUGAUUUUAUUAUUUAUAUUAUAUUCAUAUUGAUUAAAACUUUUUAAAGUCAAUUUUUUAGUCAGUAUAUUCAAGAGGUAUCAUAGUUAAAGAAAAGAUUUUGGUGUUAUUUUUUGAAAAUUUUAAGGUUUAAAUGAUAAUUUUUUAAAAUUUUAAGGAUGUAGGUAUUAUUUUUCCGACAAUUUAUUUUAUUUUUGAGGAAUUCGAUGAGAAAUAUCAUGAGAGAAGGUUAAUUUUACAUUCUUUACCUUUAUGAAAAAAGUGGAAACCAAGAAGUAUUCAAUUUUGUAUUUUUUGUUUGUAAUUCAAAAAAUGCAUCCACCAAACAAUCUUAUCUUGAUUUUUUCACUUUAUUCAUUUUCGAUCCUUUAAUCCAUCUAGUAUCUGCAGCCCCCGCCAUUUUUACAAAUCUCCAUCCGACAUCUACCCUAUCAAACAAAGUUGAUGGAAAUUGAACAAUUGCUUUUUGAAGUGGACCCAAUAAGUGGACAUUUUAUUAAUAUUAAACAAAGUUGACGGAAAUUGAACAAUUGCUUUCUAUGAGCCACUUAUUUUUAACAUUAGCGAUCUUAUCUGGACUACUCCAAUUAUUGAUGUAACUCCAAUGGUUGCAUCAACAGUUGAAUGUAAGAUAGUGUUAGCUCUUCUUUGAGAAUAUAGAGUGAUCUUUCUUUGUUUCUCUGUUGCGACGUGCUACUAUAAAUUUCUUUACCUUGCAGUUUAUAUAGUCUUGCUGUUAAUGAAUUCGCGGAGGCAUUAUUGAUCCAAUCUCAGUGAAGUAAUUGUGGGUGGAAAAUGAAUAAAGGGUAAGAGAACGUAGCUCAAGUGCUGAAUUGGCUAUUAAAGAAGAGUGUCACUUGAUCACAAUCACAUUGAUGCACAACUCACUCGAGGCAAAUUUCAUCUAUAUAUGUACUGCAAAUUCAGCCAAACCAUACAUGCAGGAACAAAACUAAAAUGUAGUUCUAAUCAAAACUGUAAUUAAAGCUACAAAAGGCUUGCUCAAUCCAAAAACUUAAAAGGAAGAUUUUACUCAAGUUUGUCCCCAAAAGACAGCUGAAUUGAAAAAUAUUGACUAUUGAAUCAAUGCUCAAUUACAUUUGAAAUGGAAAGCUUGGCUGCAGUUACGAUGUUUUUCCCUCUGAUUUUCUUCCAAAACAAAUUCAUUUGUAAACAAUAACGGAAGUAGCAAUAAUUUAUUCAUCAAAGAAAAUAUCCAAGUUUUCAACUAACAAAUCCUUUUGUCUAAACUAAAAAAACUUAUAUUUUUAAAAUCUAUCUACAAAAUGUUGGAAAUAAAGAGUGAUCUAUCAACUCGGUAAAUAAACUCAUACAUAAUGUUUACAAUAAUGAUAAAUUACAUAAUAAUUAUUAUAAAGAAUCAUAAAUUAGAAAAAUAUUUUAAGAUCAAAUUGCCUUCAAUGCUGAAUUACAUUUGAAAUGGAAAGCAUGGCUGCAGUUACGAUGUUUCCCCCUCUGAUUUCCUCCAAAACAAAUUCAGUUGUAAACAAUAACGGAAAUAACAAUAAUUUAUUCAUUACUCAAAUUUUUUCAACUAACAAAUCCUCUUGUCUAAACUAAAAAAACUCAUAUCUCUAAAAUCUAUCUGCAAAAUGUUGGAAAUGAGGGGUGAUCUGUCAAUUCGGUAAAUAAACUCGUGCAUAAUGUUAACAAUAAUGAUAAAUUACAUAAUAAUUAUUAUAUAGAAUCAUAAAUAAGAAAUAUUAAUCAUUUCACAAUCUAUUACGUAAGUAAGAUAAAUUUCAUAAUAAGUUAAGUUAUAAUGUAAUAAAUAUUUUCAAUAUGCUAAGAUAGGAUUGGUCCUAUCUCAAAGUAGUUAGUGGUGUAAAACUGAUGGUUGUCGAAGCCAGCAAAAAUAAAUACCUACUCUAAAUAAAUUGUGUAUAGUGAUUGAGCAGGGUCGUGUCCACAGAGAUCGGUAAUUAUUUAAAUCAUUUUAAAAUGUAAAAUGCAAAAUGGGGGAAUUGUUGACAAUAAUAAAAAUCAAAUUAAAAUAACAAGAAUGUAAAUUAAAAUUGUAAUUCAAAUUGGGGAAAAAGUAGUAUUAGACUUCAGAAAGCUAAGGUUGUUAUGUUAAAGAAUUCAUAUUGACAUAAUUUUAUUUUGGCUUUCGGGGAAAAAAAUAUUUGUUGACAAGCAAGAAAAUAUUUUUGUAUUUUACAAUUUAUUAUACAUAUUUGAUCAUAUUAAAGUAAUUUUAAUAAUAAAUAGACACAUAAUAUUACAAUAAAUAAAGUAAAGUUUAAAUUAUUUUGAAUAUUAUAAAAAAUAAUUUUACAUUUGAAAUGGAAAGAGUGGUUUUAAACACCAGAAAGCAAAGAUUAUUCUGUUAGACAAUUGUUAUUGACAUAAAAAAUAAUUUGGUUUUCAAGGAAAAAAAACAUAUUUGUUGACAAGCAUGAAAUUUUUUUUUUGUAUUUUACAAUCUGUUAUUACAUAUUUUAUCAUAUUAAAGUAAUUUUAAUAAUAAAUGUAUAUGUAUCUAGAUUGUAACUAUAUUUUAAAAAAUAUAAUUUUUUUAAUUAUUGCACAGAAAAUGUAGAAAAAUGUCUAUGAAAUAAUAUUAUUAGGACUAAGAAAAAAUAUUAUUUUAGAUAAGUUAUAUAUUUAUUAUUGAAUGAAUAAUUUAUUAAUUUAUUGAUAAAUAAAUAUUUAUUAAUUUAAAGAGAGAUUUUUUUUGGUUUUAGUAAUAGUUUGUUUGUUACAUGUACACACUUAUAAAGAAACACAAAAAGUGCUUGCUCAAGUCAAUAGUAUUUGCUUUAAUCGCUACUGUUCAUAAUAAUGUAGCUAAGUUAGGAAAUUUGUAAUUAUACUAUGGUUCUGUUUUGUAACGCCCAAAUUUCUAUUAUUUUAUUUUAUUUUUAAUGGAAUUUAUAAAUGGCGUUACUGCCCUUAUAAAAAGGGUUAUUCAUGGGAUAAUUUUUAGGAAAUGGUUAUUUUUCCAAAUUCAAUAGGGUUUCUUAAGACUCCCUAUAAAUUAAUAUUUUUUUUCCCUUCGAUACUCGAAGUCCACGACGAUUCUUCUUCUUCUCUGCUGCUCAUUAUGCUCCUACCCAAACCCUAGGAUUCAAACUUUUGCUUAGGAGAGAAUCAAAGCGAUUGGUGUUGGAGGUGAUUGAGGCUCUUAGAGGCUUAGAGGUCUGUUAAUUCAAAUUCUUUUGUCGAGAUAAGUAAUUUCAUUCCUAAUAUACUGGAUAUGUAUAAGUAUUUUGAUGUUAUUAUAAGAGUUUUUAUACUUCUUAGAAGAUUAAUAGAUUUUCAUACCAAAAUCAGUUUAUGAAAAUGUUUUCAAAUCUGAAUUCUUUUGAUAAAAUAUUUUAUAAAUGCGUUUUAAUAUGUAAAUUAUUUUAUGACAUGACUGCCUUUUAUAAUUUUGUCUAUGAAAUAUUUUUGCAAGCCUAAAUUGUUGCUAUAGACUUUCAUGAAUCUAAUACGAAUGUUUUGUGCCUAUGUAUGAUUUUAAUUAUUUAUGACUGUACGGGGGCCACCUCUUGAGACUAUAUGGGGGCCACCUCUUGAGGGCCAAAGCGCCGCAAAGUGCCACAUAUAGUGCAAAGUGCCACGUAUAAGUCAUUAUGUUUUGGCUCAUUGUCCGUAGUUAUUCUGAUUCUAAUUCUGAUUGUAUUAUACGAUAUAUUUGUUCUGGACUAGUACUAGGUUUAUGUUCUAAGUGUGCACACGAUAUUCUGAUUCUGUUUCUGGUCAGGUCACCGAGACUAUAGGUGAUACUAUGUGACAUGAGCUAACUAUCUGCUUUCUGUAUACACUUUAUACGAUUUGCUUUCAUAAUUGAUUAUUCUUUUGAUACUCUGAAUUACCAUGAAUUUAUGUUAUAUAAUUGAAAUAUGUUGUUUUAUGAAGUUUAUGAGUUAUAAUAUAUGUUUUUGAAUAAAAGAAGGCUUGCAAUAUUUUUGAUAUCGAUAGGCCUAGUGUAUUAGGAAUGAUUUUACCUACCGAGUUGACAGCCCACCCCUCGUUAUUACUUUUUGCAGAUUAAGUUCCUUUUAAGAGGUAUGCGUAGCUUUGGAGUUAGAGAUUUCGUUUCCGUUUGCUAUUUGAAUAAGAAGAGGAAUAGACUCAUGUUUCUUUUUAGUUUAUUUCUGUUAUGAACUUGUAAUUUGGAGUUUGAGACUUUUGUUAUUGUUAUGUUUUGGAAGAGAUUAUUUAGUGUUAGACGUAUUAAUUUGUGGAUUUAUUUGAAUAAGAAUUUGAGGUAUUUGAGUUUGGAAUUUAUAAGUAAGGAUUACGAUUUGUAAGUAACCUCCUUCUUCAUGUGCUCCGCACGUGUUAGAUUUGGGGUGUCAUAUGUUUCGUAUAACUUUUGAAGUAGAGCUUAUUUAAAUAGAGUAUUCGUCAAUAAAGCUUCUAUAAAUAAAGAUUUUACUAAAAAAAAUUUAGUUGUUUGGUUGUCAAUGUCCAAAUUGACGAACUUUUGUUCCUUUGCUAACAUGUAUUUGUUUUAUUUAAUAAUAGAAGUUUGGUUUACAAUUACACCACCUUCAAAUCAGCUGAGCAUUUUUGCAACCGGUCACAUUAUACAUUAUACUAAUAGCAUCGGCAAGAGUUUUCGAUUGUUGCAACUUGCAAUGGACGCGAUGGGAGAAAAUGAGAAUCUUGUUUAAUUGCAAUAUUGACAAACCUAAUCCUUUCGUAGGGAGUAAUUUAAUAAUCGCUUGUUAUAAUUGAAUAUGUAUAAAGAAAGGAAAAUUCUAUUCAUAGAUUUCGACUUAUUUUUUGUUUAAAGUAAUUAAUCAUUCAACCAUCUUCAUUUGCCUCUGGCCAAUGCCCUUGUAGAUUAGUUGAACCGUUAAUUACUUAAUUCAGAUAAUUACAGUGUCCUUUUCGCUAAUUAAUUAUGAUUAUAUACGCUUUCAUAUAGCAAGUGGCUUUGUAGAUCUAAACCAAGUUGCUAUUUCAAAACGUUAAUUAAGUGAUUCUCCUCAUUGUCAUCAGCGUUAUACGCUCUAGGAAAAUAGCUCAAUUGUUUCCCUGCAUUGAUUUUCAUUGGUACGUGAUUUCUUAUGAAAUUCUUUUGAGCUUUCCUUAUUAAAAAUGCUUGAGCUUUUAUCACCCAAUACGGAUAUCAAUUAACUUGUGAACGAUUUUGUAAUGAAACUAGGAGUUAAAUAAGAUUUUUACAUGAUGAAUUUUUAUUUUUUUAAUUUUUUGAUGUAGUCAAUUUGCUAAUUUUAUGUAUUUCAUAUUCAACGGAAUUUGGGCACGGAAAGUUUGGAUUCUAAUAUUUAUAUGUUUAGCUUUAAUCAGUUUGACUUUCGUAAUCUUUUUCCCCUCAUCAUUAAGGGAUUCAGAAUUAGAGAAACGUUAGGAAGAGGAAGAAAAUAAUUUCGGAAAUAAGUAAGAGGGAAAAAAUUAUCAAAUUAGGAAUGAUUUUUUGUAGAGUAUGUUGCGUUUACUAAAAUGAAAUCGAAAUGAGCUGGAAUCAGAAUGGAUAAAAAUGCGAAUGUGCUGGAAUAAGAAUAAGUAAUGAGAAUCAGAAUAAGUUGUUUACUUGAACUGUAAGAAUCGAAAUCGAAAUGAGCUGGAUUGCAAUUACUUUGUCCUACAAUUAGAAUCAAAAUGAGUUAGAUUGUAACAAAUUACUAAAAGGUACUUAAUGAAUUAUUGUCAUAAUUAUUAUUUUAUAUUUUAAUUAUAGUGAUUAUUUAUUCUAAAUUAUUAUUAUUAAUUAUUUUCAAUAAUAUAUUAAUAUGUUAAUUAAUUUUAAAAAUUAUUAAUUAAUUUAUUAUAAUAAUAUACUAAUUAAUUAUAAUAAUUAUAUUAAUAAUUAUUAUAAAAAUAUAUUAAUUAUUAAUAAUGAAAUUACUUAUUUAAUUAUAAUAAUAUAUUAAUUAUUGUGAUUAUUUAUUCAAAAAUUAUAAUUAUUAAUAAUUAUUGUUAAUAAUGUAUCAAUAUAUUUUAUAUUAUGAAAUUGUGAUGUAUUGUAGACAAAUAAGGGAAUUUGGUACAAUAAAUUCUUAAUAUCUUAGUACAAAGUAUGGUACAAUGAUAUUUUAACUUAUUGUAGACAGAUUAAAUUUCGACACACUUAAUCCAUAAUAAAAUUAGUGGAAAAUAAUGAUAAUUUAUACAAUUAAUCUUUUGAGCAAUAAAAAAAUAAAAGAAAAAGAAGUUACUAAAUUAUGUUUACUGUUAAGAGUGAAUCCACAAUCCUAAAUAAUUUAUUUCCAUCGUUUCACUUAAAUUAAAUAGUGUGAAUUUAAAUUCUAAUUUUUUGAUAAAUUAAAAAGAAAUAAAAAAUUAAAAUUUUUCUCUAUGGAUCGACCUCGGAUUGAUCAAUUUAUUUCAUAACAACACACUUUUAUACUUGAGAGUUAUAAAUAACUUUGAAGUUGUGUUAAGUUUUUGACGCUCUUACGGGGGAAAAAUAUUUAUUUUAUUUUAUGUAUGGGUCAAACUUGAAAGUAUAUUUUAAGAUAGCUGCUAAUAUGCUCUAUUAGACAAUGAUAACGUAGUUGUUUGUGGUGUUCAUAAUGAGUUUAAUUAUGAUUCAACAAUUUAAAAUAUGAAAACAUAUGGAAGAUGGCCGUAAUUAAAUUGAUUGCAUGAAAAUAUUUCAAUGAAAUUUUAAAAAUUUGGUACUUAUUAUCUUAUCAAAAGUUUUUUAAAUUAUAUUACUACUUCAACUUAACUCCUCCUGGAUUGAUUGUAUUGAAUUUCCAGCACCGCCAUUGCUUCUACUUGAAAGCCAUUUAAGUUUGUGUAAGCUACCUAUAGUUUGAAUAACAAUUUACUCAUGAAUUGCUGUUCAUGAUAACAAUUUGAUUGAAAGUGCGGCUGCACUAAUUGUUCUCGUACGACCCCAGAAUGCUGUUAAAUCAGUUGUAUUGGAAAUUAAUCAACUGGUUACAACUCUACACCCCAUCAAUAUUUAAGCAGUCCACAGAACAUUAAUUGUGUUUUGAAAUUUUAAUGAGUCUCACGUGUUUUUCACGUGAUAUGCAGUAAAAACAAAAUUAAAAAAAUGAAAACAUUCAGCCCCAAAGCCAAAAUCCCCAACUCCUUCCAAAUUGGUUCCGCAGCCCCCAAAUCCCUUAAACCCAAAGCACUCUAAAACGACUCUCCUCAGCCAAAAAGAAAAAGGUCACCUCACCUCUCCUCUUCUUCUUCCAUGGCGAUCAACGGCGGCACAAGCACGGGCUGAUCUCCUUCGUCAGUAACGAUCAACGGCGGUACAAGCAUGGACAGAUCUUUUUUUUGGCAAUGAUGAACAGCGGCACAAGCAGAGUCGUCCUCAGGUACGGAUUUGAUGUUGGUUGUGUUGUCAAGUAGCGAUUCAUGUUUGGAAGAGAAUCCGCUCACAAGGACCUGGAGCACUUAAUCGAAGAUCUUAAGCGAGGAAUUCGCUUCCUCCUCAUUCCUAAUCGGUGCCUGAUUCAUCAGUAUGAUUAAGGAUGAAAAUUGAGAAAGAAGGACGCAUUAGGUUUGAGACAUUGGUUGAAAAACGCUACCCCGGUGGCCACGCUGGAAACAUAUGUUCCGUGGCUUCUUGCGUUGUCUGUGAGGAAUAUGUACUGCUGUAGAAGAUAAUUAUGAAUCAAUGGUAAUUGGCGUGUUGGUUUUGGUGCCGAUUUCCUCUUAUUUUCCAGAAAAGGCUUGUAAUUUGUUCACCUCAAGAUUCAAUUUUGUUAUUGAAAAUGGAUGGCUGUAAAGACCUAUUGGCCUUUCAUUAUAUUAAUGUUUUUGACAGUAAGUUUGUAAUAGUUAGUGCAGGGAACUUAUUGAUUCUUGAUUAUAUAUAACGGUGGCCCUUAUUACUUUAAAAAAAAAAAAAAAAUUGAUGAUGGGUUUCGUUUUGUAUAAGUGUUUGGAGUGUUGGAAAAUUAACAUUGUAUAUUUUAGAUAGUUGAGUUCCAUAGUAAUAAAAAGCUACGGAUUUGUUUUCUUUUUAUUGAAAUGAAAACAUUUUUCACUUGUAUAAUAGAAAAUAUACUAUAUCUUUAAUACUUUUGUCAAAUUUAUUAUUUAAAAUUUAUAUUUACUACAUAUUAUUAAUUUUUGUUUCAUAGUCAUAGCUUUUUUUCCACAGUAGCUGUAGCUUAAAAGAUACAGCACCUCAAUUCCAAACGCACUCUAAUUAAAAAUUUUAGAAUUUUUGGGCAUGGAAUUGAAAAGAGUAGUAUUAAACAUCAGAAAGCUAAGGUUGUUCUGUUAAAGAAUUGAUAUUCACAUGAUUUUAUUUUGGUUUUUGGGGAAAAAAAAAAUUGUUGACAAGCAAGAAAUUAUUUUUAUAUUUUACAAUUUAUUAUACAUAUUUUAUCGUAUUAAAGUAAUUUUAAUAAUAAAUAGAAGCAUAAUAUUAAAUAAAGUUUAAAUUAUUUUGAAUAUUAUAAAAAAUAAUUUUAAUAUUAUUAAUAGGAAGACAUUUUGUUAAUUUUAAAAUCUUUUUAACCCAAAGGUUUAUUUAAAAUGUUUAUUAUAAAUAAAGAUAUAAAAUUAAAUAUCAUAGUGUAAAAUUUUUAAUAUUAUUUUAAGUAUUAAAAAUAUUUUAAUGUUAUUAGUCUACUACAUAGAUCAUAUUACUUAUAUUAUAUUUGCAAUGAUUAAAAAAUUUUAAAAUCAAUUUUCUAGUUACUAUAUUCGCGAAAUAUUAUGGUUAAAGAAAAGACCUUGGUGUUACUUUUUACAAAUUUGAGUGCCUGCAUGAUAAUUUUUUCAAAAUUUAAGAAUGUAUGUGUCCUUUUCUCCAAUAAUUUAUUUCACUUUUGAGGGGAAUCCAAUGAGAAAUAUGAUAAGAGAAUGUCAAUUACUUGUCAUUUUCUAUUUUUUCUGUAAGCUAUUUAUUUUGAGCACUGGUGAUCUUGUCUUGACUACUCCAAUUAUUGAUGGAACUCCAAUGGCUGCAUCCACAGUUGAAUAUAUGAUAGUGUUAGCUCUUAUUUGAGAAUUCAGAGGGAUCUUUCUAUGUUUAUCAAUUGCAAUGUGCUAGUAUAAAUUUCUUUACCUUACAGUUUAUAUAGUCUUGCUGUUAAAGAACUCACUGAGGCAUUAUUGAUUCAAUUUCAGUGGAGCAAUCGCGCGUAGAGGAUAAAUAAAGGAUAACAGAACAGAGCUGAAGUGCUAAAUUGGCUAUUAAAGAAGGGUGUCACAUGAUCACAAUCACAUUGAUGCACAACUCUCUGGAGGCAAAUUUUGUCUGUAUGUUCUCUAAAUUCAGCCAAACCAUACAUGCAUGAACAAAAAUUAAACCGUAGUUCUCACCACAACAGUAAUUGAAGCUACAAAAGCCAGCAAAUCUGAACAAAAACUUAAAAGAAAGAUCUUAUUCAAAUUUGUCCCCAAAAGAGUGCUGAGAUGGAAAAUAUUGACUAAUGAAUGGGUCAAUGCUGGAUUACAUUUCAAAUGGAAAGCUUGGCAGCAGUUACAAUGUUUCUCCCUCAGCUUUUCCUCCAAAACAAAUUCAGUUGUAAACAAUAACCGAAGUAGAGAUAAUUCAUUCAUCAAAGAAAAUACCCAAGUUUUCAACUAACAAAUCCUUUUGUCUAAACUAAAAAACUCAUAUCUCUAAAAUUUAUUUGCAAAAUGUUGGAAAUGAGGAGUGAUCCGUUAUCUCCGUAAAUAAACUCAUGCAUAAUGUUAACAAUAAUGAUACAUUACAUAAUAAUUAUUAUAAAGAAAUAUAAAUUGGAAACGCUAAUCAUUCUACAAUCUAAUAAAUAAGUAAGAUAAAUCUCGUAAUAAGUUAAGUUAUAAUGUAUAAAUGUUUUUAAUAUAUAAUUAUUUAAGAAGUCAUUUAAUAAUAAAAUAUUUAUUCUAUUCAGUUGAUCAUAUAGCGUUAUCGAAACUCUUGACGAUAUUAUUAUUACACUUUUCUCAAAAAAACAUGAUUAACAUUUAGAGAAAAGUCAUGCCUUUUAGAUAGAAUAUGUACAUAAGCUAUCCAUAUUUUAUCUUACCAUGAAAAAAUUGAUGGUGAUUAAAUCUACUUUUAAAAUAGAUUUAAUGCACAAAUAUGAUGAUUUUUGGCAAAAAUUAGUUUCGGAAGAUACAAUGGUAGAAAAUAGUGAUGAUUAUUGUUUAAAUGUGUAAAUAGCCUAGGCAUAGCCCGUAAUACCAAUAUCCAUUUACCUUCAUUUAGAUUAUCACAUCUCAUGAUAUUUUUUCAUUCACGACCAUUGUUCGAGAUUUGAACUUGAUCAUAAAUUAAGCUGCAACGGAGUUACUUAUGUUUCUAAGCUUUUCAAUCGCGAUUCCUCCAUGCCUUUCUUGGAUACCAUUUUACUGACCUUGUAAUUGGUGUGUAUAAGGAGUCAUGCCCUUUCAGGAUCGUUUUCUUUUUUUUUUUUCCUGAUUGUAGUGUCAAAUAAAUAAAGAACGAACAAUUGAACUUAGUCUAUUUCGAGGAAAACCAAGGCCUGCAAUAUUAGAUGAACUUUGAACAAAAUUAAUCUACUAUUCUACAUCCCCACCAAAAUUUAAACAGUCGACAUUGUGGAAAGAAACACAUUUCGCCACUAGGCUUUUAGUGAGGCUAAUUUCUCUGAAUUUGGACAGAGUAGGUCCUCCAACGAGAACUGAAUCAGGACGAAUCGGCUCUCCAUUUUCUAAUUCGAACGAGCAAAGGAAGCCUGAAUCUGUGACCGUUAUCAAUACUCUGCUUCUAUUCUGAUUCUCAGGAAGUACUUCUUCAAGAUCAUCCAAUACAUCGUCACCCUCUUUGUACUAAUCAUCAAGCACAAUAAAGUACUUCUUGUUUGUUAGGUAAUCUCGAAGAAUAGAUUUCUUCAAUUGAUAAUCUUCACCGAUAAUUACACUAACCCGAGAUGGAGGCAUCACAGACUUGAUUAUGUCAUCCAAUACCAUGCGAAAAUCGUAGGAUAUAGAAACCCUGACCCAAGCAUGACAGUCAAAAUAGAACUUGACGUGAUUAUUGUUGUAAGUAUCAGCAGUAAAAGCAGUCUUAUCGAAGCUAUUGAUGUCUUUCAGAAGCUCCCAAAUGUCUGUUCUUUUAACAUUUUCUAAGUGCAAGAGCUGCCGAUAACGCGAAGGUAUUUCAUCUUCAUCGAAUUGUUCUCUAAUGAGUUGAAUUAAAACUCGAGCCAUGUCAGCUUCAUAGUUUCCCAGCAGAGUAGUGGCUAUAAUUUCGGACUCCGUAAGAAGGUUUUGAAAAAGUGGAGUUAAAUUUGUUGAAUCAGGCAAAGUUAACGUGCCUUCUUCACCUGCUAACACCAGUUUCAACCUCUCACAAAAUAGUGUGAGGUUAAUUUCCAUAUCUUUCCCUCUCUCAGUAGUACUCAGAGGUACGUAUUGUUAUUUGUUAGUGUUGAUGACGAAAGCUGAAUAAUCAAAACAACAGUGUACACAAUCAACAGAAGGCGAAGUAUGUUAAGUUGAGAUCAAAGGAUAUAAAUGAAGGAAAAGUUUAAGUACUCCGUUGAAAGCCAAAGUUGCUUUGGCCAAUUAAUUUAUAAGUGAAGGAAAGAAUAAAGUUAGUCCUCGAUGUCUUUUGAAAUUAGAAAUACAUUUUGAAUGCUUUAAUAGAUGCAGAGCAAGCUGGCUCGAUGUCUAACUAUUUUAAGAGCUAAAAUCAUUUAUUAGAAGUUGUGGCAUUGAAAAAAACUGGCUUGAUAUCCAAUUUUGUUAUUUAAUGUCUCACGUGAGAGUAAAUAACUGUUGUGUUACUGGCAGAUGAUUGAGACGGACAAGUUUGGAACAUUGUUCGAGACUGAAACUACACAUCAGUCUUAGAAAAUUGUAAUUUUGUUGAAAAAUUAUAGAUUGAAAAAUUAUUGAGACGGACAAGUUUGGACCAUUGUUCGAGACUGAAACUACACAUCAGUCUUAUAAAAUUGUAAUUUUGUUGACUUAUCAUGAUUUUGAUUGCCUCCCAUUGAUUUUCCUAUGAUGUCUCUGUAGAGUGGCUAUGCUUACAUUUUUAGGUAUUUAAUUCUAAAAAUUAACUUAUUAGAUGGAAGGAUCAAUUCUACCUGUAAAUCUAAGUGGCUUCCCUUUACUAACUCAUAUAAGACACAACAAUAAUUUUCUUCGAAAAAAACCACCAUCGGAGGGCUAUUUUCGUUCAACAUACAUGAGUUGUUCCGCCACCAUAUUUUGAGGGUUUGCUUCUAAUACAACUUGGGGAAGCUAGGGGUAAGAUUUCCAAGUAUCAACAUAAAAACCUUGCCGAUUGGAUAGAAGGACCAAUCUUACUUAUAAGUCUAAAUGACUAAUUUUUGAGGACACAACUCAACAGACCAAUAUAAACUUUUGGCGUCCCAUUUUAUUACUUUUCAGUGCUUUACUUUUGCUGUCUAUAGCCCUACUAUUCUAUUAAGCAGAAAAUAUUAUCUAUUUUCUUUCCAUUUUAUGUAUACCCCGAUCUUUACCUCUGAUUGGUUGUAGAUUCUUCUGUCGCUUUGGGGUUAGGGGAUGGUUUUCAUCAAGAAAUGAUAAAGGAUUGUUAGUUGUGUGACAAACAGCAUUAAUAUGAAGGAUGAUGAUUGUUCUUUUCAAGAGUUUAUAAUGACAUAAUUCUGCUUUGGUCUUUUAAAAAAAAGUAAUUUAGAAAUGAGGAGUAUGUGAGUGAUGAUUUUUACAAAUAAAUUGCAUGCGUAGUGAUGAUUUUGACACAUGAAAAUGUAAAAAGAAAUAUAACUUGUGAAUAAUAAUCGAAGUACCCUGCUAUUGUUAUAUUGAGUAAUCAAGGACUUCGAUAUUCGGACGAUACAAGCAACACAAUCAAAUAUUAGUUGGAAGGCAUAGCAAAAUUAGAAUGUAGAACAAACUGGGUAUUGAUAAAUGGAUGGUUUUGGAAGAAUUGAAAAUGAUGGCAAAAAAAAAACAAAGUUAAGAGAAAAGAGAAAGAGCAUUUGAACUUUACUUGUAAGUAAAGGCAAAUAUCUUGGUUCAAGAAAAGAUAAGAGAUAUCAAACUAGCAAUAGGAAAAAGGAGGAAGGUUAAGACAGCAUCUUAACAAAAGCUAAAGAAAAGAAAAACUUAGUUCAAGCAAAGAACAAUGUGCUAAUGUAGUGUAAUCUUGUUUAAUUUCUUUUUCUUCUCACAUUUUCCAGGGCUUAAAUAAUACAAUGUACAUUUUCAAGCAAAGAACAACAAAUAAAUAAUACAAUAUACAUACCCAGUAAAUUAAAAAAAAUAUAUUAUUCAAGUUUGUGGACAAUACUGUAGCCAUUGCGUCGUCGAAAUCUACUGACAGCUGAAACAAAGAAAGAAUGGAUGAACGCUGGAUCACAGUUGAAAUUGAAGGUCUGGUAGGUGAUGUUUCCCUCUCUGAUUUUACCUAAACAAAUACAAGAAAAUAAGAAUCACGAAUGAAAAUCUGUUAUUACACUGUUCUUACUUAUUAAAAUACAGAGGUUUCUUUGUUUCUCUGCAGCAAUGUCCAUGGCUAUUAGAAACAAGAACAAUUAGACCAGCAUUUGCAAGAAUCUUUUAAGGUAUUACUGCAGAUAUAAAUCGACUGAGGAAAUGGAAAAAUUGAAUACCAAAUUAGGCAAGUUAACUGAAGAUUCAGUUAUCAUAGAAGAAUAAAACUCAUCCAAUUCAAUCCAUCAAAUUUCAUUAAGCAUUUCCAGAACUCUUGAUUUUCUUUCUCAGUAGCCAAACAACUUCAAUCUCAUUUUUUUUUUUCAACAAUGAGUUCUCAAACCACUCUGGUAUCAUUUUAAGACAUUCUCGGCCUUGUACUCACCAUCAAAAUGGAUUGGUUGAGAGAAAACAUAGGCAUAUUGUUGAAUUAGGUUUGACUCUGUUGGCUCAAGCUCAACUUCCUUUUAAAUUCUGGUGGGAUGCAUUCCAUACUGCCCUAUAUCACAUCAAUAGAUUACCAUCUUCUGCUUUCAAACUUUCGACCCCAUGUGAGAAGAUAUCCAAGCACAAACCUGAUUAUGAUUUUCUCAAAUGUUUUGGUUGUAUUUGUUAUCCUUACUUGAGAGACUAUAACAAACAUAAGUUUGCCUAUCAUUCCAGUAAGUGUAUAUUCAUUGGUUAUAGUCCUUCACAAAAGGAUUAUAAAUGCUUACAUUCUUCAGGUCAAGUCUAUGUGGCAUGACAUGGUAUCUUUGAUGAGUCAACCUUUCCUUAUGCUACUGAAUCUGUUUUUCAUAGUCACACAAAUUCUGAUUCUCAUUCUUCAAAUUUAUUUACUCCACAGCAUGUCUAUUAUCUUUCUACUUUACCUGUCAUACCAGUAUUUCUAAAUAACAACACUGAUAAUCUAAACUCUACAAAACUAAAAUGCCAGCUGUUUGGUGUUAGCGAUAAGAAACAACUUACCACAACCAUUAAUUAUCCAUAAUUUCAUUGUUUAUCCUCAGUUUUCUUCAUAAAUGUUACAGCGUUCUUCACAACAAAGUGCAAGGGCAUCUCAAAAGUUCUGAAAUAAUACCUCAAUUCUAUUGCAAAAAUAAAUAAUCUCAAACAAGAACCAAUAAUCAUAUUUCGUUACUGUCAAACACAAUGCAUCUGAGCAAAACAUUGGAAGCCAACACCAGAAUACAUAUGAAUAAACAAUUAAAGAUAGAGAAAAAAGGCUUAAACCUUGGGGGAAAAAAGUGAAAAAACAUGAAAGACAAAUUACACAUGUGCAGUAACCAUCGAACUUAUCAGUGACAGCUGCAUCCAUUACAUUGCUCCAACAACACAAUGGCAAACCACCAGUUUCAAAUUGAGGAUAGCUAUUGAGAAUGAGAAAGUGUCCAAAACGCCAUAAAUAGACAUGUUCCUAUUAUGCAUAAUUUACAUUAUAGGCAAAUAUUCUUAUACCAUCAAAAGCAAAACAUGACACUAUAACAAUUGACUCCCCCCCCCCCCCCCCCCCCCCCGCACACAAAAAAAAAGGAAGAAACAAUACCGAAAAGAUUGAAACAGGUAAGGCUACACUGAGCACAGGAUGCCAUGAAACAUAAUCCAGGAACCAAAUUAAUAAAGAAGGAAGGCAAACCAUUAUUUAACAAUCUGUUUUGUAUUAGGGAAAGUCCGAUAAAAUCUACUUAGGGAUAAUUAGAGAACCUCAACUAUUAAUCACACCUCAUAAAUGAACUAACAUUAACCAUGUACCAUCCCCACAUCAGACAAACAUUCUCUAUACUUCUGAACCUAAUACUUCCAUCUUCAAUUGGGGUUUUUUUCUUUUGUGGGGGGGGGGAUAAGCUAUCGUUUUUCUAAGCUUGCUUACCUUCUGUGUGGGACUGAAAUACUGAUUUCGAAUCAUUAACAGUAAAAUUGGAAGCUCAUGAAAAAACAAUUUUAUCUUUUAACAAAAGUUAAAAUUACAUCUCCAUAUAAAUUCUCUUUUCAUUUCCUUCAAUUUUCUAAUUAAGCUUAAAAAAAUGUACCUUCAACCACAAAGGGGUUUAAAAUUUAAAAUAUAUAAAAAAAUAAAUUCAGAUAACAAUAAUUAAUUUAAUUAAAAAUAUAAAUAGAGAUUACAGAGAAAGAAAAAAUAGAGAAAGACCUGAUGUUGAGAGCAUCGACGGCCGGCAGUGACCGGCGGAAGAUGGCGAGAGAUGGCGGCGUGGGCCAUUGCUUGCGCAUCAGUGAGUGUCUCGAGUGAGAGAGUGAAGGUAGGGAUGGCAAUGGGGAGGGAGGGAGGGUCCAAUCUCUCUGUACCCAUCUCCCAAUUUGUCCCCGUCCCUCCCCGUCCCCAUUUGCUUAGAAUCUGUCCCCUACUCGAAUAAUAAUUCUCGAAUAAUAACAUAAAAUGCUCGAGGUUCUCGAUUUAUGAAUAAUUAAUAUAUUUUUUAUUUUAAAUUUUAAAUUAACUAUAUUAAAAUAAAAAAUUUAAAUAAAAAUAAAAUUUGAAAUAUAUUUUAUAUUAAUAUUGAUCCAUUAUAAAAAUUACAUACAAAAUAUAAAUUAUCAAAAUAAUUAUCUUUAUCAAUCUUCAUAAUCCUACAAUAAAAAGAAAAAAAAUUUACUUUUAUAUUGAUAAUAAAAUAAAUGUAGAUAAUUAAUUAAUAUUUUUAAUAAAAUAAAAUUAAAAUAAAAUAAAAUUUUUAGGCUAAUAUAAUCUACCCGACUUUUUUAAUGUGUUAAAUAAAAAUUUAAGACUUUAAUUAGUUAAUUAGGCCUAAAAGCUUAAUAAUAUAAAUAUUUUGAUAUUUAUUAUUUUUACUAAUAUUUAUAAUUUUAUAAUAUAUUCAAUUUUUAUUAUUUAUUUACUAGUAAUUUUAAAAAAUAAAAAUAAAAUUAAAAAAUAAAAUGGGGGAAAUGGGGAGGGGAUGGGGAUUCCACCUCAUCCCCGUCCCUUCCUUGUAGGGAUGGCAAAAGUUCGGGUCGGGUCGGGUCUGGGGCUGCCUGGAACUGACCCGGAUUUCACACAUAGCUGCCCGGACCCGGACCGUGCCCGGAUUUUUUCUAUGCGGGCCGGGUAUAUGGCUGGCACUAUCCGGGCACAGGUUUUUUUUGGGUUUUCUCUACCCACAUUUUCAAAACUGGCUAAAAAAAAAUUGAUAGAAAAGGCUAAAUAAGUAAACAAAAUUGCAAUUGGGCCUGGAAAUUCAUAACUUAUCCCUGAAUUAUAUAUAUAUAUAUAUAACUUCUAAUUCUUUGUUGAUACAAGUUUUUUCUAAUUCAUUAUAAAAUCACAUUAUAUAUAUUAUUUCCUCAUCAGAUAAUAAGUGACAAUUGCUCACCAGUUUAUUAACAUCUCUACGAAACCGUCUUUUAUGGCAUUAUUAUUAUUAUUGUUGUGGCUGAAACCAUGUAGUAUGUGAUUGAAGAAAUUGCAUUAAAUGUUGGAGUGGAGGUGAUGUAGGUGAGAAAGGAUUCCCUGGAGACUGUUAAACAAGACACAAGGCAUUUCCGGAAGAAAACAGAAGACAACUGGAUAAGACAAAACGGACAAAAGGGUAAGAGAGGUGGGUGGGAAAUUAAGAUAGGCAAUUUGUCCAGCAGAAACAUAAUAAUACCUCGUGGUCGUGGGUCGUGGCUGUGUUGGUGAAGUUGCAGCUGAACAAGAACAGUUGAUGCUGUCGCGUGGUGGCUGCCGUUGAGAAGAUGACCAAACGAUGAAGAGCUCUGUGACGGGAUGGUUGUGCUUUGCGAGGAGAAAUAGAGUUGACUGAGGAAGGUAAGAGGUUCGUGGAGGGAAAGGUGCGGACAACACUGCAUCAGUGCCGGUGGGUGGUGGAGAGACGGAGAGAGGUGCCGCCGAUUUGGAGAUUUCAGGGUGGGUGCUGACUGCUGCAGUGCUGCGUUGUUCUGCAAGUUGCAAUCGCGAUUUAGGGUUCAGUACCAGUUUUGGGGGCAAUUGGGCAAAGUAAAUUUUAUUUUCGCUUUUAUAUUUUCUUUUUUUUUACUUAAUAAAAAACCGGGCAUUGAAAAUCAAUGUCCGGAUCCGCUUUUUCCAUUCAUGUGGUCCGGGUAAAACCCGAACCGCACACGCCGGGUCUGGGCCGGAUCCGGUCCGGGUGGGUUUUUCUGCCACCUCUACUUCCUCGAAUAAGAAAUUUGGUAAAAAAAAUUUCCCGUCCCUUCCUCGAAUAAAAAAUCGGGUAUAAAAUUAUCUCUGUAUCCUCCCCGAAUGAGAAAAAUCCCCGAAGAUACCCAUACCUGUGGGGAUUUUUACCAUCCUUGAGUGAAGGGUUUUGUUUAGGGUUUUGGGAAAUGAAAAAUGUAAAUGUUUGAUUUUGUUGCUAGAAACUUCUUCUGCCGCUGCUUUUUAUUUUCGCUAUAAAAAUAAUAAUUUGUUAAUCAAAUAUUUUCUUAAAAAAGAUAAAUUUCUAGAACAAAAUUUAUAUUAAAUCAAAUUGUAAAAAUGUGGAAUAGGGCUAAUUUCUCCUUAAUAUUAUUAUUAGUAGAAGUAGAUUGUCGAACUAGUCUUGAUAUAUUUUAGAGUUGUAUUAUAGAUGUAUACGUAUCUAGAUUGUAAUUAUAUUUUAAAAAAUAUAAUUUUUUUUAAUUAUUGCACAAUAAAUGUAGAAAAUAUCUAUAAAAUAAUAUUAUUAGAACUAUGAUACAGCACCUCAAUUCCACAGUAGCUUAAUAUUAUUAGAACUAUGAUACAGCACCUCAAUUCCAAACGCACUCUAAUUAAAAAAUUUAGAAUUCUUGGGCAUGGAAAGAGUAGUAUUAAACAUCAGAAAGCUAAGGUUGUUCUGUAAAAGAACUGAUAUUGACAUUAUUUUAUUUUGGUUUUCGGGGAAAAAAAUAUUUGUUGACAAGCAAGAAAAUAUUUUUAUAUUUUACAAUUUAUUAUACAUAUUUUAUCAUAUUAAAGUAAUUUUAAUAAUAAAUAGAAACAUAAUAUUACAAUAAAUAAAUUAAAGUUUAAAUUAUUUUGAAUAUUAUAAAAAAUAAUUUUAAUAUUAUUAAUAGGAAGACUUUUGUUAAUUGUAAAAUCUUUUUAAUCCAAAGAUUUGUUUAAAAUUCUUAUAAUAAAUACAAAUAUAAAAUUAAAUAUCAAAAUUUAAAUUUUUUAAUAUUAUUUAAAUUUUAAAAAUACUUUAAUGUUAUUAGUCUUCUACAUAAAUUAUAUUAUUUAUAUUAUAUUUGUAUUGAUUAAAAUCUUUUAAAGUCGAUCUUCUAGUUAUUAUAUGCAAAAGGUAUUAUCAUGUUACAAUUUUUUGAAAUUUUAGGGAUGUAGGUUACGAUGAUUUAUUUCACUUUUGACAAAAUCCAAUGAGAAAUAUGAUAAGAGAAAGUCAAUUUAAUGUUCUCGACCUUUAUGAAAAAAAGUAAAAACUAAGAAUUAUUCAAUUUUAUAUUUUUUGCAUCCACCAAAUAAGUUUUGCACAUUUAUGUUAUCAUAAAACGAAAAAAAGGGUUUACCAAAAAAUGGUACCAAGCAUACCUUUAAUGUCCCACGUGAUUUCUUAUUAAGCCCAAUAUUAGAUAUAUUUAUACAUUUUACUGCAUUAAGUAUUUUAAUUAUAAAAGAAGUUGGUCCUUCCUCUAGUUACAAAAGAUAACUUUAUUUCAAGACUACCACUAAAUUCUUACGUAGAAUUAGUGCAAGGCCAAGAGAGAGUAACACAAUUUUACUUUUCCAUUACCAUUUUGAAAAUAGAAAGAUAUGGAUCCGUGUAUUUAAGAGUUAUUGUAAAAAUCAUACAAUUCAAUUUCCUGACGUGUAUUAUGUAUAUUUAGGCACAUUUGCCAAAAGCAUAAAUAGAUAGAAAGUAAAUUUACAAUCCACCCUUACUCACAAUUAUUGAAGUGAAGAUGCAUUACAACUGUCACUACUUUAACUUUAUUUAUUUAUUUGUUUUAAAUAAAAGUGUGAGAGAGACGGUGAACAUCAUGGACGAUAACAAAGGUUAAAGCCUAAAGGUGACCCAUUUUCUUUUUAAAGUGCUCUGCUGAAAGCCUAACUUCCUUUGGAUCCGCCGAAGUGGCCGAAGUGGUGGGCUGCUGCCCUCACAAGCAUUGUGAGGGCAGCGGUUCUAGCCCCCACAAAAGCAUUGUGGGGGUUAAAUGUUCUUUAUAUUUAAAAAUUUUUCUCCCUUGCGAAAUACAAGUGGAGUAUGGACAUCCCUCUCCUGUGAGGGGUUAUUUGUUUGGGCAUGUACUUCAUAGAAUUUAAUGUAAUAAUGUAAGUCCCAAUAAUGUAUAUCUGAUUGUAAAUAUCAGUAUAAUAUCUCUGCUACAAUAGCAAUUAUUGUAAAUAUUUGUGUAAUACAGUAAUCUGAUGAUUAAUCAGUAUUCAAAAAAAAAAAAACUUCAUUUGGAUCCGCCUAAGUUACUGCUUUGUAAAAUUUUAUAAAGCCCCUUAUACUCUAUAUUAUUUAUAAUUUGUUCAUAAAUAUUAUAAAACUUUCUGCAUUAUAUAAUUUUAUUGAGCCCCUUGUACUAUAUUUUAUUUCAUUGAAACCCUUAAAGUACCAAUUCGCCCUCUAUAAUUUUAAAUUACUAAAAUACCCUCCAUUUAAUUAAAAAUAUAAUGAUUAUUAAAUGAUUAUAAUUAUCUGGAGUACAAAUUCAGUAAUAAACAAUAACUAAAGUAUUAACAAUUUAUUCAUCAAAUAAAAUACUCGAGAUUUCAGCCGACAAAUCCUCUUGUCUAAACUAAAAAACUCAUAUCCCUAAAAUCUAUUUGUGAAAUGUUAGAGAUGAGUGGUGAUUUGUCAACUGGGUAAAUAAAUUUAUGCAUAAUGUUUCCGGUAUUGAUAAAUUACAUAAUAAUUAUUACAAAGAAAUCAUAAAUUGGAAACAUUAAUCAUUUUACAAUAUGUUACAUAAGUAAGAUAAAUCUCAUAGUAAGUUAAGUUAUAACGUAAUAAAUAUUUUCAACAUAUACUUAUUUAAGAAGUCAUUUAACAAUAAUAUUUUUUAUAUUUCAGUUGAUCAUGUCAUAUAGCGUUAUCUAAACUCUUGGCCAUAUUAUUAUUACUCAAUUUUCUCCCAAAAAAAAAAAAAAAAAAACAAAAACAAACAUGAUUAAUGAUUAGAGAAAAGUCAUGCCUUUUAGAAAGAAUACGUAUACAAGCUAUCCAUACUUUAUCUUACCAUGAUGGUGAUUAAAUAUAUUUUUAAAAUAGAUUUAAUGCACAAAUAUGAUGACUUUUGGCAAAAAUUAGUUUCGGAAGAUAUAGUGGUAGAAAAUAGUGAUGAUUAUUGUUUAAAUGUGUAAAUAGUCUAAGCAUAGCCCGUAAUACCAAUAUUCAUUUGCACCUUCAUUUGGAUUAUCAUAUUUUAUGAUGUUCUUUCAUUCAUAACCAUUGUUCAAAAUUUGGAUUUGAUCAUAAAACAAAACUAAAAAAUAUUAGAGAUACUAACAAUUGAGUCCCAUUUUAAGUCCCAAUACAAUGUGUUAUUUCUCAAUGUUGUGUCAUUCAUUAAUUAAGUGAUGAAUUUCAGAAUUAAUAAUUAGUUCAGACUUUAAUUAAGAUUUAAAUGUUAGAAUAUCUAGCAUCAUUCAAUCACAAUAAACAAAAUUCAAAUUGAAACGGCAAUAUUGUAUUUUCUUUAAUUAAUUUUGAUGCUGAAGCAAAUAUUUUGCUUGGGUUUUUCACUUCUUGAUUUUGAUUGGAAAAGUUUCUGAGACGAAGUAUUUUGGAUAAUUUUUUCGGGAUUGAAACCACAACUUGGUAGAGGAAAUUAGUUGGAGUAGUGAUGGCUUUGUCUUCAUUUUUGGUUCCUUUUGUGUCGGCAGCCCCUUACUAUUCUCUUGACCCUGAGUUUGAGAUAGAAAUUUAUCAACCUCCAACCCCACAUCCACAAACAAGUUGAUUGAAACAAUUGCUCUUUUAAUUAAGAGGACCCAAAUGAUUUAGGUUUCAGUUCUUAUCAUUUGUCUAUUAUUUAUUUGAAACAUUUAUUUUGAGCGUUACUGAUCUUAAUUAUCUGUAUUUCUCCAAUUAUUGAAGCAUUUCAAGUGGCCACUUUUUCUCCUUUUUAUAUAUGUUUAUUUUUUGGAGUGAUCAAACGGGGGCAAAAUCAAGUAUUCGCUGGUCUGUAGUUUAGCCAACGAUGGCUGAUCCACACAGUUGAUUAUAUGAUACUAUUAGCUCUCAAAAUCUUUCUUAUUUGAGAAUACAAGUUGCCCAAUAGAGUUGAACUAUGUUACCCAACUCCAUGCUCAUACAUUAAAUGUUUAGGUAGUUUUACAAAAUGAUAGCAGCAUGCCAAAACUUGUUGUUGUCAUUUUCGACAUUUCAAAUUGAAAAAUAUGCAAGCAAUCUUCAGUGAACAUUACGUUUUUAUUGAAUAAUUUAAAUGGCCAGUAAAUCAACAGUCCGUGAGUUUUAAAUCUAUUAUGACUUAAUGUAUCUUUCUGUAUUCGUACACAGGUUAUAUUAUCAUAGUUUAAAAUUUUAAUAUUAUUUUAAAUGUUAAAAAUACUUUAAUGCUAUUAGUCUACUACACAUGUUAUAUUAUUUAUAUUAUAUUUGUAUUAAUUAAAACUUUUAAUGUAAAUUUUCUAAUUACUAUAUUGAAAAGGUAUUAUGGUUAAGAAAAAGUUUUGGCAUUUCUUCUUGAAAAUUUGAGGGUCUGCAUGACAAUUUUUCCAAAUUCUAAGGGUAUAGGUUUGAAAAUUUAAUGUUCUUUAACUUAAUGAAACAAAAGGGGGAAACCAAGAACUAUUCAAUUUUGUAUUUUUUGUUUGUAAUUCAAAAAAUGCAUCCACCAAACCAGUUUUACGCAUUAAUGCUGUCAUAAAACAAAAAACAGUUUGCCAAAAAAUGGUACCAAACAUAUCCUUAAUGUCUCACAUGAUUUCUUAGUAAGCCCAUAUUAGAUAUAUUUAUACAUUUUAGGUAUUUUAGUUAUAAAAGAAGUUGGUCCUCCCCCUAUUUAUAAAAGAUAACUUUGUUUCGAUAUUACCACUAAACUCUUACAUAGAAUUAGUGUAAUGUUAAGAGAGAGUAAAACGGUUUUCCAUUACCAUCUUUGAAAAUAGAAAGAUAUGGAUGCGUGCAUUUAAGAGUCAUCGUGAAAAUCAUACAAUUCAAUUUCCUGACAAGAAGUUGGUCCUCCCCCCCUUUUUUUUUUUUUUUCAAUUACAGUGUGAUGGAGACAUUAAGGAUGAGCAUAAUAGUUAAAGAUGACUCAUUUCUCAUUUUCUUUUUAAAGUGCUCUGCUGAAAGCCAAACUUCCUUUGGCUAAUUAAUUUAGAAGUAAAGCAGAGAAUAAAGUCCUAGAUGCCUUCUGAAAUUAGAAAUACAUUUUAUAUGCUUUAAUUAUGAUUAUUUGGUAGACUAAAGACCUAAAAGAUAUGUCAAAAGUAUAAAACAGAGCGAUUAAAGAAAAAAGAAAAAAAAAACAGAGCAUUUGUGACGUAGAACAAUUGGUAAAUAAAUCCUAAAUAUUUGAGUUGUUAAAAGCAAAUAUAACAGAGACAGUAAGAGAGAUGCUGAAACAGAAAACUAUUAGCUUAUCUUGAUUUUCCCACUAUAUUCAUUUUCGAUGCUUUUCAAACGAGAUUCUUUUAAUUCUUCUGGUGUCUCUUAUAGAUCUCCAUCCCACAUCUGCACUACGAACAAGUUGAUUAAAAUUAAAUACUGUUGGAGAUGUGGGGUGAGCGGUCAACUUGGUAAAAAAACUAUGUGUAAUAUUGUUAAUAAUAUAAAAUAUAUAAUAAUAAUUACAAAGAAUCAUAAAUUAGAAAAAUUAUUUAUUUUACAAUCUAUUUCUUAAGUAAGAUAAAUCUCGUAAUAAGUUAAGUUAUAAUGUAAAAAAUAUUUUCAAUUUAUAAUCAUUUAAGGAGUCAUUUAACAAUAAAAUCUUUCUUUUUUUGAUCAAUUGGUCAUGGUACAGAGCAUCAUCUAUAUUCAUGGUGAUAUUAUUAUUACUCCGUAUUCUCAAAAAACACGAUUUAACAUUUAGAGAAAGUUCCUACCUUUUAAAAAGAACAUGUAUGCAACAACUACCCAUACUUUAUCUUACCACGACAAAACUAAUAGUGACUAAAUCAAUUUUCUCGAAUAAAGCAAAAUUUCUUAAAAUUAAUUUAAUAUACAAAUAUGAUGACUUUUUGCAAAAAUUAGUUUUGGAAAAUUAGUGACAGAAAAUAGUAAUGAUUAUUGUUUAGAUGUGUAAAUAGCCUAAACAUGAUCCCUAAUACCAAUAUCCACGUGCAUCUUAACACCUUUCGUCAUAUUCUUUCAUUCAUGGUCACUGGUUCAAGAUUUGAAUUUGAUCAUUAAAUAUGUUCAAUAAUAUUAGAGAUCCCAACAAUUGAGUACCAACUUAAAUCCCAAUGCUAUGUGUCAUUAACAAAUGUUGUGUCAUUUAUAAUUAUUGAAUGAAUAAUUCGUUAAUUUAUUGAUAAAUGAAAAUUUAUUAAUUUAAAGAGAGAUAUUUUUUUUUUUGGGUUUUAAGAAGAGUUUUGUUGGUACAUGUACAUACUUAUAAAGAAAUAAACUUGUAAUUAUACUAUAUCUUUCUUUCUUUAUUCAGUUUGGUGGGAUAUUGUGAUAAAUCAUUGGAUUAAAAUGCAUUUCUAAAUUAAAACUUGUUAAAAUCUAAUUUAUUUGGGAAGCGCAUAUUAUUUGUCAGUCGUACUUCUCAAGUCUCAACUUAGCAAGUUAUUUCUAACUUGUCAGUCUCUAUUGGUUCUCUAAAGCUAAUAGUCUCGAAUCUCCCGCAUUUGAUAUCUUGCCAUUAUUGUUGGCAUUAACAUGUUACCUGAGAUUGGGAUUCAUUAAAAUCCUCAAUGUAAUCGGUGGAACGAAUGGAUUUCUUCUGUUCACCAAUCCACCAAAAUUUCUGUAAUUAAAUUCAAGAGUCAAGAUCUAUGCUUAUAAUCUAUUCUAACAGCUAAUAUUCUAUUUUAUAUUUACUUAAAUAUGAAGAGCUAUGCUUGUCAUUAACUUCAAAUGUGAUCGAAGCAGCCUUACAUCUGUAUAUUACUUAUUCCCAACCUUUUUUUUUUGACUUCAUAUACUUUAUUUUCAUGUUAUUUACUCUUUUUUUCCCCUUUCUGACAAUUGAGGUAGGGGGUCAAACUUGAAAGUAUCUUAAAAUCAGACAAAUUUUUUUUUUUUUAAGAUAGCUGCUAAUAUGCUCUAUUAGACAAUGACAAGUAAUAACCUAGUUGUUUGCAUUAGAAAUGAUAUUUUUUGUGGUGCUGAUAAAGAGGUUGAUUAUGAUUCAACAAUUUAAAAUAUGAAAACAUGUGGAAGACGGCCGCAAUUAAAUUGAUUGUAUGAAAAUAUUUCAAUGAAAUUUUAAAAAUUUAGUACUUGUUAUCUUAUCGAGAGUUUUUUUAAAUUAUAUUACUACUUGAACUUGGCUGCUUUUGUAUUGAAUUCCCAGCGUUGCCAUUGCUUCUACUCAAAAGCCAUUUAAGUUUGUGUAAGCUACCUAUAGUUUGAACAACAAUUUACUCAUGAAUUGUUGUUCAUAAUAGCAAUUUGAUUGAAAGUGCGGCUGCACUAAUUUUCUAGAUGAAUUUUUUCCUACAUGCUUGUUCUCGUAUGACCCAAAAUCCUGCUACAUCAGUUGUAUUAGAAAUUAAUACUGGGUUACAAUUAUGCAUCCCCACCAAUAUUUCUUGAGGAAAGAAACUCAUAUCGCCCCUAGGCUUUUAAUGAGGCUCAUUUUUAUGAAUCUGGAUGGCAUUAGAUAUCUCUCCGAAUAUUGGUGGGAGUAUAUCGCAGAUCAAUGGGCUAUACUACAAAGUGUAUGUACGUUGACUCUCAAUAAAUACAAACGAUUCUCUGAUAUGAUUCAAAACAUCAGUGCACGCAUCAUUUUAACGAGAGAGAAUAUUCUAAGAACGAAAUUGAAGGUGCAAUCAGCAACUAAAAUGAAGCCAGAAAUGUACACGCAUGAGGAAGUUUUCCUAGAAGAUUGAUAUUUCUUUAACUAGCAAACAAUACAAGUCCAAAGCUAACCAAACCAUACCUGCAAGUCCGGGGCUUAAAUGGAGUACUUGUAAGCAUAAAACAUUAAUCAAAACACAGUAUAGACACACACACACACCCCUACAUACAUACCAGCAAAUUCGAAAUAGAAAAAGGAGUGCAACUAUUCAAGUUUGUUGACAAUAUUGCAACCAUGGCAUAUUAAAGCAAAUCCUUAAAAUCAGCUAAACGAAACAAUGCCCUGUCUCAUGAAUCGAUGCUCAACUAAAAAUUGAAAUUGAAAGUCCGGCUGGUGUUGUUAUUAGAUAGAUAUAACAAGAUCUUUCUUUGACAGUUCUUAUUAGAUAGAUAUAAAAAGAUCUGCUUUGACAGUUCUUAUUAGAUAGAUAUAAAAAGAUCUUUCUUUGUUUCUCUGCUGUAAUUUGUGGCUAUCCCACUCUGUUUUGCCAGUCAAGCUGAGUCUACGUUGAGACAUAAUUUUGACAUCAGAAGCGGCCUCAAUUAGUUUGGCAUUUUUAUAACCUCCUUGAAGGUUUUACGAUAAACAUAAAUCUACUGACAAAGUGGGCAAAAAGAAAAUGCAUGUAAAAGUAUGAGUUAUCAAAUAAGAUUAAAACUCACCCAAUUCAAUCCAUCAGAUUCCGUAAGGAUACAACUGGAUGUCAUACCGCCACUCCAUAUUCUCGAAAGUCCGUAGUCCUUGUCUCAACUGUGUCUGGGGCCAGUGUAAGUCCAUUUUUGCGCAAGCUCUUUAUGCACCACAGCUCUUCUGGAAGCUUUCUCAAGUAAGCACACGGGUUGACAAUUAAGCAUUCAAGUUUCGGCAUUGCUCCAGCCCCCAUCGUCCACUCAUCUAGCCAAUACAUUGACUUCAGGUGCAAAACCUUAAGUUCGGGAAAGCUACUCAAGCCAACACAAGCAAGCUUUCUUCCUAAAUACGAGUUCUGCUUCAGUUUCAGCACUCGAAGGCGUGGAAGAUUUUCCAGAAUUGGCAUGGGAUCCUCCAUUAGCUCAGUAUUUGAUAAGCUCAGUUGGAUCAGACUUGGGGGAAAUUGGUAUUCAGACAGGACCAUCCGUGAGGGCUUGCUCUCAUUCACCAGCUUCAAGCAUUCAAGUUUGUGGAGUUCGCAUAGGCUUUUGGAAACCCCUGAAUGAUAGCAACUCAAAUCUCCAGAUAUCCGAAGAGUUUGAACAUUAGGUAGUCUGCCCAAUAUAUCAGGAGUACAACUACUGGGGUUUAAAGUUGAUAUGAAAAUGAGAUUUUUCAGGGAGCUAGAAUAAUUUUUUGGAGGUGCGGGCAGAGUGAUAGAACCAAAGUUUAGAUGCAUGAGUUUUUGCAUCUUCCAAAUAUCCUCUGGUGACUGAUCUAUGUAGCUAGAUGGCAUUUCUAGUGUUUGAAGGUUUAAAAGGGUGCAUAGCAGUGAAGGAAGGCAUUUGAGCGAAGGGAUAUUCAAUUUCAAAUACUUCAAAAGGAAUAAAUUUUCUAAUCCGGGUGGAUAUUGGUCCAGGACUGCAGAACCCAAGUUCAGUACCCGAAGGUAUUUGAACCUUUUAAAAAAAUUCUCGCAAUCUUUCGGAUUAAGAUGAUAUCUUUUUGGACUGUGAUUGAGAAAAGAUUGGAGAUACAUGUCAGAAUGUUCUAAAGAAAGGAACUCAAUCAAAUCAUCGACAAUGAAGCACCGUUUAACAUUUGCGGGUGGUUCCUCUUCCACGUCAUGCAUCCAGACAAAUCCCGUCUUCUUUGCCACCACAAACAAUGAAGUGUAGUAUACAAUACUUG